rnacentral:lncRNA from 1 species
UUGGCUCCGUCAUUGUCUCAGAGAAUUUAUAUAAACUGUGAAUAGUGGUCAAGAACUUAUUUUAGGCCUUGGGUCGCAAGUAAAACAGACCAAAAACAUAUGUCACAGUGAAUGAUUAAGUUCCAACAUCUAUGUGGAAGGAUGUAUCAAAAACAAAAACAUUUACAGAAUCAAACUAAAAAGCAUUAGGACCUCAUAAGUGAUGAAAAGCAGCUUGGUAAUUGACCAAUGAAAUAGCGUCAAUUGGACAAAUAAGAACAUUACAAUAUUAUUUACAUUGUAUAUAAUGUGGAAUUAGUGGGCUUCACAAUCUUAUUUGGAGCAUCUUCAUUGGCCAAUGACCAACUGCUAGGCUUGCCAAGUAGUAGGUCCGCCCACAAUAAAAUUUCCAAGUAUUAUUCACUUGAUGAGAACUUUUACUAAGAAGAUAUUUCCAAGAAAAGGUGCUGAGCACGAAAAAGCUUCAUUUUGGACAAGUCCACUUCAGUGCAAUAGUCAACUGUAACUUUUUAAGAAGGAACUCAACACAUCAGAAGUAAUUGAAUAUCUUGGUUACUAUGCAGUUAUUCAACACAUUGUAACCUAGAAAACAAGACAAGAACCAUCUUGAUGAUACUUUUGAUGACAUGAUUCUCUUCAAGUUUGUGAUACAGAGGCGAAAUUAGAUAGAACAUGGCUAUAUCCUAUUCCGCAUCAACAUGUCCAAACUCAUAGUCAUGUAAAGAAUUCUUGGUUUAGAUUGUUUAAAGGUCAACAACAUGCAGCUAACAACCAUCUCAAACAAUUCACAUUCUUUUCUUGCCCAAUUCCCCAAUCUCAAAUUCAAACAACUACUCACUAGAUAGUUUAAUCUUCCACAACCAGGUUCAACAUAAAUUACCUAAUCUUAUCUCAAUCUUAAGAUCUCCUACAAGAACUUUGAGUGAUGAAAAUUAAAACAAAAUGAAUCUUCAGCGAGAAUUUAUAUGAUCAGAAAAAGCUCCAAGAUAUGCUAUUUGAGGUUAAUGUUUGCUCACAAGUUUAAUUUAAGAAACAUAUCUAACCUUGGUUAAGACCAAGGUCCGAAGUAGUGAAUGAAGGGAUGUCUCUAGUGUGCCUAAAUUCCUCCAAUUUCUUGAAGUUCAUCCACGGCUUCACCCAAACUUUUGCUUCAUAUAUCUGUUUCUUCCCAGCAUCAAUUGCCUCCAGAGUAAGAUGAUACAACUUACCAGCAACCACCUGUUCUUUGGCUUUGAUCACCCUUCCAAACUCAAGAAGCGCGUUCUAUGUCCAGAAAAAGGAAAUACAGUAAAUUACAUAUAAUCCAAAUUCCAAAAACAGUAGCUGAAGAAAGGACAUUAACAAACGCUGUCCAGGAAUUGUUUCCACAUUAAUUCAUUCUUCUUUUUUCUUCUUCUCUUGUUUUUUUUUUUUUUUUUUAAAUAUAAAAGCUCAUCAACAUGCAUCCGUUAUUUUAGAAAAAUCUGCAAUAUUAACCUCAGAAGACAACCAUCUAAAACUUACAUAAAUUUAUUUUCCCUGAAACCAUCAACUAAGGGUUUCUUUCAUCAAAAAAAUUGGGAAAUCCCUAGCUAAUCAUUCCCUAAAGCCACAUAAUUUAACAGAAAAAAUGCACACCCAAAAAACCCUUAAAAAGAAUUUGAACUCCGGGAUUCCCACCUCUUCUAAUCGAAUUAAAAAUCAAUAAUCAAGAUUUUUUUUCCAAAAUAAGAAAAAGGGCCAGUAAACAAAUAGCCAAAUCAAGAACCAAGAGAAAGAAAACAGCGAUUAAUGAAUACAGACCUCUUUCUUGUUGUGUUCUUGAACAGCAAAACGACCAAUGCUUUCAAUUUCUCCAUUGUUCUGAUCUCCUCGGUAGCCAUGGCUUCCCCCAAGAACACUUCCACUCUCCUUCAUCUUUAUGAACCCUUUUUCCUCACACGAUUCAGAAAUCACAGAGACCGCGCCGAAAAGACAAAGAAAGCAAAGAAGACUAGUACCAGUGCUGAUCUUCAUAGUUAUAGCUUUGAUUUGAACUAUUUCUGCGAUUCCUUGGUUUUAAUUUAAGGCUGUUUUUGGGUUUCUAGCGGAAUCCGAUGCAUUUAUUCUCGUUUUUGCUUUGCGGGUAAGAAAUUUUGGUGCGAAAGUUUGUUGGAUGACGUAACCUUUUCGGGUAUUCGCCGUGGGACGAGACACGUGCAAUGAUCUGCUGGAACUGGUCGGUUUGACCCGGUUAUGCGAUGAUUAAUAUAUUUUUUUUAUUAGAAUAAUGUUUUAUGGGUGCCCAUAACAUUAAUUAGGAAAAGUAAAUAAAUAUAAGUAAAAAUAGAUAAAUUAAAUAGAAAAUGUAUAUAAAUGUACAAGAGGGUAAUAAUUAUUAGUAUGUGUGCAUAUAUCGUAAGUUAGUUGAAUUUUAAGUAUAUAAAUGAAAAGCCAAUAAGCAUCUGUUAGAAAAAAUCUUUUUAUUAUUUACGCUAUUACUUCCUCAUCCUUCUUAUUGAGAAAUUAAUUUGGGAGUAUGAUAUCUACAAGGAAAGAUAAAAUCUAGUUAACGGGAACUUUUUUGAUCCCGUUUAAGGAUCAUUUCAACUUGUACAUCUCGAUAAAAAUAAUAAUGGUUUGAAUUUUAAAUCUUUAAAAUUGUUGGAACUUAAGGGCCAAUAACACUUUUUUUUCCUAUCUAAUUUUAAAAUUAACUUAGGAGUAUGACAUUCAAUAAGAACUGUAGAAUCUCCUUAAAAAUAAUCCAAUAAGAUCGUAAAGUUCUUCAAUGUUCUUUCAACAAUAUGACAUGGAUCAAAGGAGACUAUUGGACUUGCCUUGUAGUUAGUUCACCAUGAGCUAAAAUUUCAUUUAUAGCAUUUCUCAAAAAAAUAAAUACGAGCUUGUGACUUGUGCAUUCCUAUUUUUCCAGAUUUACUAAUUUAGUCACCCUGAAAAAUCCCGAUUGGUUUUAUUGGUUUUGUGUGAAUUCAUUUAGGUGGAUUUUUGAUGGACAUAGGCCCUAAUUCUUCACCGAAAUUCCCAGCUGUGUUUGGACUGGGGAACCUGAGUGGAUUUAGAUUUAAAACCCUUUACCAAAUUCCCUUAUAUGUUUGAAUGAAGUAAAAGAGAUGGGUUUGAAAUGCAUCAUUUAAUGGAAGGAUUAGUCUGGCUAUAACUAAUGAAUUUUAAAGAAUAAAUAUUGCAUGCACCGUUAGUUUAUACACUAUGAUGGUUAGAUGAAUCCAACAUAUGUAAAAUUUUGAUUUAAUUUAUCAUCUUAGCUAAGCCAUAGCUAAUUUCAUAAUGCACGUGAUACUUGCUUUUACCAGUGCACCAACCAUACCUAUAACUAUCAUUCACCUAUAUUUCAUGAUGAAGAAACUAGUUAUAGAUUCAUUAAAUUCUAUGAAAUUAUAAGGUUAAAAUGAUAAAGGUAAUUCCCUACUUUCGUGAGAAUAGUCUCUAUAUUCAACACUUCCAUGAACUAGUAUAAUAUCAUAAUUUUCAUUGAUGAUACAACACCUUUAGAACUAUAAUUUAUGUAUCUAUUGCACAUAUACAUUUAAAUGGACUAUAAAUUCAAAUUGUAAAUUGUGCACAUAUUUGUAUUUUCUCAUGGACUUGAUUUAAAAUAUUGCUUUAAAUAAGAACUUCUAACCAAUCUUGCUUUAAAUAUAUUACUAUUUUCAUCAAGCAACUUUACAUUUCCUAUCCACAUAUUGAUGCCAAUCUAAUAACAAUCUAUCUUUAAUUUAUCUUUGUUAAUCUGGGCAACUUGAUGCACAGAGUCGGCCAUAGAAAUUAGUUUACUAUAAAUUUACAUUUGAAGCAGAGACAACUAAAUUUUGCUUCUUGUAUAUCAACAGUUUACAAUCUUUAGUCUCCUUAUAAUACUUUUACUUUUGUAUACAAUUUUACAAAUUUAUCACUCUUAUUUUUAAACAAAAUUUUCCUUAAGAAAGUUUACAACAAUUAUGAAGUAGCUACUAUAUUGCUCAUAUUCAUUAUAUAUUCAUUUUGACCAAUGGAAAUUUUAUUCUUGACUCAAUAUUUUUUGGUUUCAUAAACAUAUAUUAGUUUUAUUUUUUGUCAUUUAGUGCCUUUUGACUAAUGAAUUAAUAUCACUCGUCAAAUAUAUCCAUAGGAAUACAUAUAAUAAUUAAUGUCCAUAUAUAUUUUACUGUGUUUUUUUUAAGUGGGAGGUUUUGAAUCUAUAACCUCCCAUUUAUAUUCUCUCCCACCUUAUCAUUCAACCAAAUCCUUUGCCCCAUUUUACUGUGUUGUUUAUUUGUAGUUCAAUGUAAAUUUUCUCUUUUUUAUUUUUAUUUUUUCCUACUAAGGGAGGAGUGGGACUUAAGAAGCAGGGAGGGAACGGGGAGAUUUACAAUGUAAAUUUUCUGGUUACUUUUUAGAAGAUAUAAACUUUUCGGUAUAUCAAGUGUACGGGUUUUAUAAUAUAUACCACAUGAAUCAAUCAAUCAAGCAUCUUAAUUAAUAUGCUUUGCAACAAAACACAAUGAUGGAACCAAAGAUUUGAAUUGUUAAAAGAAUCCUUGUUGCAAAUUGUGGGGUGCAAUUGCAAUAUAAAUUUAUCGUAACUAUUCAAAAAUUUGGUAUAUUUUGACAAUAAAUGGUAUCAUCAUUAUCAAUCAAGGAAUGGAUUUUAUACCUUAACUUUGAGUCAAAAAUGUUCUUGGACUUUAGAUCAAGCCAAUCCCUUUUGUCAAAAAGUCAAUAUCCACUAAUUUGGUUCUUACGGGAUUUUUCAUCUUCUUUUGGGGGGAUUGGUACUUGUGGUUGUAGACAAAGAUAAUUUAUUUAAUUUAUUUAGUCAAGAUUUAUUUAAAUUAAAUUGAUCUUGAUUAAAUUAAGUUAAAUGAUAAAAGUUCAUUAUGUUUUGAACUUGCAAAUUGGGCCAGUAUUAUAUGGGCUAUUAAAUCAAAUUAAAUUUGUAAUGUCCAUUUAAGUUGAAGUGAAUUAAUUGAUUUAUUAAUUCACAAUUGACUAUUUGAGUUGGCCCAUUAUUUAAGCCCAGGUUAAAUGGAUUUCUUGAGUAACAAGUGAUCCAAAAUACAGGAAGAUUCUGAGAGUUUUCUUCAAGACCUAGCCUACAUAUUUUGGCUAUAAAUAUAGGUCUUCCCUCAAGGCAAAGACAUGAAAAAAAUCCCUAACAUUCGAAGAAACUCUGUCAAAUUCUCUCAAGAGCUUUCUUCCUCAAAUCCAAGUCCAAGUCAAGUCAAACAAAUCCUCUUGCUAUCGGUGUUGAAGACUUGAAGUUUCAAGUGUUUGACGCCGUCAUCAAAUCAAUCGUUUUCUACGCAGAAAUUGUAGGAAACACCCGUUCGAUUGAAGAACAAGUCUUUUUGACCCUUCAAUUGAAACUAUUCGAAUAAAAGAAUCAGGAGAUUAAAUUCUUUGAUUUAAGAAUUUUCAGAGAUUGUAACCCGCUUAUUAUUUGAUUUAAUAAAUUUGAUAUUUGUGCAAGUUUUCUUGUCUUUUAUUUCAGGCAACAAAAUUUGUGCUUACAAAUUUCUGGCACGCCCAGUGGGACCAUCUCUGCCUCUCAUCUCUUUUCUUCCAACAACUUACCAGUUUCAAAAUUCAAUGGAGUUCAAGAAGGUGAACUUUUCUCUUAAAGGCUUAGUGGCCGAUGUCUCAACAAUUCAAGAGACGCAGUAUACUGCACAUCUGACAAGGAGCAAGGCCAAGAAGUUAGCAGAAAGGGCUAAGGCGAACGUUUUGACUGAAGAAACAAAUCUCAAGAUGCUUCCCAACAAGAAAGGAGCCCAUGAUGAAUCCAUUGAUAGCCCAAGUGAUUCGGCUGCCUCUGUGGUGAUGCCCGUCAUGAUGACCAAUACCACAACUGUGGAAGACCAGAUCUCGAAUCUAGCCAAAAUUGUCGAAGGGCUAGUAGUGCAUGCGCAAAGUCAGGAUGCCAAGAUAGUCAAAUUAAUGGAUAUGAUGGAAAAUAUAGGCGAAAAUAGCCUUAGUAUGUCCAAACAGAAAUUCAAAGUGCAAGAUGAAGGAGACUUGUCAUCAAGGGAGAAGGAGAAAGAGGAUGCGAAAUCACAAGCCGCGAAGGAAUUUUCAAUCUCCCCUAAUGGCACCAUUCAUGUUGACAAUCUGAAGGAAUUUAUCGAAGGUACAAUCAAGGAUAAGAUGGGUGGAAGCGCCAAGUCAUAUAGCGGUUACACUAAACCUUACACUGCUAGAGUGGAAGGUUUGAAGAUGCCUGUGGGAUAUCAACCUCUAAAAUUUCAACAAUUUGAUGGCAAGGGUAACCCUAAACAACAUAUUGCACACUUCGUGGAAACCUGCAACAAUGCGGGCACUGAUGGUGACUUGCUCGUUAAGCAAUUUGUUCGCUCUUUGAAGGGUAAUGCCUUUGAUUGGUAUACAGAUCUGGAGUCUGGAACCAUUGACAGUUGGGAGCAGUUAGAGCAUGAAUUUCUUAGUCGCUUCUAUAGCACAAAGAGAACUGUCAGCAUGACUAAACUCUUUAAUACACGUCAAUGGAAGAGUGAACCUGCCAUUGAUUUUAUCGACUGUUGGAGGAAUCUGAGCUUAAAUUGCAAAGAUCGAAUUUCUGAAUCUUCCGCGAUCGAGAUGUGUAUUCAAGGUAUGCACUGGGGACUCAGAUACAUCUUACAAGGUGUACAACUAGAAACGUUUGAUGAAUUGUCCACAAAAGCCCAUAAGUUAGAAAUUAAUCUUGAUGGACAAGAACCGCCAGUUCCUGACCCUCACAAGGCUAAGGAGAGACAAGAAGCGAGGAAAGGGGCAAGCCACCAAUCAAAAAUGAAAGGAAGGAGACUAUGGCCACAAGUAUAACACCUUUUAAGGUUGUUCCCAAAACUGCUAGGGGAGAAAACAGGAAGAGCAAUGCACAUCAAGAGCAAGGAAAGAGGAAGCCGACUCUCAAGGAGAUGCAAGACAAAGAGUACCCUUUUCUUGAUUCUGAUGUCCCUGGUAUGUUUGACGAUCUGUUAAAUAUAAACUUGAUCACGCUUCCUGAGAUGAAGCGACCUGAUGAGGCCAGGAACACUGACGAUCCAAACUACUGUAAGUAUCACCGAUUGGUUGGGCAUCCCAUUCAAAAAUGCUUUGUCUUCAAAGACAAAGUAAUGGAGUUGGCAAGACAAGGGAAAAUUCUCCUUGAAGAAGACAAGGCGAGUGUGAAUCAAACGUCCAUUGGUUCCCUGCAGUCCAUGGAGGAUAAAAGGGACAUGGUACCUGUAUUGCCGACAAUUCAAUUUGAAUCACUUGACCCUAUAGAAAUCAAACAAGAAAGUGCUCCUUUAACUCUUCAGGAACAUGCAUAUGAAGAUGAAAAGGGGCUACAACCUGAUGUGGAUGAUGAAAGAUGGACUCUAGUCACUUGAAGGAGGCAGAAAUCUUGUCCAUCUAGUAAGGCGAGCAAGGUCUUAACAAGAAGUAUGAUGAUUUGGAAGGGAAAAGAGAAAGACGUAAAGAAAAAUAAUGACUGUCGUAAUCUUCAAGGAGGUCGAAUCUUCAAGCAAAAGUCGCGAACUCCUAUCACUUUAAAAGAAUUCUUGCCAAAAGAAUUCCUUGAUGUUGAUGUGGUCGCGAGUCACACAACGCGAGUAGAUCAUAUCGAAGAACAAAAGAAUAAUACUCGUGAAUCUCUCUGUGAGAUAACCCGUAUGCCUAUCGGCAAUGAAGAAGGUCGUGUGUCUACCGGCAAUGAAGAGGUGAACGUCACAAGUAUCACUUUUACUAGUGAAGACUUGUUGCUUGGGUCAACACCGCAUAACCGCCCUCUGUUUGUGACUGGUUAUGCAAAUGAGCAAAAAGUGAAUAGAAUGUUGAUAGAUAGAAGUUCCGCAGUCAAUAUUCUCCCUUUAAAAACUCUGAAGGAGCUUGGUAUUCCGGUUGAUGAACUCUCCAAUAGCCGACUGAUGAUUCAAGGCUUCAAUCAAGGAGGGCAAAGAGCUCUUGGAUCACUAAAUUUGGAGGUAGUCAUUGAUGACAUGACGUCCAGAGCACUGUUGUAUGUGAUAGAUGCUAAAAUAGCAUACAAUGUACUGUUGGGAAGGCCCUGGAUUCAUGAAAAUGAAGUUGUACCUUCAACCCUUCAUCAAUGUUUUAAAUACUCCCGAAAUGGAGUGAUAAGAAGUGUGAAAGUCGAUGACAAUCCUUUCACUGAGGCGGAAGCGUAUAUCGCUGAUGCCAAAUUUUACGUCAAAAGGCACAUUGCGAAGGAUAGAUCUGAGCAACCUCUAUCUGGGGAUAAAAUCCAGAACCCCGAAUCUCCAAAUGCAAAAUGGGUGAAAGUGAUGAUUUCGAAAUAAAAAGAGGAAGUUCAUGAAGAAACUGAUGUUUCAUUGCCAAGCAAUGAAUCAGUUGUCUUUCGUUGCCCUCCCAAAUCAAGAAUAGAAUAGGGACAGUCACCUGCAAUUCAGCAUGAAACUCUAAAAGAUUUGACUCUUUCGGUAGCUCAUCUUGAUACAAAAAAGGCGUCAUCUUCUCAACUUAAAAGGUCUAACUUUUUAAGCAAAGAAUCUGAAAUUGAACAAAACACCAUACCAAAGUCAAGAACCAAAGAAGGUUUUGAUGCUAUCGCUUAUAAGCUUCUCGCUAAAGCUGGAUAUGAUCUCAAAGAAUCUGCGGUGUUAAAUAUUCCAUCCUGUCAAUCUACUGGUGACAUGAUUCAUGGGUUGAAUCCUACCCAAAAGAUGUUGAAGGAAAAGGGAUACGCUGUCGAAAAUCUCAAAUUUGACCUUGGCUACUCCUCUCCUACACCAAUUCGCAUCAAGAUCAAUAGAGUUAGUAGCCCAUAUAUUACUGUGGAGGAUGAGUCUUCUCAAAUAGUUGAUAAAUUCCAAACCUUUCACGAAAAGGAGAAUAAAACUCCACGGGUGUCUGUUUUUAAGAGAUUAGGACCACAAAGAAGACAAAAACUUCAAAACUCUCAUAAGAGUAAAGGAAAAAUGACAAAGUCAUUGCAAAAUCUUCAAGAACCUUCUGAUUGUCCCCAUAAAUUUGGUAGCAUCAUUCUUUCGAGAAUGAGAAGAUGCACAGACCUUGUAAUAAAGUGUGAGACUGAAUUGAGGGUCAGGGAGCAUACCGUGGUGUACACAAGACAAAAAGAGGAUGAUGAAGAGAGUGUUGCCUCAUGCAAUCAUAUAACCAUAAUUGACGGUGACUCUCCUGAAGAAGAAGAAGAUGCUGAAGACGCUCCACCUGAAUUUGAGGAAGGUGUUAAGGCCACUGUGGAUGAUCUAAAAGAGAUCAAUCUUGGUACUUCAGAGGACCCGUGUCCAAUAUAUGUAAGUGUUUCACUGAAUCCUGACGAAGAGAAGGCAUAUGUUGAUCUCUUGCAAGAGUAUCGAGAUGUUUUUGCCUAGACUUAUAAAGAAAUGCCGGGUUUAGACCCAAAAGUGGCCGUCCACCAUUUGGCUGUUAAAAAGGGAGUUCGGCUAGUGAAGCAAGCACAACGGCGAUUUAGACCCGAUUUGAUUCCGUUGAUCGAAACUGAAGUCAAUAAGCUUAUUGAAGUCGGGUUUAUUCGUGAAGUUAAAUAUCCCACAUGAAUUUCGAUUAUCGUGCCCGUGCGAAAGAAGAAUGGACAAAUCCGCAUCUGCGUCUAUUUCAGGGAUCUUAACAAUGCUUGUCCUAAAGAUGACUUUCCUUUACCGAUCACUGAGCUCAUGAUUGAUGCAACUACUGGGCAUGAAGUUCUAUCGUUUAUGGAUGGCUCUUCUGGAUAUAAUCAAAUUCUAUUGGCAUCUGAGGAUGAGGAGCUCACUGCAUUUCGUACUCCUAAGAAUAUUUAUUGUUAUAAAGUAAUGCCCUUUGGUCUAAAAAAUGCUGGAGCCACAUAUCAAAGAGCAAUGCAAAGUAUCUUUGAUGACAUGCUUCAUAAAAAUAUCGAGUGUUAUGUGGAUGAUUUAGUUGUUAAAUCGAAGAAAUGGAGUAAUCACUUGGAGGACUUGAGACAAGUAUUUGAUCGGUUGAGAAGGUAUCAACUCAAAAUGAACCCUCUCAAGUGUGCAUUUGGAGUCACAUCGGAGAAAUUUCUUGGUUUUGUGGUUCGCCAUCGAGGUAUUGAAAUUGAUCAGGCCAAAAUUGAUGCUAUAUUGAGGAUGCCUGAACCUCGUGACAUUCAUUAAUUGAAAAGUCUUCCAGGGCGAUUAGGUUAUCUGCGGAGAUUUAUCUCAAAUUUAGCAGGAAGGUGUCAACCAUUUAGUCGCUUGAUGAAGAAAGAUGUGCCAUUUCAAUGGGAUGAGGCAUGUAGUAAUGCAUUCAAUAGCAUUAAGUCUUAUCUUAUGAAAGCACCUGUUUUGGCUGCACCUAUACAUGGAAAGCCGUUACUUAUUUAUAUUGCUGCCCAGGAACGCUCAGUGGGGGCAUUGCUUGCACAAGAAAUUAAUGAAGGAAAAGAAGUUGCCCUUUAUUAUUUAAGCAGAAUGAUGACCCCCAACGAACUAAACUAUUCACCGAUUGAAAAGUUGUGUCUAGCUCUUAUUUUUGCAAUAUAGAAGUUAAAACACUACUUUCAAGCACAUAGCGUGAGGCUCAUUUCCAAGGCGAAUCCCAUAAAAUAUGUGAUGAGCAGACCAGUACUAUCCGACCGUCUAGCAAGAUGGUAUCUUCAACUACAGCAGUUUGAAAUUAUUUAUGUGCCUCAAAAGGAAGUGAAAGGACAAGUUCUGACAGAUUUUCUUGCUGAUCACCCAAUACCUGCUAAAUGGGAGUUAAGUGAUGACCUACCAGAUGAGGAUGUACUUCUUGUUGAGAUUCGCCCACCAUAGAAGAUGUAUUUUGAUGGUGCAGCUCAUCGUCAUGGGGCUGGAGCGGGGAUUAUAUUUGUGACUCCUGAUGGAGGGAUAUUGUUAUACUCUUUUACUCUAAGUCAACAUUGUUCAAACAAUGUCGCUGAGUACCAAACUCUCAUACUCGGACUUGAAAUAGCUGUUGACAUGAAACAGUUGGACAUUCAAAUCUAUAGUGACUCUCAAUUAGUGAUUAACCAACUCUUGAAAAGUUAUGAAGUCAAAAAGUCCGAGUUAAUUCCGUAUCACAAAUAUGCAAUGCAACUAAUGAGGCGGCUUGGAGGUGCAAGUAUUAAGCAUGUUCCUAGAAGGAAAAAUAAGCAAGUUGAUGCAUUAGCUGCGCUAGACUCUUCACUUACCAUGUCGAAUCAUGAGAUACAAAUCCGUGUAUGCCAAAAGUGGGUAGUUCCAUCACUAAUUGAUGAUGACGAUAUUGAAGGAGGCGACGCUCAUAUGGUCUCAACCUAUGAAAUUGAUAAAGAAGAUUGAAGACAACCCCUCGUUGAUUAUCUCAAGUAUCAAAAACUACCUGAGGAGCAAUGUAGGAGAACUGACAUCCGUCGCCGUGCCCCUCGUUUUAUCUUGUAUAAAGAUAUGCUGUACCGAAAAUCAUUUGAAGAUGUACUGUUGCGCUGUUUGAGCGAAGACGAGGCAUAUCGAGCGAUACACGAGGCACAUUCUGGAAUAUGUGGAGCUCAUCAAUCUGGUCCCAAGUUACAUUUUUGGAUUAAAAGAAUGGGCUACUAUUGGCCUGCUAUGGUCAAAGAUUGCAUAAAAUAUGCUCAAAUAUGUCAAGCUUGCCAGUUUCAUGCAAAUUACAUUCAUCAACCACCUGAGCCGUUACACUCGACCGUUGCUUCUUGGCCUUUUGAUGCUUGUGGUCUUGAUGUUGUGGGGCCAUUACCAAAGUCGUCCGGUCAACAUUUAUAUAUAUUGGCUGCGACCGACUACUUUUCUAAAUGAGUUGAAACCAUACCGCUCAAGCAAGUUAGAAAGGAAGAUGUGGUGAACUUCAUUCGCGUGAAUAUUAUUUACCGUUAUGGAGUUCCCCGAUACAUUAUCACUGAUAAUGGAAAAGCCUUCUCAAAUAACUUGAUGGAUAAGAUGUGUGAAAAAUUUCAUUUCAAGCAACGUAAGUCCUCCAUGUAUAAUGCCCCCGCCAAUGGCCUUGCCGAGGCAUUCAACAAAACUUUAUGUAAUUUGUUGAAGAAAGUGGUGGCUAAAUCAAAGAAUGAUUGGCACAAAAGGAUAGGCGAAACUCUUUGGACUUAUCGCACCACAUAUCGAACUCCAACCAAGCCACACCAUCUGCUUUAGUCUAUGGUGUAGAAGCUGUCCUGUCCCUUGAGCAACAAAUUCCUUCUUUGAGAAUUGCUAUCCAAGAAGGGCUCACGGAGGAAGAGAAUGUUCGCCUGCGCCUUGAAGAAUUGGAAGCUUUAGAUGAAAAGAGAUUAGAGACCCAACAAAAUCUGGAAUGCUAUCAAGCCCGUCUCUCUAGAGCUUUUAAUAAGAAAGUUCGGCGCCGCUCCUUUCAAGUCGAGGAUAUGGUACUCGCCUUUCGAAAGCCAAUAGUUAUGACUCAUCGCACUAAAAAUAAAUUCGUCUCCAAAUGGGAUGGGCCAUAUGUUGUUCGAGAAGUCUACACGAAUGGCGCGUACAAACUGGUGGACAAAGAUGGCGUAAAAGUUGGUCCUAUAAAUGGGAAAUUCAUGAAGUUAUACAUGCUAUAGAAAAAAAAAAUAAAACACUCCAUGACGCAUGAGUCUAAACUGCAUGUUGCUCCAGACCCGUAGAGCUAAAACUGUGGACAACAACCACCAAUAGUGUAGCACGUGGUUAAAUUGCUGAAACACUCCAGCAAAUCUAAGGUGGUAAACAAAUGGAUACUUCUGACCCGCAAGAGUUUAAACUGUGAACGGUAGGAACUACGUGUGACUUGAUUCCCUUUUGGGAUAUGUAGGCAGCUUAGAGGACAAUUUCUAAGUUCAGUUACAAUCAUAUAAAACUAAAUCCUUUGUCCGGAUGAUUCUUUUGUUGCAAAAAAAAAAAAAAAACGGUUCUCUUUAGGACAUUUCAAGUUAUUUUGUGACAUAUACUUGAAAGUGUAUUAUUCAGAUUACCAAAUUAUUUGGAUAAUUAUCUUUUUAAGUGUGAUCAAAAUUAUACAAAGAUGAAAUUGUUCAUACUACGGUUGAUAGUCUGAAAUGGUGGCUAUCGAAAAAGUAGGUAAAGACGAGGACGUCUGCAAGAAUGUGAUGAAAAGGAAAAAAAUCAAGUUUCAUUAUAAAGUGCUUGUGCUCAUAGCUACACGCUUUAAGCAAUUAACAAAAGAUGAAAUUUGAAAUAAAGUAAAAGAUUACAACUAUUUCUUGAAUUCAAAUGACGACAGCUCCUUUCGGUUGUUUUCAAGUAGUGCUUGUAUCUUGUCCAAAGUUUAACUCUCCUCAGCAAGUAGGGACGGGAAAUUCUCAAUCUUUCGAACUUCAUUUUGUAACUCGAUCAUCACGCCUUGCACUCGGGUAAGCUCAUUUUGCUCUUCUCGUAGCAGUGAAAGCUUCUCUUUUCUGUGAGUAUCCAAGAAUUCAAGUCGUUUUCUCAACUCUACUUUCUCGCGAUCAAUCUCCUUAACUUUCAACAUGUGCGUUGAGAUCUUUUCCGUUUGUUGUUUCUCCUUACUCUGAGCAUUUCUAAGAUGUUGGGUGGCCGUAGAGAGCAACUCAUCUAUGAUUCAGCUGAAAUUUUAUUUGAGAGAGAAGAUUUCACUGCGACGUAACGAGCUGCAUUUGCAAAGAAAGCCUUCAAAAGGCCUUGCAAAUUUGAAAUAUCCGUGGCAUUGAAACUUUGCAUUUCCUCCAUGAUUUCGCUUGCUUUCAUUUCAAGAGUAGGUAUGCGCUCCAAGGUUGUUUGAGAUAUCAUCACCCUCAAAUUAUUCCACAACAUUUGGAUAUAGUCUCGACGGCAUGUUGAGAUCACACUUUGGGGGCAAAAUUCAGACACUUGAGGUGCCCUUGGCCAUGAUGGUGGAUCGAAAACUUUGAGUUUCUUCUUGGCCGAUGGAGUCAUAUGGUCCGCCUUCUGUGGCGUGAUUUGCUGAAUCAUAUUUCCAUCCUCUACUGUCUUUUUGAAAUUCUCACUAGCACCCAUUUGUUGGGUAGAACUGACCACUUGUUUGGCCAAAAUUUCAAAUGCAGUAGGUCCCUCAACUGAUGCUUGGCUUGGUUCUCCAUCAUCAAUGAAGAUCAAAUCUUGAUCAUCCAACUGUAGGGAAAAUGUUAUGAGACAAAUCAUGAAUAUGAAAUUGACAAGCAAAUUUCAAAUGCUAAAUUAAAGAAGGCAAGGAAGGUCUUUAUAAUAUUGGCACGGCUUAUACCAGGCACAGAUAUAUCCGGAAUGUCUUUAAAGAGUUGUUUAGGAUCUAAACCAAUAUCAUCCAAAGGGAGAGUCAUUACCUUGGACUUCUUGCGCUUCCAAUGCUGGUCCGUGCUAGUGGAUUGCUUAUCCUCCUCAUCAAAAAGCUCACUCCUCUUCCUCUCAUGUGAAUUGCAAGUAUCAUGAUCAAUAGCCUUCGCAAUUUUUGAAGGAAGAUGAAAUGAAGUACCCUUUGAAAAUUGUUCAUCAGGAGUAAGGUCCUCAGGGGUAGCAACCUUGUUGUUUGAACUCUUCAAAAUUUCCUUCUCGUUUCUCACAGUCUUUUGCUUCAUCUCAAGACUAUUGCCAACCUUGGAAGGAUUGUUCAGGUUUACAAGUUCCUUCCAUUUUGACUUCUUCUGCUCCCCAUUUGAUUGGACACUCUUAAUCAAAGCAUCACGUCCUUUGAGGAGAUGAUUAUCAUGUACCAUAGACCACCAUGUUUGAAAGCCUGAAGAUGUGUGCUUGCUAGCAUUCAAGGGAUAGUUAGGAAAAAGUACCUUUGACUCUGUUUUACUGCGGAUGGCAGUGCGCCAGAGUAUUCGACUCAAGUCAUAAUUUGUGGAACGAACAUCUGCCCCGAGUUCCUGUGGAGGAACUUGAUAAAACCCGAAUUGCCGCGCGAACCUAUAUGGACUAUAUGGCUCAACAAGGAAAUUCCUUUCAGCAUGCAAAACUAAGUAAUUUGAGCAGGCGCUUACAAAAUAACUUAGUUCGAGAUUCGCUAAUUUGUCAUUAUCAAUAAAAAGUUCGUUGCGGUUCUUCACAAGAGAAGUGAUUCCCCAAGUUGUUUUGUCUCCCUGAUGAAAGAGGUCGCGGGCACUAUUUUCAUCAAAAUAUCGUGCGCCACCCUCUCCAGAAUAGUUGGUCAUGGUGGGUCCAGGCAUGGUAUUUGGAGUCUAAUAAUGGGUAGAGAAAUAACUCGCUAACCAAGCAUAUAUGUAGUGCACCGAAAAAACCGCACGUGCACACCCUAGGGUAGCUGAGUUUGAAAUUUUAUCAAGCCCACGGUAUAUGUUUAGCAGGACAGGAACAACAAGGCAAGUCUUACGACCGGCAGCCAUCAUACUAGCCAUCUUGAAAGUAGAUGGUCUAAUAUAAUGGAGGUACUCAUCUGGUAAAGCAAAGACACAGAGCCAGCAAGAUAUAAAUGCUGCAAGAUAGGUCUCUUCCCGCAAGUGAAGUUUAACUCCAAUGGUAUCAAAUACGCCAUUGUCUUGACUUGAAAAUUUGCGUGGUUGUCCAAUUUCGCCAUCCGAAUUUUGGAUCGCUUGAGCAUGAGAUGCCCUCUUUAUCCUUCUCUGCUUUGGCUUCGAGUACCUGGUUUUGCCUUUAAACCAGAAGUUAAUCCAUUGAGCAGCAGAGACUCCAGCUUUGUUGGAUUCCCCAUAUUGAAGAUGAUGUAAGGCUGCGAACAAAUACUCACAACUUUGUGGAAUAUGCCUUAAUUUUUUUUCAUUAACUCCAGUUAACUCCUCCGUGCAUGGGAUCACCUCUUUAUAGAUACCCCCGAUGAUUGGAAGUCCUCCUAACUUGUGCAAGUCCCAAAGUGAGAGAGACAGUUCCCCAACAGAUGUAUGCAAGGUAUUAGUGUCCGGACACCAUGCCUCGCAGAAUGCCCUAAGUACAUGGGGAUUCCUAUCGUAUGUGAAAAGCGAAGCAUAUAAGGCGUCAAACAGGCAAUUUUCGCUGAACACUUGUUUACUCCUGCCGAGAAUAUCCUCCAACCACUCCCAGUAAUUCUCGAUGUAACUGAAUGCACCACUGAGUCUCAAGAAAGGACCCCAAUGUGCAUCUCCAUCUAUGAUCCGCCUGCCAAGGAUUUGAAAAGGAGUUGUCCUUGGCUCCUUAUCGUGGAUAAGGGAUUUCAAGGAGUGAACCUUCGCGCCAUCAUCUUGAGGAAGUUCGAGUGACCAAUCCUUCAACUUUGGGUACUGGUGAGAAGGCCACUUACCCGAGUAACUUCCUUGUAUAGGGGGAUGCACCAAUAAUUUCGUUCCUUUAUCAUCAGAGUCAUCAUGACUAUUGGCGAUAAGGAGGUACCUUUCGUUUGAAAUUGUAACUUCCUUGAAUAUUGCCAUUUCGUCAAGGCUAUCCUGCAUAAAAAAAAGGGUUACAAUGGCGCGACCAAAGACAGUAAGUGGAGUACUAAGUCGUUAGCAUAAGAUAAAUAAAGAGAUUUCUAGAGCAUUGGUAAGCUCUUAUUGAGGUGGACAUUUAUGCCUCCUUUAUAUACUCCUCAAGCCAUGAUAUGGCUCUCGUGGGAGUUUGCGGUUGCGCCUUCUUCAAAUUCUGGUCACGCCUCCCUCAUGUACUCCUCAAGCCAUGAUAUGGCUCUCGUGGGAGUUUGCGGUUGCACCUUCUUCAAAUUGAGUGUCCACCACUCCUUCAGGUACUCCUCAAGCCAUGAUAUGGCUCUCGUGGGAGUUUGCGGUUGCGCCAUCUUCUUUGUAUUCCUCAAGCCAUUAUGGGCUCUCGUGGGAGUUUGCGGUUGCACCUUCUUCAAAGUGAGGGUCCACCGUGUAUGUUGUCGCAAGGGAUCCUCCUUUCAUAUCACAAAAAAAAUUGGCAUUGACAAAAAGUGAAAAUCAUGAGGCCUGUGAGUUACCUUAGUGUUUUGAAUUCCACGAGCUAUAAAGUGUCAACUCGCUUCAAUGGGUGUCAAUACAAGUUGCAACCAAAAAAAAAAAAAGACUCAUAAGAAGGAUGCAUUUCCAAGAAAGUCGCAAUGCAUGUGUUGGUGAGCACUUUAUGUCAGUUAUCAAUUAAAUUGACAUAAAAAAAAUAAUUCAAAAAAAAAAACUCAAAAAAAAAUAUUUUUUUUCUUUUUCUCUUUCCAAGGUGGAAGUAAAUCAAGUUUUAACAGAUCACAAUGAAAUUUGGCGGACAUCUGUUACUCGACCAACAUGUGGUUGUCAAAAGGCAGUAAAGAUGAUUACCUUCAGGGUGCACGUGUGAAACAGGUUUCUUCCUCAAAUAUUGUGGUAGUUUUCAGUAAAGAUGUUUGUCACAGCUUCAAGACAAAAGCAUGUCUUGUGCGACUUUUAUAAGGUGCUUGGAUGAAUCGUUUUAAGAAGUUUUAAAUUUUGGGCAGCUACUAAAUUCAGUGAUUACCAUUUAAUUUUUUGGAAUCACAUGAAUUUGGUUCCUAAGAUUAACUUCAAAAGCUGAAAGUCGGUUUAGGAAGCUCUUGAAAUUCGGCAGUCAGAGGUGCUUGGAUGAAUCAUUUUAAGAAGUAUUAAAUUUCGGGCAGCUACUAAAUUUAGUGAUUACCAUUUAACUUUUUGGAAUCACAUGAAUUUGGUUCCUAAAAUCAAUUUCAAAAACUGGAAGUCAGUUUAGGAAGCUAUCGAAAUUCGAGAAAUUCCAUAUUGUCAAGACAUUGGUUUCGGCAAUUACCUAUUCAUUGUAUGGAGUAAAGCUGCAACUCCAUAUGGAAGAGGAAGGCACAGGUCUGUUUGCAAGGAGAGAAUACUAUAUUAAUGCCUGGUGUUUUAGAAACUUGGAGUAUUUGGCUAUUGCUAUGAUUUCUCGGUUAUUACUACUUCCAAAAGUUGCUCGCAUGAACUUUAGGAAGCAAUGACGUUUUGGUAAUUGCAAGGUCAAGGUAAAUUGGUUAUUUCCAAAGUUGCUUGGCUGCCUGUCGCGCCCCAUUUUUACAAGAAAAAUAAAUAAAUUGGUUGAAAAGUGAAUUUUUAUUUGAAAGAUGAAUUUUGAUUUACAAAGAAAAUGAAGAAAAAUAUGGGUCUAAAUGGGACUUGAAAAUGCAACGAUUUGACCCAAAAUACAGUUUAAAAAGGGUUUUUUGAAAUAAAAAUCGGAGUCGCCACUUGGUAUAGAGUUAAGGUGUACCAAGUCACUUAAAAAUAAAUUUUUUAAAGGAAAAGGUAAAAAGAAACCUCUUUUAAACAACUCCUAGUCUACGUAAACCAACGAAAAAGGUUCGGGAGUCGCAUUUGACGAAGGGGAAGGCAAGGAUAAAAAUACAAGGCACCCCUUCGACCUAGCCAAGACUAGUUGCGCGAUUUAGUCAAAGAUUUUCUUGUUUUAACCAAAGCAUUUAUCACAUUUGAAUGUACUAUAUGAAUGCAAACCCUAGACCUAGGGGGACAUCGGGGAGCAAAAUUUCUCUUCAAAGCUUGAAUGGUGCCAAUCACAUUAAUUGUGAUGCCCAAUAGUGACUCUUUGGAGAGGUCACGAAUAAUGCAAAAAAUAUGAGACUCUAAGAAAAGAAAUAAAAUAAUUAUACAAAUAUAUAUGUCUUAAAGGAGUGCAUCAUGUCGGGUACGGGGGACUAAUGUUCGUGACUCAAUUUUUCCUUUAAUAGAGGGAAUACGAGCGUGCUAAGGCUAGAAAAGCCAAACUCGUCCAUAUUCCAUACCCAAGAGACUAUUCCCUAAUCUAAUCAAGCAAAUGAACUAACAUAGUUCUAAUGCUUAUAUGAAGUGCAAGACUAAUGUCAUGUUUCAUACAAAAGAAGCAAGUACUAUACAUAUAAGGGAUAAUAUGGGGAAAGGGGUAUACAUAUAUAAGGAAAAUGUCAUGCAAUAUGGUGAAAGAGGCCCUAAAAAUAAAGAUAUGCAUGAGAUGAAGGCAUGCGAAUGUACUAGCGAGGGACGGUCCUAUUGGAUCUAGCAUUGGACUAGUCCUUCACUAGCGCUCUCUCACAAGCAUUGGACUUGCAAGAGCUCGAGGAAAAUACCAUGACUAGCGUUGGACUAGCCACGGUUUCGUGCAUUUGCAUCCAUCAUACAUAAGUAAAUGUGCAUAAUUAAAGCAAGUAGGCAUGUGAACACGUAAUUCACAUAACACAUAACACAUAAGCAUGCAUAUCUAGAUGCACAUCCUAAGAAAGCGGUAACACAUAGCACAUAGGCAUGCAACACACAUAAGGCAAGUAAAACAAAUAAAGCCCUAACUAUUACAUUCGGGGGGAAAAGCCUACUACAAUCUAAGAGAGAAGGAAUUAAAUGAAAUGAUAUAAUAGCCUAACUAUUACAAUUGUGGCAUUCAAGUGCCUCCCAAAUAAUCAAAAUGAACUAAAAUAAAUAUACGAAAUUAAGACAAGUAAAGCGAAUAAAUAAAUAAAUAAAAUGAAAACAUUCACAAAAGACAUGCAAUUAACACAUAAAUCACAUAAGUACACAUAGGGUCGAAUAAAGUAAAAAUAAGGGAUAGAGUGUACCUCCCUUGAGUUGGCCCUAAUGGAGUGAAAUUACUUUUACCCUCCAAAAUAAAAGAAAGGGUCAAGGCAUCGCUUUAAUUAACAAAACAAUCAUAAAGAUAAAAUGAAUCAUGAAAUUGAAUCAAUUAAAUCAUAUAAACAACCUACAUUUAAGAAGUCAAAAGAAGAAAGGACUUGAUUGCAAAAAUUAACAAAAGCUUUGGGGUCAAAAUUAAAGAAAAAUAAAGUUUAGGGACCUAUUUGCAAUUAAAUCAUGACUUAAUUGAACAAAAUCGAGAAGUUACGCAGACUUUAAUGUGAUUUCACCAAAGGUCAGGGGUCAAUUUGAAAUUAAUUCAGGACCUACUUGCAAGGAAAAACAAAUCAUUCGGGCCGUGAUGAAAUACUUAAAAAGUCAGGGGACUGGAACUACAAGAUCAGACGAAUAAUCAUCUUCUCCAAAACAAUCUAAAUGUUGGCUUCCAUUUCAGCUUCCUUUCACGGACAAAAGCAACAAAAAACUCAACUCUGAUCAUUUCAAAAAGAAAAAUGCAACUAGCACAAAACCAUACAAAGAAACUUGACCAUUCCCAAAUCCAAAUGGAACUCAACUCCUACGAAGGAAAGGAUAACAGGUAGAACAGAAAUGAAAGCAGCAGAGAAACAUCCGAACAUAAACAUCUCUCAAAACUCUUCUUUCUUGCUGCAAAAUCAACAAUCUUCGGUCAGCUUUGGAUUGACCAGAGCCGCAUCUCACACACAGACCCACACAAAAUUCAUCAAUUUUUGCAGCUUUGAUUCAACGUUUUCUAUCAGGCAUUUCUUCAAAUACCAAAUGGGUAUCAAAGACAUCAUCGAUUCUUAGCUCAAUUGGGGUUAUAAUCAACCCCAAAAUUGCCAGAAAUCCAAGGGAAAUCAGCCCCAUCAACAUAUAAGCAUAUGUAUUAAGAAAUUUUAAGCUAAUUAACAGGAAAAUUGCACUAAAUAAUCCCACGGAAAAACCAUUUCAAAACUGGACAAGAACUGAAAUUUAAAAAGGAAAAACCGAUAGCUUACCGUGCUCCUGCUUGGUGAAAUUUCGUAGGGGGUGAUGGUGAAAGCGAGAGACACGACGAUCUCUUCGACGGCAGAUUUGGCAAGGAAAAUGUCACAGCCAGCAGCGGAUUGCUGGAGAGCUUGGAGGAGAGCUCCGUUGGCGGAGAGCAUCGUUGGAGCAGAGGUCCGCUUGGGAUCUCCGUGAAUAAUCUGUCCAUUGUAUCAUUGAUUAGGAAAACUGAAGCUAGACAGCAACCUUAUUAUCAAAAUACUGCCCUUCCGCCUUGCUUUUUCCUCAAUUUUCCCGCAACCUUGUUCUUUUUUGCUUUGUUUUCUUUGCUCUGUUUUCCUUGCCAAAGCUGCCCCCCUUCCUUCUUUCCCCUGUUUUUCCUUUUCCUUUGUUUUUCAGACCAAGCUCUCUCGUUUCUUUCUUUCCCUUACUCUCCCUCUAAGCCCAGCCGCCCUUGUUUUCUUCCUAAACCCUAGCCGUUUUCUUUUUCUGUUUUUCCUUGCCUUUUCCUCUUUUUUUUUUUUAAAUCCUCAACCUACAAGUGUCUCAAUCUCUCCCCCUCCUAAGUGAUGUGUUGUCCAAAUACAAAAGGGACACUUGUCCUAAUGCAUGUUCUCCAUUUGUCUAGCAUGCAAACUUUCACUAAUUUCACACAUUAUUUUGUAUUUUUGUAUUUUUCAUUUUUCCCUUUUUUUGAAAUUUAGUAUGAAGACAAAAAUAAUAUAAUAAAAUGAAUUAGAACAAAAUAAAAUAAAAUAAAAACACUAGAAUUGAAACAAAUAAAGCAAAGUUAAAAAAAUCAAAAAUUUGGUGUCUACACUGCCAUUGUUCUUGUAAGUCGCACCAAUGGACCUUGAGUAUAUUUUGGACAAUGCAAUUGGUUUUGGCAAUUGCCAAACCACCGAGGUGAUGCAAUCUCCAUUUUAGUAGUUUUGGUUCAAAUUCCAAAGCAACUAUGGUUAAAAUACUAAGAAGUUUGUGCAUGUGACCGUUUGUGGCAAUUGCAAUGCUAAGCUUCCUACUGAUGCUCCAUUCAAGAUUUGGCAACUUAAAUACUGGAUUUGGUGUCAAUGGGAAUCCGAGUUGCUGAAUAAUAAAAAAAAAAGAAGAAAUCAAGGUUAACUUCAAGCCUCGUUUUGGCAAUUGUCAAGCAAUGCCACACCAAGUCUUGAAGUAGGGGCAUUUGUAGACAAAGAAAUUUUAUUUAAUUUAUUUAGUCAAGAUUUAUUUAAAUUAAAUUGAUCUUGAUUAAAUUAAGUUAAAUGAUAAAAGUUCAUUAUGUUUUGAACUUGCAAAUUGGGCCAGUAUUAUAUGGGCUAUUAAAUCAAAUUAAAUUUGUAAUGCCCAUUUAAGUUGAAGUGAAUUAAUUGAUUUAUUAAUUCACAAUGGACUAUUUGGGUUGACCCAUUAUUUAAGCCCAGGUUAAAUGGAUUUCUUGAGUAACAAGUGAUCCAAAAUGCAGGAAGAUUCUAAGAGUUUUCUUCAAGACCUAGCCUACAUAUUUUGGCUAUAAAUAGAGGUCUUCCCUCAAGGCAAAUACAUGAAAAAAAUCCCGAACAUUCGGAGAAACUCUGUCAAAUUCUCUCAAGAGCUUUCUUCCUCAAAUCCAAGUCCAAGUCAAGUCAAACAAAUCCUCCUGCUAUCGGUGUUGAAGACUUGAAGUUCCAAGUGUUUGACGCCGUCAUCAAAUCAAUCGUUUUCUACGCCGAAAUUGUAGGAAACACCCGUUCGAUUGAAGAACAAGUCUUUUCGACCCUUCAAUUGAAGCUAUUCGAAGAAAAGAAUCAGGGGAUUAAAUUCUUUGAUUUAAGAAUUUUCAGAGAUUGAAACCCGCUUGUUAUUUGAUUUAAUAAAUUUGAUAUUUGUGCAAGUUUUCUUGUCUUUUAUUUCAGGCAACAAAAUUUGUGCUUACAGUGGUUUUAUCUUGAUUGAAUAAAUAACAAGAUGGCUUGCUUUAAGAGCAGAACUUCAGAAAUCUAUUCAUGCUUCUGCCUAUUGUUCGAGCUAUGGGUACGGAGAUCCUCCUCCCAUUGCUUGGUUGGAGACUCAGGGUAUGUUUGGUAAGACCUAAGAAUGACAAUUCUAAUUCCAUAAUUUCACCUCCUAUUCGGGUUUGUAUGCGGAUCCUAAGUGGAUUAAAUCAGUAAAACGGGUCUCUAUAUAAUCCACAAAAAAAAAAAUGAAAAUGAAAGUCCUCUCUCUCUCUCUCUUGUCACAAACCAACCAUCGCUUCUUUUGCAGCUCUUUCUCCUCCACAUCUUCCUUCUCCGCCUCCUCCCAUAUAUCCUCCUCUGCCUCCACCUAUACUUCCGUCGCUGACACUUCGUCUCUCCUCUUACUCAUCUUCCUCCUCUGCCUCUUCCCAGCAUUGAACAUCUACUCUCAUUUACGCAUUUUAAGAGUGAAAUUAUAGGGUUUCUUUCUGUAAAUUGGCUAAAAUCCAGUGAAUCCAAUAGCUGUAGCUAAAGAUGACCGCCAGAGAUAGCCUUCUCAGCACGACAUGUGUUGUAAAAUAUAUAGUAUUUCAAAAAUAUUAUUUAUCCCACAUCGAAAAAUGAGAAGUAUUGCUUUCUCUGUCCCACAUUGGGAAGUGAGAAAAGUUGCAGUCUUUGUCCCACAUCGGAAGUGAGAAGGGUUGCACCUCAUUCUGAAAUCUGUAAAUAGGAUCCAUUCCCUUCUCAGAAAAUCACCUCAGCAGCUUCAGUUGAUAUCUUUCUGAUAGCUGCUCUAUCUCUCUCUUUCUUUCUCUCUCUCUCUCUCUCUCUCUCUCUCUCUCUUUUAUUUCUGUCAGUUGAUACCUUUCUGACAAUUCUGUUCUCAAUUUCUCUCUCUAUAUCUGCUGAUUUUAAUUUGCUAGUUCUGGUCCUUCUAAUUUGCAACAAGAAGAAAGCUUGUCUUUCUUGUUUGCAACAAAUAGAAGAAGGCUUGUUUAAUCCUGGGGAGACAUUUCAAUUUCAUGAAAUAGUUUCUUAGGACAGUGCUACGCACGACUCAAGCAAUAGUGUUAAUAUUGUUGUGGCCGUUUCGACAACAAUCUAAGAAACUAUGGCCUCCGACAGUGUUAAUACCACACAACCUUCAUCCACAGUAGCAGUAGUCGCAAUACCAUUUGCUAAGCCUUUUCCGGAUGUCUCCAAAAUUGAAGUUUUUGCCAAUGAAAACUUCAGAAGGUGGCAAGAACGUGUACACUCCCUACUGGACAUUCAUGGAGUGGCUUAUGCACUGACAGAAUCCCAACCUGCUACGACCGUGGAUACUAAGAUACAAGAAUCAUGGCAAUAUGCCAAUACGGUAUGUCAUCAUACUAUUUUACAAACACUCUCAAAUGAAUUAUUUGACGUGUAUUGUAGUUGCAAGCAAGCCAAGACAAUUUGGGAAGCUUUGGUAACAAAGUUUACCGCCGAAGAUGCAACCAAACAAAAGUUCAUCGUAGGAAAGUACAAUCAGUGGUAGAUAACUGACGACAAAGAAAUGAAAAUCCAAAUCACAGAAUACCAAAUGCUACUCGAGAACUUGAAAAAUGAAGACAUCAAGCUGCCUGAGAAAUUUGCUGUAGGCAUGCUAAUUGAAAAACUGCCUGAGUCAUGGGGCGACUACAAAAAUAACUUGAAGCACAAGGAGGAAAAUUACACCAUUGAUGAGCUCGUAAAACACAUCAUGAUUGAAGAUUCAAAUAGGAAGGAGUUAAGAGCUGCCAAAGCAAAAGAAAUGAGCUUCAAAGCUAAUCUGGUCCAAAACAACAACAAAAGGUACGCCAAUAAGUCCCAGUAUGAUAGACCAAAAAAUCUCAACUACAAGUCCAAUAUCCCCAACUUUAAGAAAAAGAAAGGCAAUUGCUAUUAUUGUGGAAAACCAGGACAUUAUGCUACCCAGUGUAGAUACAACAAGGGUGACAAAGCAAAUGCCAAUCCUCCUAAGGUUAAUUUAACCGAAGGAGAUGAAAUAAUUGCUGCAGUCAUCGCUCAAGUGAACAUUGCAGCCAAUGUGAAAGAAUGGGUGGUAGACUAUGGGGCUACUCAGCACAUAUGUGCAAAUCGAGAAGCUUUUUCCUCCUAUACUCCAAUAGACGAUGAUGAAGAAGUAGUCUACCUUGGAGACUCACGAACUGCUAAAGUUCUGGGUAAGGGCAAAGUGCUCUUGAAACUUACUUCAGGAAAAACUUUGGCUCUUAUUGAUGUGCUGCAUGUGCCAAACAUUCGGGCAAAUCUGAUUUCUGUAGCAUUGCUAGGAAAAGUUGGGGUGAAAGUGUCAUUCGAAUCUGAUAAGAUCGUAAUGAAAAAAAAUAAUAUAUUUGUGGGGAAAGGCUAUUGUAACCAGGGACUCUUUGUACUUAACAUUUCAAAUGUACUUAAUAAGAAUGCUUCUUCUUCUACUUAUAUUGCUGAUUCAAUUUCUUUAUGGCAUGCUAGAUUAGGACAUGUUAAUGCAAGUUAUAUAAAGAAAAUGCAAUCUAGUGGCCUAAUUUCUGGUAUUAAUGAUAAAAUGGACAAAUGUGAAAUAUGUGCAGAAACCAAAAUAACAAAGAAAAGUUGUGUAAGUGUUCAAAGAGAAACUGAAUUAUUAAGUUUAAUUCACACAGACUUAGGUGAUUUGAAACAAACUAUGACUAGAGGAGGUAAAAGAUAUUAUGUUACUUUUAUAGAUGAUUACUCUAAAUACACUAAACUUUAUUUACUUAGAAAUAAAGAUAAUGUUUUUUAUCCUAUAAGUUUGAAGUAGAAAAUCAACUUAAUAAAAGGAUAAAAAGAAUUAGAUCAGAUAGAUGAGGUGAAUAUUUAGUUUUGGAUAGCUUCUGUGAACAUGAAGGUAUAACACAUGAAGUAACACCACCUUAUUCACCAGAAUCUAAUGAUGUAGCUGAAAGAAAAAAUAGAACAUUAAAAGAAAUGAUGAACUCCAAGUUAAUUAGUUCUCAUGCUCCUGAUAAUUUGUGGGGGGAAGCUAUUUUAUCUGCUUGUCAUUUACAAAAUAGAAUUCCACAUAAAAGAACUGGCAACACACCUUAUGAGUUAUGAAAAAAUUAUAAACCUAAUUUGAAAUACCUAAAAGUGUGGGGGUGUUUAGCUAAAGUAUUAUUGCCUGAACCUAAGAAAAGAAGAUUAGGUUCUAAAACUUCUGAUUGUAUGUUUAUUGGAUAUGCGGAACAUAGUGCUGCAUAUAGAUUUCUUGUUUUAAGAAGUGAUGUACUUGAUUGUAAUACAAUCAUUGAGACAAAAAAUGUUGAAUUUUUUGAACAUAUUUUUUCACUAUUUAAUAAAAUUUCUCAUGCACCUGUUGAAAUAAAUAAAGAAACAACCUCUAAUGAGGAGUUGAGAAGGAGUAAAAGGCCAAGAAAAGAAUUUUCUUAUGGAAAUGAUUUUCAAACAUUUCUUGUUGAUAAUGAUCCUUUAACUUAUUUUAAUGCUAUUUCUUCUUCUGAUAGCAAAUUUUGGAAAGAAGCAAUAAAAACUGAAAUUGACUUUAUUAUGAAAAAUAAAACUUGAAUUUUGGUAGAUUUAUCGCCUAGUACAAAACCUAUUGGUUCCAAAUGGAUUUUCAAAAGAAAAUAUAAUCCUGAUGGCUCUAUUGAUAAAUACAAAGCUCAUUUAGUAGCUAAGGGAUUUUCUCAAAAGCGAAAUAUUGAUUAUUUUGACACAUUUGCACCAGUAACAAGAAUUGCCUCUAUUCGGAUUUUAUUUGCUCUGGCUUCUAUUCAUAAACUUUUUAUUCAUCAAAUGGAUGUCAAAACAGUCUUUUUAAAUGGUGAUUUAGACGAAAAAAUUUAUAUGAUCCAAACUGAGGGAUGUAUCAUUUCUGGACAAGAAAAUAAGGUUUGUAAAUUAACUAAAUCUCUUUAUGGCCUAAAACAAGCUCCUAAACAGUGGCAUGAGAAAUUUGAUCAAGUAUUGAUUAAAGACGGAUUUUCGUCUGUAGAAGUGGACAAAUGUGUAUACGUUAAAAUUGUCAAUGAUCAAUAUGUGAUAAUCAGUUUGUAUGUGGAUGACAUGCUUAUAUUUGGUACUAGUCUAAAUAUUGUUAAUAGUACUAAAGAAUUUUUGUUUUCCAAUUUUGAUAUGAAAUAUAUGGGUGAAGUUAAAAUGAUAUUGAGUGUUAAAAUCAUAAGGAGAGAUGAUAGUAUAAUGUUGUCACAAGAACAUUAUACAGAGAGACUUCUUAAGAAGUUUGAAAUUAUGAUGUGACACCUAUAAGCACUUUCUAUGAUGCUAACACUCAAUUAAAGAAAAAUAAUGGUAACCCAAUUGCUCAGUCGAAAUAUGCUCAGAUUAUUGGGAGUCUGAUGCAUUUAAUGAAUUUUACAAGACCAGAUAUAGCCUAUGCUGUAUGUAGACUGAGUAGAUAUACUCAUAAUCCCAAUCGUGAGCAUUGGUUUGCAUUGAUCAGACUAAUGAAAUAUUUGAGAGGUACCAUAAAUUAUGGUAUUUUAUAUUGUGGAUUUCCCACUGUACUAAAGGAUACAGUGAUGCUAAUUGGGUCUCUGAUUCAAAUGAUACAAAAUUCACUAGUGGUUAUGUGUUCACCCUUGGUGGUGGUGCAGUAGCAUGGAAGUCAGCCAAGCAGACAGUCAUUGCUAGGUCAACUAUGGAGUCCGAAUUUAUAGCUCUGGAGUUGACUGGUUCUGAGGCUGAUUGGUUAAGGAAUUUCUUAGCCAAUAUUCCUUUAAAUAAGGAUCUGUUGCCUCCCGUGUCGAUACAUAGUGAUUGUCAAGCGGCUAUUGCUAUUACUAAAAAUAAAUCGUAUAAUUGUAAAAGUCAACACAUGAAAUUGAGACAUGAUGUCGUAAAGCAGUUGCUUAGAGAUGGAAUUAUUUUCAUUGAUUAUGUGAAGUCAGAGUUGAAUUUGGCCGAUCCUCUGACUAAACCCGUAGGAAGAAAAUUGAUUCUUCAAACUUCAAAAGAUAUGGGACUUCGACCAACAAAUUGUCAAUAGAGAUGGUAACCCAACCUAUGUGAUUGGUGAUCCUAUGAAGUAGGUUCAUAUGGGUAAUAACAAGUCAAUAUUGACCGUAACACACUUCAAAUUUAAGUCCCUCCGGAAAUAAGUGCUUUGAGUAAUUGAGGAUGAGUUAAAACUCUUAAUAAAUUCAUAACUUAUUAGGGAGCUAUAUUUAAAGGAGUAUACACUUGAUGAAUUCACCUAUAUGAGAGUGGAGUGGGACCGUUCCUAUAAGAUUCAUUGAUCAAAUUUUUAGAGCUCUCAUGAAAUAACCAGGCAGACGCACGGCCUAAAAGUGCAAAACCGCAUUAACAGCAAAUUAUGGGUUGCAAUGUGAUUGAUAAAAUCUCUGUCAUACAUCAAGAGUUUUUGGUUCAUAGAAAUUUAUAUUUCACCAAUAAUUCUGUAGAUCAUGUUUUAUCAAUCUAUGUUUGGUUCAUAGUCCAAAAGACACCAAUCUAAUAACAUUUCAACCAAAUCAAGCAGAGUACUUUUAAAAUUCUUCCUUUAUCCAAAGAAUUUUUUUGAAAUAGGAAGGAGAUUGUUGUAAAAUAUAUAGUAUUUCAAAAAUAUUCUUUGUCCCACAUCGAAAAAUGAGAAGUAUUGCUUUCUCUGUCCCAUAUUGGGAAGUGAGAAGAGUUGCAGUCUUUGUCCUACAUUGGAAGUGAGAAGGGUUGCACCUCAUUCUGAAAUCUAUAAAUAGGAUCCAUCAUCUUAUCAGAAAAUCACCCCAGCAGCUUCAGUUGAUAUCUUUCUGAUAGCUGCUCUCUCUCUCUUUUAUUUCUAUCAGUUGAUACCUUUCUGACAAUUCUAUUCUCAUCUUCUCUCUAUAUCUGCUGGUUUUAAUUUGCUAGUUCUGGUCCUUCUAGUUUGCAACAAGAAGAAAGCUUGUCUUUCUUGUUCGCAACAAAUAGAAGAAAGCUUGUUUAAUCCUGGGGAGACAUUUCAAUUUCAUGAAAUAGUUUCUUAGGACAGUACUACGCACGACUCAAGCAAUAGUGUUAACAUUGUUGUGGCCGUUUCGACAACAACAUGUUGUGGGCAUCCCUUGUACAUGGAUUCUCCAUUAUUGGCCUUAUCGAUUUGAGGGUAAUUUCUUGUUAUUGACGCACUAUACCUUGUGCUCAAAUAUUUGUAUUUUUUUGCUUUCUUUUGAAAAUGGAAUGGUAUAUUUGUGGCAUUAAUUUAAAUAUUAAUCAAUUCCCUAGUUGAUUUCCAUCGUUAGUCCAAUCCUAGUCCAUCUGACUUGUAUUCCUUUGUAGUUUUUGCAGUGUUAGCUUGUGUUGUUUAGAGUUUGACGAACCUUUGUCAUAUAAUUGGAGAAUCUGUUUUCUAACUGUAAUUGGGGCUUUAAAACUUUACUUUUGUCUAUCAGACUCUAUUUAAGUUUGCCCUAAUUAAGUUCUUUCUGUUCGUCCAGUUAGUAGUUUGGUUAAUUGUUUAACUCCCAUUAAUUCCUUUUUGUUAGUCUAAUUAUUAGUUUGGUUAAUUUCAUAUAAUAUCCAAUAGGAUUUACUUGUCUAAUUAUGUAAUAGUAGCUGAUUCUAGUUUCAUUAGCUUGGGUAAAAAGGGAUGCAGUGUUUCAUAGUUCCUAAUCGUUGGUUCAACUUGUGAGGUAAGGUAAGUACACUGUUCAAAAAGAGAUAUUAGCCAACUGUAUGGCAUUUUUUGAAGGAAGGUGCAAUAAACUGAUAUGGGCGGCAGCGCUUACUAAUUAAGUGCUGGGUAAUUGUUUGCUUGUCUUCAAUUUAUAGAGCACUUUAUCUUGUUGCCUUGUUGUUUCUUUUCUUAAAGGAAAACUUGCUGUCAGGUCAGGGCCUGAAAAAUCUUUUAUGUAUGGUGUCAGGGCUGCUAACUUCUUGUCAAUGGACAUGGAUUGUGAUGAAUGUGUGUUUUGGACUAUUUAAUGCCGCCAUAAAUUCUCACACACACUCUCUCUUAACGUACAUUUAAAUGUGUUUGAUUUUUCCUAAUAUGUUACAGGAAGGCUGGUUUAACCUUGUCCUGCGUUUAAGUGAAGUCAGUGCAUUCUUCUUGAUAGCAAAUUUGCGGGCUGACAUGAAGUUGGGCAUGCUUAAAGGCUGAAGAUCGUCACUCCAGUCUUCCUUGUAUCUGUGGUAGAGGGUCUCAAGGUGAAGGUGGUGAAUAGCUGGUGCUAAAGCUGCAUUUAUGCUUUAGAUACAGAGCAUUCGAGGAACUCAGAACUGUCUCUGGUAAAACUGGUUGAAAAGAGACUACUUAGUUGAAUCAGGCAUGUUGGCGGAUCAGAGGGAAAGGGGGUCCAUAACAUCUCUUCUUCCCUUGAUUUCUGUUAUCCUUUGACAUGUUUCUCUAAUUAUUUUUAGGGUUAGGGGGGUAUAUGCGUUUUAGCUAGUUUGGCAUGAUUUGGUCUUUUGACUUACCUUUUCUUAUUGUUGCCAUGAUUUUGAAUUGCAGAAUUUGGAUAUUGACAUGGCUAAGGAAGGAGACGAGCAAAAAGCAAAAAAGAGAAAAGUGGUAGUUGCAAAUUAUAUGGUAUUAGCAACAUUAGUAGUUUGGUGGCAUGAGAAACAUAUAGUAAAGGAGGCUUAUUUUGACUUUAAAGUAGCACGUGAAAUAUAUCUAAGGCGUCUUUACUAUAGAAACAAUAGAGUUUGUGUAGAGCAACUUCGACUCAAUAAACAUUGUUUUACUGUUUUAUGUACAAAUUUAAGAGAGCAUUGUGGGUUGAGGGGUACUAGAAAUAUUACUGUUGAAGAAGUAGUUGCAAUGUACAAGGGAUUGGACAUAGUAAAUAAAUUAUUAAAGGCACUAAUUGGCUUUUUCCUUAAAGCUUUAGUAACAAUUAGCUAAAUGUUAAAAAAUUAUUAUAUACUAAAAAAAAGAAAUUUUUUAUGUAAGGAAAUGUUAGUUGGAAACAAUUCUAAUUUUUAAUGAAUUCUUGUCUCAUCCAAACAAAGAAUUUGAAAUUCCAAAUGAAUUCUGUAUCAAUUCUAUGUAUUAUCCAAACAAAAGAAUUCCAAUGUUUUGGAAUUCCAAUUCAUAGAAUUCUAAUUCUAUAGAAUUCCAAUUCCAAUUCAAUUCCAAUUCUGUAGAACCAAACGCACCCUCAAAUUAAUUACAGGGAUAUUGGUGCUAAGGUUUGAAUAUCAGUACUUUUCCUUCCGUUCAAGGCAAUCUGCUGAUUGUUUGCUAAGCAAAUUAUUCCCUCCAAAGAUGAAUUGAAGAGAAAAAGAUAUCUUGUAUCAAUUGAAAAUAAAAUUGGGUUCCACAAUUUUCAAAAAGUUUGGACGUCAUUUUAGCAAAUUUUGAAAAUGCCAAUUUUGAUCAGCCAACAAAGUUCAAAGUUUUGCUAGCAUUUUUAAUUCCCUUUUUCAAGCCCAAAACGUCGUUGUUUUGCUGACACAAUUUAGUUGCUUGUGUGGCUUCAUCUUGACCGUUGAUAGGUUAACUUUUAAUCUUGGCUAUGAAAUUAUUGCAAAUGGAAAUUGUGAGGUCCCGCUCACUCCGUUACUCAAAGUUUUUCUCUUCUGGGUAGAUGAGCUCUUCCUUUACUGUAGAGGGAUGAUGACUCCAAUUUAUACCAAAUCGAUUUUCAGCGGUGUUGUAUACGGAGAGCUUCCAACAAAAAACUUACCUAUACAAGCGAAGAUUAAACUCAAGCUGCUAUUGUCCCUAACAUUGCCUAGAAUAUUGCACAAAAUUGCUAAGAUUACAAACAACUCUUUUAACAACUUUUGCAAGAAACAAGAGUUUUGUACACCAUCACAUUUCACUCAAGACUAGGGUGACAAAUGAAUUAAGCCACUUAUGAGCGCUUGCAAGUUGGUUAAGUCAAAAUUCAAUUCGAACUUGAUCAAGUUGAUCUCAAGUCAAUCAAGUCGAGCUAUCAAACUCGAGUCAAACGUAGAAAAACUUAAUUCAUUAGCUCACGAGUCAACUCAAAAAAUAUGCAUGUACGUAGAUACGUACGUAUGUAUGUAUGUAUGUAUACAUAUAUAUACACAUAUAUAUAUUAUUUUUUAUUUUAAUAGUGAAAUUACAUAUAUGUCACUAAUAUUUUUAUUAUUUAUUAAGAAUAAAUGUCUAUUUUAUUCAUUUUUUAGAAAAAUAAAAUAAUUAUUUUUCAUUUUUUAAAACUCGAGUAGGUUCGAAAUCGAGCUCAACUAGGCUCAAAUUUGAGGCUAAACUCAAACUCGAGUUUUACAUUGAAAACUCAUUGAGUUUAAACUUGAGUUUAAAUUUGGUAAAAUUGAAUCCAACUCGGCUCGAUUAAGCAAAAUCUGGACUCAACUCGACUUGUUUGCAGUCCUAUCAAGACUAUACAAAAUCAGAUCACUAGAAAUAUAAAGGACUUAAGUUUUUAUAAGAACAAUAGUCAUUUGAAUUAACUUUCUGUUGGAUUUUGAGAAGGAAAGAAAUCCUUUUUGCUUAAAAGAAUGUUUUGAAAGAAUGAACACGGACAUCAAACUUGACGCGUAAGGAAAACAUGGAAAGAAAUAUUCUUUAGUAGUAAGAGUAUGUUGAUUUCAAUUGAAAGAAUGAAUAUGGACAUCAAAAUGGAUUAGUGAAAAAUUUUGAAUUCAGAAUCAACAAAUUCUAUUAUGGAUUUGAUGAUGGAAUUAGACUUUAUAUUCGACUACUAAAGAAGUUUAAGAGAAGUGUUAACCUUCACCUAUGGUAAAAGUACUUCUCUCUAGAACCUUUUUCUCCUUCUUUUCUUUAGAACUCUUCCGGUUAAAAUUUCUUUCAUCUCUCCUAUGGGAGAGAAACCAAAUUUGAUCUUUUCCAUGGGAGGGAGCACUCUCUAAUUUUUAGUUUCUCUUGUUGAAUAGAUUAUCUCCUAAGGGCUUUUAGUUGGAGAUUCUUCUCUUCUAAAAUCUCCUAGUGAGAGUUUUUUUCUCUCUUAGUAAGAGUUUUAUUCUCUCCUGGAUUUUCCCUUGUGAGAUUUUUUUUUGUUUUUAUCUUCUCUAUAAAAUUUGAAAUUUUGUAAAUCUAGAAUCCAGUUUCUCAGAUCUAUAAUUUCUCCAUUAUUGUCAAAUCUAAUUUCUCUUUGAAUUUGAACUAGUUUUAAUCAUAUUUGAUUGUCAGAAGACAUGCACAAAUAUAUUGGGUUACAAUAAUUUAUCCGAUUGGAAGAUACGCAGGAACAACAAUGUUAUCUAUAUUUGUAUUGAUUUCUUAGAUCUCUUGUAUCUAUUGAUUUUUGAUCUGUAUGUAUCCGUGUCCUAUUUAUUUGAUGUAUUUUUUGCCAUUAGUGUUGAUUUAUUUAAUAAAAUGAUUUUUUAUAUCAGAAAAAAAUGAAGUUCGAGAGAAAUAUGGAUUUUGUGGUUGAUUAAUUGAAAACAGAUAUUAUAUUAAGUUAAAGAAUGAAUCCAGGCACAAUGAAUGUUUUUAGGCAUCAAUUUGAAUUUAAAAUCAAUUAAUAAAAAUCCUAGAAAAGGAUUCCAUGUCAAAUAUGGAUUUAACUCCAAAAAGUGAGGAAUUAAUUUUGAAAGAAAUCAAUCAAAUUCUUUUCAAAAAAAAAUAAUACCUAUUUUUAAUUGUUUAGAAAAUGAUUGACUGACUUGGAAAAAUUAGAAAAUAUCUUCCACACAUCAUGAAACAUGUAGAAAGUUAAUUUUGACAGCAAGGCAUAAUUUUUUUCAAAAACUUUCAAAAAUAAAUUGAAGAGUGAUCUUGUUAUUGCCUGAUAGGCUAACCUAAAGAUCAGACGAUGACUGAGAGAUCAAUGUUAUCUCAACAAUUAAAUAUAGAUUUAAAGCUAGACUGUUAUAUGCUCUUUGGUAUAAAUUAAUCUUGUAUAUCAAAUCAAUUAUGCUAAGAACUUCUACUGAGAUCUUAUUGCCCAAUGAUACCACUCUUACUCAUGAGAGACGGCAAGACGUUCUUUUUUUACUGUGCAUAGUUUUUUUAUUUAUAUGCUCAAUGAUACAAUACUCUUACACAUAUACCUGACCUGUGCAAUUUUUUACUUCUCCUGCCGGUGACCAAGAAUGAAGCUAACCACCAAGGUCAUAGAGUAAAUUCUCAUGGUCUCUCAUGGUCAUCAUAAGCAAUUAGUAUUCCUUUUUUCCUUGUACAUUAUCUUUUCUACAAAAAGAAAAGAAAAGAAAAGAAAAGUUUUUCUUGUUUCAUUUCUAUAGCCAAGUCAAAGGAAAAAUAUUUAACUCCUAGCCAAGAUCUUCAAUUCUGAUGAUUAAAUUAGUUAGAUGAACUUAUCUCUAGCUUUCUUUUUUUUUUUCAGUUCGAUGUUCAAUUAGUUAGAUUAAAAUAUUUUUUGUUAGAUUAAAUUAGUUAGAUGUUUAAUUCUGACGAUUACUGAUUUUUACAUAACAUUGAGUAACCGGAAAAAUGCCAUCAAGCUUGUCAAGACAUAACUAAUAAAAGAAUGCAUCGUCCCCGUGGGUAAUUGUAAUCAAAGAAUGCCAACAUUAAUGAUAUUUUGCUUCCAAAAAUUCUAAACAGCAUAAUCUUCCCUUCUUUUCUCUUCUUGUUGUUUCUCUACUUACAUUUUCUCAUUUUUUGUUUUCUAUACUAAACUCCCAACUAGCCGCAAGUCUUCCUUAUUUCACCAAUAAGCCGUUACCCAUUGCCCACCUAACCACCUGGGCUCUUCUUCUUCUUUUUUUUUACCAGAAUGAAAAUGGGGUUAAAUCCACACCCUCAUAACCUAAAUCGACAUCCUUUGUAAUCGAGUUGAUCAAAAUUGUUGGAUCUUUAAUCCAACAUUGGACUUAUAUGUGAAUGAUUAUGUGUUGCAAAUUGUCAAUUAAGGUUAAUCCCAAUUAAAGUGAUCAAAUAUAGUUUGGGCUUAAUGUGUCUAAUAGGGUGUGGGCCUUUAAUGUGUAGAGACUUAAGGGCUCCUAUUUCUAUGAUGGGCUGAAAUAGGGUUCCAAAGGGUAACAGGAAUGUUACCUAUAAAUAGGGUUAUGGUCCCCAGGUCACAGGUAUCGUUUUAGUUAUCGUAUUUCCUAAAUACCACAAUAUAGCUCUUCUCUGAUAUCCCAUCGUCAGGAAAGAUAUCAGAGAGAAACUAAAGGUCUCUCUCAAAGGAUCGGUGAAUACCUGUUGACCUGGAAGGCCACCCCAAAAUCUCUAGGGAUUCAAGUAUCAAGUUUAUCAAUAUGGAUUCAGGUACGCUUCCUCUAUUUUACAGUUAAUGUAUUUCUUAAUAAUCGCCAUAUAGAUCUUGGGUUUAAAGGUGAUGGUUUUCACUAGUGGUUAAAUUUAGAUAACCACCCUAACAAGUGGUAUCAGAGCCCAUGUGGUUGAUUAUUAGGAAAUAAUUUGGAUUUAGUAAUUUAUAGUAAAUUUGCACGGCUGAUUUAGUAACUUGCAAGCCUUGGUUGCUGAUGGCUUUAUAAUUGCAUGCCUUUUGUUUUCGGCCUCUGCCUCACAAAAAGAAAAAAAAAAGGGAUUCAUGGUGCUUUUGGUCUUCGGCCAAUUGAUUUCGUGUGACUAUACAUGCUUAUGUUUGGUGGGUCAAUUGGUCUUCGGUCAGAACUAUGAAUCCAGGUUUCGUGUGACUAUACAUGCUAUUGGUUCAUUGUUUUGGUUUCAUGAAAUUCAAGUGGGAUCCGCAUGCUUUGAUGAUGUAAGCUAACUUGUCUCCGGCUUCGGGAUGUCAUUCGUCCUUUUCCUCACUUUGAAGAUUAAAUUUAAACUUGUUUCUUCGUUUAAGAGCCAAUAUGUAUAUUUAUUUAUGUAAAAGAAAUUAGGGUUUAUUUAAUUUAAGUAAACCCUAAUAAAGUUAAAUAGGACAUUUAAGCCCUAUAAAAUCCAUAUGUGUGGCCCAUUAAAUAUGUAGUUUUUAUAAAGUACUUAUGGAUUUCAAGAAAAUUUUUGAGUUUGAAUGUUAAUUUUGGGUCAAAUUAUGGAUAUGGACCUUUGGUCCAAUAAGUCAUGAUUUAAUUUGAUUGAUUUGACCAUGUUUGACCACGUUUUGACCAAAGUUGACUUUGAUCAAAAUUUUUAUUUAAUUUGGAUAAUUUUAAAUUUGAAUGUUGGUAUGAUUAUAUAUAUUUUGGAAUAAAUUAAUUGAAAUAAUAUGCCACCAAAGUGACCUCUAUUAUGGAAAUUAAUUUAUUUUAAAAUAUAACUAGUUGGGUACUAGUAAUUUUAUGAAUAUUGAUCGGUCCAAAGGAAGGUCAAUAUUUAAUGAAGUUACAUGUGCACUUGUGGUAAUAAAUACGUGAUAAUUAUUUGGAUUUUACAUGUAAUUUAUAAAUUGGCCAAAAGGAAAAUUUAUUUUUGACAUGUUAUUAUUAUCAGUAUUUAUUACUGCACCAAGAUAUCACUUAGAAGUUAAUAUUUUUAUCCAAAGAUAAAAUAUUAAUGAAAUAUCGGUAUCUUGAGAUGGGACUACCAUUAUUUAAAUUUAUUAUUAUUUUGAUUUAUGUGAGCUUAUUUUAAUUAUAUUAUGUUUUCUGUUCAAUUGCGAAUGAUCUUAUAGAUAUUACUUCUAACAUCAAUAAUAUUCCUAUGCUGAAUGGCACAAACUUCAAGUCCUGAAAAGAAAAUCUCUUGAUAGUACUUGGAGUAAUGGGUCUCGACCUUGCGUUAAGGAAUGAUUCCUCCCCACCUCUUACAGAUCAAAGUACCUCUGAUGAAAAGAGAAAUAAUGAGAGGUGGGAGAGAUCAAAUCGCUUGUGUCUGAUGAUCAUUAAAAAGACCGUUCCAAAAGCAUUCAGGGAUACAAUAUCAGAAGCGACUGUAACCGCUAAAGAGUUCCUUCAAGAUAUUGAAAAAAGAUUUGUCAAGAACGAAAACGCAGAAAUUAGUACGCUCUUGACAAACCUAGUUUCAAUGAAAUAUAGUGGUAAAGACAAUAUUAGAGAGUACAUCAUGGAGAUGUCUCACCUUGCUUCAAAAUUGAAUGCAUUAAAAUUGAAACUCUCUGAAGAGUUACUAGUGCAUUUGAUUUUAAUAUCUCUUCCUACACAGUUUAGUCAAUUUAAGGUGAGUUACAACUAUCAAAAGAAAACUUGGUCUCUAAAUGAACUCAUCUCACACUGUGUAGAGGAAUAGGAAAGGUUGAAGCAAGAACAGACAGAAAGUGCCCAUCUGGUGUCAACUACUAAUAAUAAAAGUAAGGAAUUUAAGAGGAAAAAGGAAAAAGGAGCUGCAGGUACAGCGCCACAAAAGAAACAACAAAAGAAAUCAAAUGAUCAAGGAAAGAAUAGUUGUUUCUUCUGUGGAGCUGAAGGGCAUCAAAAGAAGCAUUGCACCAACUAUCACGCUUGGCGUGCUAAGAAAGGUAUGCUUCUUAAUUUGGUUUGUUCUGAGUUUAAUUUAACUUCGAUACCUAGACACACAUGGUGGUUAGAUUCUGGUGCAACAACUCACAUCAGUGUGUCUAUGCAGGGUUGUCUGAAUUGUCGAAAGCCUAAUGAUAAUAAAAGACAUAUCUACGUGGGUGAUGGCAAAACAAUUCAAGUUGAGGCAAUCGGAGUUUUUAGAUUAUUGUUAAAGACCGGAUUUUAUUUGGAUCUCUAUGAGACAUUUGUUGUACCGUCUUUUAGACGGAAUUUAAUUUUUAUUUCUGUUUUGGACAAAUUUGGUUAUUUUUGUUCAUUUGAAAAUGAAAAAUUUGAAUUGUUUCAUGAUUCAAAAUUGGUCGGUUCUGAUUCUUUAAUGCAUUACGAUAAUCUAUAUUUAAUUGAUACGAUUGCCUCAUUUAAUGAAUCUCUACAUUUGAGUACUAGAGGAGUAAAGAGAAAAUUAACCAAUGAGAAUUCAGCCGCAUUAUGGCACAAGAGAUUGAGACAUAUCUCCAAGCAGAGAAUGAAAAGACUUGUGUCAAAUGAAAUUCUCGACCCCUUAAACUUUACAGAUUUUAAUGAUUGCAUUAACUGUAUAAAGGGGAAACAAACCAAUCAAAGGAGAUUUGAAGCCAAUAGGUCUUCAGACGUCUUAGAACUUAUACAUACGGAUAUUUGUGGACCAUUUCCUACAUCUGCUUGGAAUGGUCAACAAUAUUUUAUAACGUUCAUAGACGAUUUUUCAAGAUAUGGCUACAUAUAUGUCAUUUCUGAAAAGUUACAGUCACUGGACGUGUUCAAAACUUUUAAGGCUGAAGUUGAAAAUCAACUCAACAAAAGAAUUAAAAGCGUCAGAUCUGACCGUGGUGGUGAAUACUAUGGUAGAUAUGACAGUUCAGGUGAACAACGUCCAGGACCAUUUGCCAAAUACCUAGAGGAAUGCGGUAUCGUCCCACAGUACACUAUGCCCGGUUCACCUACUAUGAAUGGUGUAGCUGAAAGACGAAAUAGAACGCUUAAAGACAUGGUAAGGAGUAUGAUAUGUCAUUCUACUUUACCAGAGUCACUCUGGGGUGAAGCACUUAAGACUGCAGCAUAUAUUCUUAAUAGAGUUCCAACUAAAGCAACUAUCAAAAUCCCUUAUGAGCUUUGGACAGGGAAAAAGCCCAGUUUAAAGCAUCUGCAUGUUUGGGGGUUUCCAACUGAGGCAAGGCCUUACAGGCCAAAUGAAAAGAAACUGGACUCAAGAACGAUUAGUUGUUAUUUUAUUGAAUAUUCUGAAAAAUCCAGAGGUUACAAGUUUUAUGAUCCCACAACAAAAUCAAUUUUUGAGACAGAAAAUGCCCGGUUCUUUAAGGAUGUCGAGUUUGGGGGAGAAAAUACAGUAAGGGACAAUGUCUUUAAAGAGGAAUAUAUUAAUAUUCCCACAGGUGUCAUUGCUCUUGCUCAGGACCCUAUUCCUGAACUUGAUCAUGAUAUGACAAAUCAAGACAAUGUCGAAAAAUAAACUGUUAUAGAAGAACAAACUCUUCCUCUCCAAGAACCAGUGCCAUUAAGAAGAUUCACUUGAGAAAGGAGAAGUGCAGUGCCAGAUGAUUACAUUAUUUUUCUCCAAGAACAUGAGGAUGACAUUGAAUUGAUGGAAGAUGAUUCAAUAACUUCCGUCAAGUCAUGGAAAGUUCAAAUUCUCAAAAGUGGAUCGAUACCAUGAAUGAGGAGAUUAAAUCCAUAAAGGACAAUGAUGUUUGGGAUCUUGUCCCAUUGCCAGAAGGUGCGAAACCCAUUGGUUGUAAAUGGAUAUUUAAAAUCAAGAGGGAUUCGAAAGGCAAUGUGGAAAGAUACAAAGCUCGUCUUGUCGUUAAGGGAUUUACACAAAAAAAAGGUAUUGACUAUAAAGAAAUUUUCUCUCCGAUCUCUUUAAAGGACUCUUUUAGAAUUAUCAUGGCACUAGUGGCACAUUUCGAUCUUGAGUUACAUCAGAUGGAUGUAAAGACAGCGUUCCUCAAUGGUAACAUUGAUGAGACUAUUUAUAUGGUGCAACCAGAAAACUUUGUGUCAGGAGAUCUAAAGAAUAUGGUUUGCAAACUUAAAAAAUCCAUCUAUGGGUUCAAACAAGCGUCUCGACAAUGGUAUUUCAAAUUUCAUCAAAUGAUCAUCUCAUUUGAUUUUGAGAUGAAUUUAGUAGAUGAUUGCAUAUACCAUAAGUUCUGUGGGAGCAAGUAUAUUUUUCUGGUAUUGUAUGUUGAUGACAUUUUGCUUGCCAGCAAUGAUAUGGGUCUAUUGCAUGAAACCAAGAAAUUUCUGACUAAGAAUUUUGAGAUGAAAGAUCUUGGUGAUGCAUCUUUUGUGCUAGGUAUACAAAUACACCGAAAUCGAUCUCAGGGUAUUUUAGGACUAUCACAAAAGAGCUAUAUCGAAAAGGUUCUCAAAAGGUAUGGCAUGCAAAAUUGUAAACCAGGUGACACUCCCGUGACUAAAGGAGACAAAUUUAGUCUUGAACAGUGUCCCAAGAAUGCUUUUGAGAAAAAAGAGAUGCAAAAGAUUCCUUAUGCAUCAGCAGUAGGGAGUCUAAUGCAUGCUCAAGUAUGUACGCGUCCGGAUAUUGCGUACAUUACUGGAAUGUUGGGUAGAUAUUUGAGUAAUCUUGGAUUAGAUCAUUGGAAAGCAACGAAACGGGUCUUACGAUAUCUACAAAAAACAAAGGACUACAUGCUCACGUAUCGGAAGUCAGAUGAGUUAGAGAUCAUUGGGUAUACUGAUUCCGAUUAUGCUGGAUGCAAAGAUACUAUGAAGUCAACGUCAGGCUAUGUCUACUUGUUGGCUGGAGGUGGCAUAUCCUGGAAGAGUGCUAAACAGUCCCCCAUAGCAUCUUCCACUAUGGCUGCAGAAUUUAUAGCUUGUUAUGAGGUAUCCAACCAAGGAAUUUGGCUGCAAAAUUUCGUCAUAGGAUUACGUGUAGUGGAUGGUAUUGAAAGACCACUCAAAUUAUUCUGUGAUAAUAAGUCGGCAGUCUUAUAUUCCAAUAACAACAGGAGUUCGACCAAAUCUAAACAUAUAGAUAUCAAAUUCCUGGCUGUUAAAGAAAGAGUGCAUAAUGGACAGUUAUCGAUAGAGCACAUCGGGACAAACUCCAUGGUUGUGGAUCCGCUUACUAAGGGAUUGCCACCCAAAAUGUUUCAUGAGCAUACUACUCGUAUGGGUGUCGUGUUAUCAAAUGAUGUACAGUUUUAGUGAGAAUUUGUUAUUUUGAAUAUUCUUAUGAUAUUUUUCAAUUAUUAAGGAUUUAAGAAUAUUUUAUGCAUAAAUAAAGUUUGGAUUUAUCUACAUUCUGACUUUGGUAUGGUUUGAUCUCAUGAAAGUUUAAGAUGGACCAGUUGGAAAUAGGCAUGUUUUGAUCACAUUACAUAAAAUUUUCAUGCUACACAUCCACAUCAUGAUUCAUGUCAUUCAAUUGUAUCGAUAUAUGUGACCAUUGAUGGGUCGAGUUAUGAAAGUGUAACAAAGGCCGCUUUGAUCCUAUAUUGGUAUGAUUGAUGGACCGAAUUGGUUGCAGAUACAUUAUGCUAAUGACAAUAAAGUUGAGCUCAUACGGUUAAUUGCGAAACAUAAUUAUAAGGUUACACAUAUAGUCCAAGUGGGAGAUUGUUGGAUCCUUAAUCCAACAUUGGACUUAUAUGUGAAUGAUUAUGUGUUGCAAACUGUCAAUUAAGGUUAAGCCCAAUUAAAGUGAUCAAAUAUAGUUUGGGCUUAAUGUAUCUAAUAGGGUGUGGGCCUUUAAUGUGUAGAGAUUUAAGGGCUCCUAUUUCUAUGAUGGGCUGAAAUAGGGUUCCAAAAGGUAACAGGAAUGUUACCUAUAAAUAGAGUUAUGGUCCCCAGGUCACAGGUAUCGUUUUAGUUGUCGUAUUUCCUAAAUACCACAAUAUAGCUCUUCUCUGAUAUCCCAUCGUCAGGAAAGAUACCAGAGAGAAACUAAAGGUUUCUCUCAAAGGAUCGGUGAAUACCUGUUGACCUGGAAGGCCACCCCAAAAUCUCUAGGGAUUUAAGUAUCAAGUUUAUCAAUAUGGAUUCAGGUACGCUUCCACUAUUUUACAGUUAAUAUAUUUCUUAAUAAUCGCCAUACAGAUCUUGAGUUUAAAGGUGAUGGUUUUCACCAGUGGUUAAAUUUAGAUAACCACCAUAACAAAAACCCAUAGCAUUUAUGGCUUGAUAGAAACUUUUUCAAUAAAAAAUUAGCCUUUUGUUUGGUGAAAAUAGAUGAUGCUAAUUUAGAUUUAAAAUUUAUAUCAUUAUGAAUGGUUUUAAAAAUUUUGACUUUUUUUCAUUCACUUUAAUGGCAUUUAUUUUUUUUCCUCUUAUUGGUGGAGAGAAUGUUUUAAUCUCUUUUUAGGGAUAAUUUCAAAAGCCUCCCAUAAGGUUUUUGACUAUUUCACUUAGUUCGCCAAAGAUUUCAAAAAUUACCCUCCCUUGGGUUUACCAUCUUGGUAACAAAAAUUAUGAAGUUCGUUUUACUUUCUUAUAAAAUUCUUUAAAAAAAUGGAAUAUGCACAAAUUCCUAGAUCCACUUUCAACCCUCAUUUCUACUAUUUUAAACCUUUCAUAUUCUUACAUCUCAAAUUAGUACCAUUAUCACCAUGAUCACCACCACCAUCAAUCCCUAAAUUCUAAAACCUCAAUCUAAGUUACAAAAGAAAAAAAAAAUUAGCACUAUUAUUAAUAUAAUAUCCUAUCCCUCAAGUGUUCAAGUACCAACACAUGCCUCGUCCUUUUUAAAUCUUCAACUUAUAUCUUCUUCUAUUCAUCUUUAGAUCUUUCAAGCAAAACUAAAAUUAAUUUGUAGUAAUAUGUAAGAAUUGUGUUUAGGACAUAAUUAUUUAUUCUAUGAAUGAAUCUUUUUUUUGUUUCCAUUAAAUGUUUAAUUGUGUGGUGCAUUCCUAUGCACAAGAUUAGGAGAGUAUUAUUUAAUUGCAUGAAAAAUAUUAAUAUAUUAAAGUUAUCAUUGUCAUUUUAUAGGACCAAGGAAGGUAAAUGUAAUAUUGAAAACCUCAAGGGUAGUUCGUGAAAUUGUCAGAAAUUUUGAGAGAGGUUUCUAAAAUUAUUCCCUCUUUUAUAAUGUAAGAGGAGAUGAGAUUUUUUUUUUAAAAAAAAUUGUGUUAAGAAAAUACUUUUACCUUUUGGUACGUUACAUUUCCAAGUUGAUUGAAGUAUAAUUUUAGAAAACACUAGAGGAUUAAUAAUUAGAAUGAUGGAAUCAAACAAUUUCAAUUAAUUAAAAUUUGUAAUUGAUUUUUUAAGCAUUUCUUGUUGUGUGAAAGGCAAGUUUUGGUAUUGGGAAAAAGUUUCUAUCAAUUUUCUAUGUGUUUUAUCAUCAUCUUAAUUCUAGGGGCGUAGAUUUAGACUAAGGGCGUGUGAAUUUAGCCCCACUCUUUUUAUAUUUGAAUAUUAGUUUUGGUUAGUAAUUCUUUUGGAUCAUGGUUUUCCAUGGCUCUAGAAAUAUAAAAUUCAUUAGCUUUUUUUUUAAAUUUGACUGAAAAAUAUUGUAUAUAUGCAGUUUUUGGUUUUAGGUUUUCUAAUUUCUUGGAACUUAAGGCUUGGAAAUCUGGAGGCUCAAGUGAGCUUCAGUGCUCCGAGCUCGAGUUAACAAAUUGCAUACUCAAAGCAGGCCCCUACUGGCAGUGAUAUCCUGAUCUCAUGGAUGAAGGCUAACGUUUUCUAUUGGAAUAGAGGGAUGUGCAGAUAAGGUAGCUAGAUAACGUAGCUGGAUUUGGAAUAUAUGCUCAGUAAGGAAACAUUACCAGCCCAAGGAACUGUAAUUGCCCGUUUUCCAUAAGAAUUGCCUAGGCCUUAAUCCUUGUUGGUCCACAAUAAGUUGGACCUGGAUUUACCAUGUGAGCCGAGUAAAGAGAAAAAAGCGAGAGAGUUUGUGUGUAUGUAUCAUAACAGACUGCCCAGUUUUUUGUCUAGCAAACGGAAGAAAACACAAUAUUACGCGAAUGGCUUAUUCUCUUGCUUUGAAUUACAGCUCGCCCAUGAAUUGUAACAGUUUUGUGACAUAAAAUUUGUUUAUUGGAAAAAUAACAUUAAACUCACUACACUAACUUAUAUAUACUAGCUAUCGAAGCACACUCGAUGCGUCUACAACUUGUUAAAAAAUAUUUUUAAUUGAAAAAAUCACAAAAAUAGUGCAAGUGAAUAUAACUAUUUUAUGUAAUAUGUAAUAAAAAGUGUAUUAUACAUAAAUAUGUAAAAAAAACCUUUGGUAAGAGAGAACGUGAGAAUUGGAGGGCGGUAGUUUUGAUUGAGUAGGAUUUAUGUAUACGUUGAUAAUAAAGAUAAGGGUAAUUUUGGUAGAGUAAAAUUAGUGUAUUAGUAGAUAAUAGAGAUGGAUAACGAAAAUAAAGGUUAAUAAAUAAUAAAGAUAAGGAUAAAUAUGAAAAUAAAUAAAGUUAACAUCAAAUUAACUAAAUGCACAGACUUUAGUAUUGUAAAGAUAUGUAUGUGUGUGUAUAUAUAUGUAUGAAUGUGCGUGUACAUAUAUAUAUGUAUGUAUGUGUAUAUUUAUAUAUGUAAGAGUACAUGAAUACAUUAUUCUAUUCUUCAAAAUUAGAACUUACCCAUGAAUUGUAACAUUUCUGAAACAAAAUAUACUUACAGAAAAAGUAACACUAAACUUACUUCCUAUCUUGCUCCUUAAGAGUCAUAGUAGAAGAACCCAUGUGAAUAGCUUUUCUUUUACUUCUUUGCCAUCCACACUUCGGCCUCACAAGCCAGUCGAUUGUCACUUAUUAAGGACUUCAGUUAGCCUCUUAGUACAGGUCAAGGGAUUCCCUUGACUUGUAUUCAUCUCCAGAAUUUUUUGAAAGUUUCAUCAGUGGGUGUAAAUGUGCCCCAUUUGAUCCGGUAGUGAUUUAAUCCCAUCAUUGUACUUUCUUAGGUCAUUUGGGCCCAUGCCCUCUCCCUUAUUAUAGAGUAGGAGUAGAAUAAAAAAGUUAUUGUAUGUCGACAAAAAAAAAAGUUAGCCUCUUAGUAGGAUAGCUGCCACUUCUUCUUUCCCUCCUCUCGCUUUUUCCCCCUCAGCACUAAAUUUUUAGGAAUAUGUCAAUUUUGAUCACGAAAUUUUGGACUAUUUCGUACUCAAACUUUUUGACAUAACACAUUUAAUAUCUAAACUAUCAAUUUUUGAUCGAUUUCAUUCUCAAAUGGAACAUUAAUCAAUUUGGAUUGAAAAAUGCCAGUUUUUUGGCCAAAUUUUCGGCUAUGGACAUAUUUUGUUCUCAAACUAUGCAUUGCCUAUGCUGUUGAUUCUCUCUUUUAUUGCCAGCUAUUGAUUUGGAUGCAAUUGUUUGAGAACGAAAUGUGUCCAUAACCCAAAGUUUGAAAAUGAAAACUAGUGUUUUCCAUUAAUUUUCCCUUUAACAAUGAAAUUGGUCAAAAAUUAAUAAUUCAUAGACUUAAUGUGUUAUAAAGUUUGAGUUGUCCGUGGUCAAAAAUUUGUCCGGCUUUUUCCCAUCAAUUUCCUAAUGCAAUGAUUAGAGUAUAACUUCAAUUUGACUACAAUCUUUUACCAUUUUUGUUUUUUUUUUGUCUCUACUAAGUGGACUGGGGCUAGAAAGUUUUCAAGCUUAAUACAAAACAAAAAGAUGGCACCUGAUACACGUAAAAUGGCUUGUGCAUGGGGUUGCAUAUGCGUGCAUGGAGUUAGUACAGCUGGAGUUAGUUACAAUAGGUUAGUCAGUGAUUUGUACAAAUCUUAUGACGUCAGUCGACGUCAUAAGUUUGUUAGCCGACUUACAAUCACCGCCUUAGUCACUUAUAAAAGGUGAAGCUGGAAGUCUAUGGCGGUAUUGGAUUCCAUUUGUAAAGUUGCAUUUUCACAUUUCUCUAUAAUCUCUCUCUUCCCAUCAUCAUUCAAGUCAAUAAACUUUCUCUGGUUUUCAGAUCACUUCUCCAUCAUUUCUGUGGUCCCUAGAUCAGAGAUUACAGACCUCAACUACUCUUUGCAUCAGUGGUAUCAGAGCUGGGUCACGCCAGCUUGAUUCUUCAAUGGCAGAGGGCACUAGGUCGCAGGACGUCCGAAAAAUCGAGGAGCACGUCAGAUCCAUGCUGAAGGAGCAACAGGAGCAAUUUGAGAGAGAAAUGGCGGCUCUGUGGAAUCUGGUAAUCGAAUUGCACACACAGAAGGCUCAGGGGAAAGGACAUGCCUCCCCUCGCAAUUCGGACACUCCAACCAGCAGCAGGGGAGGAUAUCAGGUUCCUUCUCGUCUAUCACGAAUUGAUUUCCCAAAAUUUAAUGGAAAAGACUUUAGAGGAUGGUUAUACAAGAGUGAGUAGUUUUUUGAGGUGGACGAGACUCCAAUUCGGUGAAGUGCAAUGAGUUUGGAAGGUAAGGCUCUUCAGUGGCACCAAAUUUUUAUGAAAUCUAGACUUACACGUGAGUUUCCUACAUAGGAAGAAUACGUGAGAGAGCUAUCUUCAAGGUUUGGAGAUUCCCUGUAUGAUGAUCCAAUGGGGGAGCUUAAGAGCUUGAAGCAAUCUGGGUCAGUACAGGAAUACCACGAUGUGUUUGAGGAACUCCUCAAUAGGGUGGAUCUUCCAGAAGAUUACGCUACAAGUUGCUUCUUGAGAGGAUUGAAGCCAGAAAUUUUGUUGACAGUGUGAAUGUUUAUGCCUAAGAGUGUGCAGCAUGCCCGAACCUUAGCCAAAAUCGAAGAAGCAAAAAUGUCAGUACAGUCAAAAGGAAGAGUAGUGUCCAAACCAUUCCUGAACUACUCCGACCGCAUGGUGCCAUACCAUUCCAUGCGAAUGUCCCUAGUCCGAAGUGGAAGAUAGAUUCUAAGGCAAUACUGCCCCUACCAAUGUUGCCAGCUCUUCUCAGCAAUGAAAGGCAGCAGGAGUUGGUUGCUAAAAGGCCUUUCAGGAGGUUGAGUAGGACGGAAAUGGAUGAGAAAAGGGCAAGAGGAUUAUGUUUUUGGUGCGAUGAGAGGUUUACAGCGGGGCAUAGGUGCGGGAGUAAGCAAUUCAACAGAUUGGAGGUUUGGGACGAUACGCCAGAUAAGGAGGAAACGGAUACUGAGGAUGAGGAGAAUGCAAUAGACGAGGGACAAUUAGCUCAUAUUUCCCUCCAUGCCAUGACCAACAUGGCUGUCCCUAAUUUUAGAACAAUGAGGGUCACUGGGCAUGUAGAAAGACAGUCUGUGAGUAUUUUCAUAGACUGUGGCAGUUCACAUAACUUCAUUCACCCCACGGUAGUGCAAAAACUGGGGCUAAUCGCACGAAGGGUUGAGCCACUAAUGGUAGAGGUAGUAGAUAGGAACAAGUUGACUACUCAUGAUCUUUGCCCAGGCUUUUGCUGGAAAAUGCAAGGGCAAGAAUUCAAGGCUGAUCUGUUGGUAUUACCUGUAGGGGGUGCGAAAUAGUUCUGGGAAUGCAAUGGUUAACCACCAUUGGUGAUGUGAAGUGGAAUUUUGGUGAUCUCAGGAUGGAAUUCAUGCAGAGUGGUCACAAGGUGGUUUUGAGAGGAAUGAAACAACACGGGUUACAGUUGGUGAGGCAAAAGAAAAUGCAGAAAAUAUUGCGAAAACCUGAACAAAUUGCCAGAGCACAACUCUGCCUGAUCAGAAUGGUCCAGGAGUCGGAACCAGAGCCAUUAUCUCUUUUUACUAUUACGGCUGGAGCUACCGGGGAGCAGGAUGGUAACUCUGGACCUAGAAUAUUUGUUGGGUGAAUAUGAUGAUCUGUUUCAAGAACCUAAGGGUUUACCUCCUGAAAGAUUGCACGACCAUAGGAUUGUUCUAAAAGAAGGCACUGAACCUGUCAAUGUAAGACCCUAUAUGUAUCCUACUUUUCAGAAAGGUGAAAUUGAAAAAUUGGUAGCGGAAAUGCUUGCUUGUGGGAUCAUCAGGGCUAGCUCUAGCCCUUUCUCCUCCCCAGUAGCUUUGGUGAAAAAGAAGGAUGGAUUCUGGAGAAUGUGUGUUGACUACCGGCAGCUAAACAAUGCCACUAUAAAGAAUAAAUUUCCUAUUCUGCUAAUAGAAGAGUUGCUGUAUGAACUUUUUGGAGUCAAGUUCUUUACCAAGUUAGACUUGAGGUCUGGUUAUCACCAGAUUAGAAUGAAUGCUGAAGAUGUGGAGAAAACAGCCUUUAGAACUCAUGAUGGCCACUAUGAGUUUCUCGUUAUGCCCUUUGAGCUAACUAAUGCCCCAUCCACAUUUCAAGGUCUGAUGAAUGACAUCUUUAGGCCCUUUCUAAGGAAAUUUAUUUUGGUUUUCUUUGAUGACAUUUUGGUAUACAGUGGUGGUUGGAAAGAGCACCUGCAACAUCUAAAGCUUGUGUUUGAACUGUUGAGAAUGCAUGAAUUGAACGUAAAAAGGAGUAAAUGUGCAUUUGCUCAACAGCAAAUUGACUACUUGGGGCAUAUUAUCAAUGCAGAAGGUGUCUAGGCUGAUCCUCAGAAAACUACUGCCAUUAGGAGUUGGCCAAUGCCACAGACAGUCAAGGAGCUGCGAGGAUUUCUGGGCCUUACGGGAUACUAUAGGAGGUUCAUACGAGACUAUGGUAAGAUUACUAAACCAUUGACAGACUUGAUUAAAAAGAAUUAGUUCCAGUGGCAUGAUGGGGCUACUCAAGCUUUUAAAAGAUUACAAGAAGUCAUGAGCAGUCCCCUUGUUCUAGCUUUACCAGAUUUUACUCAAGAAUUCAUUGUGGAAACUGAUGCUUCUGGAAAUGGGAUUGGGGCGGUGUUGAUGCAGAAAAGGAGACCACUAGCUUUUUUCAGUAAGGCACUGGGAACUAAGCACCAAGCUAUGUCAGUAUAUGAAAAGGAAAUGUUGGCCAGAGUCACUACGAUUUUGAAGUGGAGAGCUUAUUUGGUGGGAAGGCAUUUCAUUAUCGAAACUGAUCAUCAAAGUUUGAAGUAUAUAAUGGAGCAAAGGGUACAUACACCAUUGCAGCAGAAAUGGAUAGGCAAGUUGAUGGGGUACGAUUAUGAAGUACAGUACAAGAAGGGGAGUGAUAACAUUGUAGCGGAUGCAUUAUCUAGACAACCACAGGAAGGCAAUUCGCUGUACACUUUGGUUACUGUCACCACUUCUCUCAUCAAGGAUAUACAACAGAGUUGGCAACAAGAUGUGGUAGUCCAGGAGUUGAUCCAAAAGCUAAAUAGCAAUGGUCUGCAUUCUAGCAAUUAUUCUUGGCAACAAGGGUUGUUAAAGAGGAAAGGCAAGUUGGUGGUUGGCAAUGAUCAGUCUUUAAGAAACAGGUUGAUUGCCUUGUGGCACUCAAGUUCACAAGGGGGGCAUUCUGGAAUAGAGGUUACUUACAGGAGACUUAAGCAGGUUUUGUAUUGGCCGUGCAUGUUCAAGGAUGUAGCCCAUUUUGUAGCAGCAUGUGACGUUUGUCAACGAAAUAAGCCAGAUAGUGCAGCUUAUCCUGGCCUAUUACAACCUUUUCCCAUACUUGAGAAGAUUUGGUCUGACAUCUCUAUGGAUUUUAUUGAAGGCUUACCCCUUUCACAUAGCAGAAAGGUGAUCUUGGUGGUAGUGGAUAGACUCAGCAAAUAUGCUCACUUCAUUGCUGUGGCUCAUCCCUAUACAGCCAUCUCAAUUGCCCAGCUAUUCAUGGACCAGGUUUACAGGCUACAUGGUCUUCCCCAAACCAUUGUCAGUGAUCGAGACCCCAUUUUCUUGAGCUCUUUCUGGCAGGAAAUUUUCAGGUUGCAACGUGUCCAGUUGAACAUGUCCACUUCCUACCAUCCUUAGAGUGAUGGCCAGACAGAGGUAGUUAAUAGAUGUUUAGAGAACUAUUUCAGGUGCAUGACUGGAGAUCAUCCCAAGGAUUGGAGUUUAUGGCUGCCAAUGGCCGAGUAUUGAUAUAAUACAAAUUUCCAUUCUUCUGCCAAGUUCACUCCUUAUGAGAUUGUCUAUGGCCAGGUCCCCCCACUUCACAGUCCUUACCUACCUGAGGCCACGACAGUUGAAUCUGUGGACAGGAGCUUACAGGCAAGGGAGAAGGUCCUUCACUCCCUGCGGCAUAAUCUGUCCAAGGCUCAACACAGGAUGAAGCAGUUGGCUGAUAAACACAGGUCGGAGAGGGUGUUUGAUGUGGGUGAUUGGGUUUAUGUGAAACUUCAACCUUACAGGCAGCACACUCUACGCUCUCAUCACUGUCAGAAGUUGUCUCAUCGUUAUUUUGGUCCAUUUCAAGUGACGGCAAGGGUAAGAGCAGUGGCAUACAAAUUGGCCUUACCAUCACAUGUUCGUAUUCAUGACGCUUUCUAUGUUUCCCUGCUCAAGAAGAAGGUCGGCACAGGGUAGGGGUGGGCGCGGGUCGGGUACCCGCCCCAUUCACUAUUUGGCUGACCUGACCCUCACCUUGCGGGUCAGCCAGUUUCUGACCCUUACUUGCCCCGCAUAUCAGUGGGUACCCGAUUAUAGGGUACCCACUGAGAUAGGGUCGGGUCAGCGGGUACCCGUCCCGUCCUAUUUAUCAUUUAAUUUUUUUAAAAAAUGAUUUAUACCAAUUUAAUUUUAUACUUUACACAUUCAUCUAAGAUUUAAUAAUUUUUUUUUUCUAAAAAAGGUUUCCCACCAAGAAACAAGCAUGUGAAGAGAAUAUAAGAUAAAGGCAAAAAAUUAAAAGAAUUCAAAAUCAAUAAAAAUUUGAAAUAAGUAGCACAAUUUUUAAUAUAUAUAUGUUCCACAUUAAUUAAAAUUUUUUUCUAUAAAAUAUAAGAUCAUGACCUCUACAAAUGAAUCUUGUAAAUAAACUAUAGUCUCUCAUAUUUGUAAUGCAAUUUGUUCAAUAAAAUUACUUAUUUAGUUCUAAAUUAUUAUUUUAUAGUGUGUGUAUAAAAAUAAAAAUAAAAAAUAUAUAAAUGUGGGGCGGAUCAGGUACCCGCGAGUUUUUAAUUAUGUGACCCCAACCCACCCCGCAUCUUAGCGGGUACCCAAUCCUCUUUUGACUCGAUCAAAUAAUAAAAAUCGGAUAUUCUAAUUUUCGGAUCGAAUCGGAUCGGAUAUGACGGAUUUUUGGAUUAGCGGGUAAUUUUGCCCACCCCUAGCACAGGGUCUAUUCCAGUGCAGAUCCCUGCUGGAAUUACACACCAGGGACAGCUACUGUUGGAACCUACUGCAGUUCUGGACCGACGUUUGGUCAAGCGUGGAAGAGUUGCGGCUAUCCAGGUGCCGGUUCAAUGGAGUAAUAGCUUUCCCGAGGAUGCCACCUGUGAGUAUUUGCAGCUACAGUUCCCUCAUUUCAAUUCUUGAGGCCAAGGAUUGUUUGAGGGGAGGGUAUUGAUGUGAGAACCCUGAAAAAAAAAAUAUAUAUAUACAUAUAUUCAUGCAUAUUUCACUUGCACUUUGACUCUUUAAUAAAUUCUAUCAUUAUUUCUACUUGUCUUUAAAUAAGUGCGUAAAAAUAAUUUUUAUGUGAUAAAUAAUAUAAUUUGUGCUAAACUAUUAAGUUCCUUGGCUUUAUUAUAUUAAAUUAAUAUUUCGAAGGUAAAUUAUUUCGUUUAUUUAAUAAUUAAUUUCUCCGAAUUCCGUUAGCUAAACUUUAAUCGUUAAUAAUGUUCAAGGUUAAUAGGAACCUUAGUACUAAGAUGCAAUCGAUAAACUUUAGAUAAAAUCGAUAUAAGUAUACCAAGUAUACUUAGGACGUUAAAAUCUCGAUAGUUUAAUUUUUGCGAGACGAGUAUACUAGUAGGCAUUCAAAUUGCAUUCGGGGUAAAAUUUUGGAGUUAAGUUAGAAUUAAGGACUUAAGUGGGUAUCAGGAAGAGAAGUGCAAAGACUAAACUACCCUCACAACCUCACAAAAACUACCAUGCAAAACAAGAACCAAUUUCCGGACAACAUCAUUCCUCACCACUCUUUCGGCCAAUGCACAACUUCACCAUUUAAACACUCAACCCUCACAAACACUUAACCUCCCUCUCAAAACCGCGACAUCCAUCCUUCUUCCUCUUCAUUUCUGUAUCACAAACCACCACCGCAUUCCACCUUCACCCGUGAGUAUCGACAGAGAGAGAGAGAGAGUGAGCGGGAGGGUGAGCAGCAGCUUCAUCCGAGAGCUGCAAUCCGUGAGCUGCAGCGACUCUGCUGCUGUCCGUAAGUCUGAGGAGGGAAAGGAAAAGCUGUGCGUAAGUCCCACCCAUUCUGCACUUCCAUUUCUACCAGCUGCAAUCAAUUUUCCAGCCGCAACAACCACCAGCUACACCGUUUGCCACAGCCAAGCGAACCAACACCCUAGUCGCGCGCGAGCCGAGGGCGAAAAUUUCAGUUCCCUUGUGCGUAAGCUAAGCCUGCUGUUGAGGUAAAUUUCGGAUCUAGAACACCUGAUUAGAGGUUGAUUGAGCUAAUUAGGAGCAUGCAUGUUGAAUUUAUGCGUUGGAUGAUGAUCUAGAAAAGAAAAGAAACCUGAUGUGCGCUGAAUGUGGGUUUGCCGAGACUGUUUUGGAUUAAUGCCGAGCUAAUCUGUGUAACUCUGGAUAAUCUGAGUUUGCAUUGUUGAUUAAGUAACUAAUCACUAACUAAUUAAUCUGUUUAAAGCUUUGCAUGUUGACCUUAGACCAUCGAAUGCUGAAUUUAGAGAAGAAGAAAAAAAUUUUCUGAUGUGCGCAUAUUUGGACUGCCAAGACCGAUUAAGAAAUGUUGUGCUUAAUUUGUUUAAUUUCGACAAUCUGAGCUUAUAGUUAUGAUUAAUCACCUAAAAACUAAGUGAUUAAGUCCUGCAUAGGGAUAGCUAGAUCGGUUAGGCAAGAAAAAUAAAAAUUGAAAUGACAUCAGUUGCAUGCAAGAUCACCCGAGGCCAAUUGGAAAUCUGUAGCUUCAAUCUGCUAAUUCGAUGCAAUCUGAGCUUAGAGGUAUGAUUAGCUAAUUAUAGAUGGGAUGUUUAUGCCUUGCAUGAGGCUGCAUAGCUCUGAUGAAGCUCUUGGCCAUUUGAGUAAUUUUUGCAAGGGAUAAAUUCUUGGUGGAAUUGUUUAAGUGGUUUGGGCAAAAUGCAUUUGGAAGGUCCACGAUUUGUGAUUUGGAAUUGUUUUAAUACUUUGGACUUCCUUUGGUUGAUUUUGAUUAGAAUUGAAUCUGUUGAGACCUAGGGCUAAUGAUUGAUGAAGCCCUAGUGAAAUUGAUGUUUGAAUUGUGUUUUUGCUAUAUUGGCGACUUGGAAUAUAAUGUGCAAAUGAAUUGGAAUCGUGAAGUCCGUUUGGGUCCCUUGAAUUCGAAUACUUUUAAAUCAAGUUUCGUGGGAAUAUUUUGCCUUAAUAUCAAGUUAUAUACAUUGAGUAUAGUACGUUAAUAUUAAAAUCUAGAUAUCGGGACUUUUAAAACCUUGCCGAUGUGUUAAUUCUUUUCUUUAUUUAAACUAGUGUUUCACCUUUAAUAAAUAAUUGCAUUAACUUCCAAACUUUAAGUUUUCACAAAAUUAUCCUUGACCAAUUGUUUUAAAGGAAAUUUGUUAAAAACAUUAGAUUUGAAUAAUUUCAAAUAAAAGACAAAGGGAACUUGUUCGGCAAGAAAACUUGUUUGAAUUAAUUUGGUUCUAGUUUGCCCUCUAGAAGGGAAAUACCUUUAAAGAAACCAUACGAAAUAUUUUAUUUCUUUACUAGCCUUAAUUCCAAGGGAACUAUUGAUUUGUUUCGAGAAAUUAAAUUAGUUUUAUACAAGAUAACCUUCUAUAUAUAAAACAAGGGUUUGUUUAGUAAAACUUAUAGUUUUAAAACUUGGAUUUCUAGGGUGUAGCGAGGACGUGGACUUCGAUUCCCAGCUUGACUGGUGACUUCACUCUUGGUGAGUGUCCCUGCUUGUUCUACGCCUAUUUGGUUAAAGUGCUUUCUUGACUCGAUAUGUGGUAAUUGUCAAAAAUGAUUUCUGAUCCAUCGAAGUGAGCAGUGUGUACUUUAUCACACUAGCUGUUCGAGUGGUGACUUGUGUGCAGUGUUUUCGUAAAUAUCUUGCUUGCGCUUGCUAAGUGUUAAAGUUACUAGGCAGGGGAAUGUACCACAUCUUAAGGGUGGGAGGGCCUCUUAUCCUGACCUGGUAAUCAAGUGUUGGACGUAAAGUCGUUGGGUGGACCCCUUGACCAGUCUAUAAAAAUCAAGUGUUGGAUGCAAAGUCGUUGGGUGGACCCCUUGACCAGUCUAUAAAAAUCAAGUGUUGGAUGCAAAGUCGUUGGGUGGACCCCUCGACCAGUCUAUAAAAAUCAAGUGUCGGACAUAAAGUCGUUGGGUGAAUCACUCGACCAGUCUAUAAGUGUUGGACGUGACGUCGUUGGGUGAAUUUCUCGACUAGUUUAUCCAGGGAGUAUACUCGAGUACUACCGCUCUCAUCUAUCUUGUCGUGCGGGCCCGGAGCUGGGGUAUGUUCGGUGGCCGGAGUUAAGUAAAAUAAGGAGUUCUACAUGGACCGUAAGUAGUGAGAGUUGACGGAGGGUCAACUACGGUAAAUUUUGAUCAAGCGCGAAAAAUGGCUCCUGAGAGCCCCCGUAUCCUACUUUGUACUGUUAUGCGCUUUCCUAGUUGUUUACUUCAGAUUGAAAUCAAUACGUGUUAGUUGUUUUAUUUAAUUGCAUGUUUUGGGGCACCACUGAGCUUUAGCUCACCCCACGUUUAUUUGUUUUCCUUGACAGGUCCUGGCUCUUGAACAAGACUUGAAAUCUAAUUUCACUUUUAUGCUUGUAGUUUGAGUUAAACAUUGUAUCUUUUAUUUUGGAUUGCCUCUUGAAGCUGGAAAAGUGUAAACCCUGGAAUUGUUAUUUGGCUUGUAUUAAUGUAUUUGGAUUGUAUGUUUUUGUUGCCUGAUGUGUAACGCGGGAGGUAUUUAAGAGUCGACGUUUGGCUAUCUUAAAAAUGCUGUUAUCGUUGAAGUUAAUGAGGAUUUAGUUAUCAGUCUAUUUGGAAGGAAACGGUGUUGUAAUAGCUUAGGUUAUUCUCCGGGAGGAUUGGGCUAGAUUGCUUGCGUGAGUCCUGGCGAGAGCUAGGCAGACGGCCCGCCAACCCUCUGGUUCGCCUUAAGGGGAAGUGGGGUCUCCACAAUUGAUACACGUGAAAUGGCUUGUGCAUGGGGUUGGCGUGAGUGCAUGGGGUUGCAUGGAGUUAGUACAACUGGAGUUAGUUACAAUAGGUUAGUCAGUGAUUUGUACGAAUCUUAUGACGUCAGUCGACGUCAUAAGUUUGUUAGCCGACUUACAAUCACCGCCUUAGUCACUUAUAAAAAGUGAAGCUGGAAGUCUAUGGCGGCAUUGGAUUUCGUUUGUAAAGUUGCAUUUUCACAUUUCUCUGUAAUCUCUCUCUGCCCAUCAUCAUUCAAGUCAAUAAACUUUCUCUAGUUUUCGGAUCACUUCUCCAUCAUUUCUGUGGUCCCUAGAUCAGAGAUUACAGGCCUCAACUGCUCUUUGCAUCAGCACCUAACUCAUUUUCCACCAACCCAUUGCGCCCCUAACUUUCAAAGGGGUUAAGUGGCAUGUCCAAACGUGGGAAUGGAAUUUGGAUGAAUAACGACAGCAUGUUGCACGUUUGGUUCAACGUGAAAUCCAUCUUUAAUUUCCAACCUCACGUUUUGUAAGCGGGGUUUGGCGGCUAGUUGUGGACCAAUGGUGCACGGGCGGGAUAAUUUCGGAAACCCCUCUUGAGGUUCUUAAUAACCUCUGGAUGCUCCCCUCAACAUUUUAAAAUUAUACAUAUCUCCCCUAUUAGUGCAAAAGUACUCUACUAUCCCUAAUAGGACUCAAAAGACUUUUUUUUUUGGAAAAAAGAAGCUCAGAAAUCCAAGAAAAAAAAUCAACUAAUUUUAUUUUUUAGGCUUUUACGUUUCUGCCUUCUACCUUUGCUCGCUUUCCCUGUGCCCAUCUUCCUACAACCACUUUCCCAAUCCCCUUUCCCCAACAUUUCUCCUCUACUUCAAGACCAAUUUUUGUCCAUCAACCCUAGCUUGUGCUUUGUUCCAUUCCCUUCCCUUCUCCUUUUUUUGAUUUCCCUUGCAUCUCCCUUUCUCUUUUGCAAAUGUGACUAGGCUCAUCUCUCUUUUUUUUCUCCUAUUCUAGGUGUAGUGGGUUUGAUUAUUUUGCAUCUAUUUUAUUCGAUUUUGGUUGAUUAUGGAUGAUAAAACUUGGUGAUAUCAAAUAUCAAAAGUUUGAGAGAUGGAUAUUGGGCUUUAGACAAUGAUUUGCUGAAAAAAAUGGCUGCAAUGAGAGAAAGAGGGAAGGGGAUUUGAGAGUGGGCUUAAUUGUUGAUGAAUUGUUGUUUUGGGUAAAAUUUGAGGUUGAGUUUUAUCAAAUUUGGCAACAAGUGGCGAGAUUUGUUUAGGUUGCGGGAUAUAAAUUGGAUUGUGGUUUUUUGGGUACCCACAGUUGUUGGAAUUGGUUUUGAUUCAAAUUGGGGUGGUUGCUUGAUUUUCCUAAUAGUGUUACUUAAAAGAUCACAAUCAUCAAAUUCCUUAUUUUUGUCUUUUAUUUUUUGGUAGAAAAGAUUUCAUGACUUUCGUAACAGUCUAAUUUGGAAGAAGGCAAUCAACAGAUGCAACCAACAUUCAGCAAAGCUCUUUUUUUUUUUUUUAAUUUUUUGGGUAAAAAGGGUAGUUUAGGGUAUUUGAAGGAAAUGAUAGGCUAUUGGGCCUAUUUGAAGCAUAAACAGUGAAAGUAAGGGAGGUUGGUGUAAUUUCUAAAACCUAAGGGGAGCUAUCUGAAAUUAUCCAAGAGCUCAGGGGAGGUUUCCAAAAUUAUCCCUAAAGAAAAGGGAUAAUUGCAGAAACCUCCCCUGAGGUUCUAACAUUUGCACUAACCUCCCCUGUGGUUUGAAAAAUUACACUGACCUCCCCUGAGGUUACUAAUCCUUUGCAAAUUUAGUCCAAACGAUUAAAAUAUUAUUUUAGGGAGUGAAAUUAAAAUUUUGUACCAGAUUUGCCCUUUGUACUACGUAUCCAAUGAAUGACAAAGAACUAUAAAUCAAUUAACAAUUAAUAAAUUUUAAUGAGUAUAAUUUAUAGGCAAACACGCAUUUCUCAUUUAAAGUACUAGCUUUUUACGAGUAUUUUACUUUCAAAUAUUUGAUUUAUGAUAAAUAUAUCAAUAUUUGUAAGUAAAAUUCAAAAAUUGUUAUAGUAAUAUUCUUGCAAAAAGGAAAUCGAUAGGUUAUUUAUUUAAUAUAAAUUAAAUAUUUUUUUAAAAAAAAUAAAUGGCCCAUAAAGUAUUAAAUUUUUAUGACUUUCAUCCAUUACACGAGUAAAGUAUUCGCUCUUUAUGUGCAUUUUAUUCUGAAUCAUUUAAUUUAUGUUAAAUACAUAAAUGUUUGUAAUUAAAAUUGAAAAAGUGUUAUAUUAAUAUUUUUACGGAAGAGAGAUUGGUAGGUUUUGUAUUUGACAAAAAUUAAAUAUUUGAAAAUAAAUACAAAUCUGUAUUUGAGCAUAAAUAGUUGUAUUAAAUUAAAUGUUUGAAAGUAAAAUACCCUUAAAGAACCGGUACUUUAAAUAGUUACCGGCUCUUUAUAGGCAAAUAUGCAUUACUCAUUUAAAGUACCGGCUUUUUACGGAUAUUUUACUUUCAAACAUUUAAUUUAUGAUAAAUAUAUCAAUGUUUGUUAAUAAAAUUCAAAAAGUGUUACAAUAAUAUUCUUGCAAAAAGGAAAUCGGUAGAUUAUUUAUUUAAUAUAAAUUAAAUAUUUUUUUUUAAAAAAAAUGACCCAUAAAGUAUUAAUUUUUUAUGACUUUCAUCCAUUACAUGAGUAAAGUAUUGGCUCUUUAUGGGUAUUUUAUUCUGAAUCAUUUAACUUAUCUUAAAUACAUAAAUGUUUGCAACUAAAAUUGAAAAAGCGUUAUAUUAAUAUUUUUACGGAAGAGAGAUUGGUAGUUUUUGUAUUUAACAAAAAUUAAAUAUUUGAAAGUAAAUACAAAUAUGUAUUUGAGCGUAAAUAUUUGUAUUAAAUUAAAUGUUUGAAAGUAAAAUACCCAUAAAGAGCCGUUACUUUAAAUAGGUAAUGCAUAUUUGCCUAUAAACUAUACUCCUUAAAGUUUAUUAAUUGUUAAUUGAUUUGUAGUAUUUUGUCAUUCAUUGGACAUGUAGUACAAAGGACAAAUUUGGUAAAAAUUUCUAAUUUCACUCCCUAAAACAAUAUUUUAAUCAUUUGGACUGAAUUUGCAAAGGAUUAGUAACCUCAGGGGAGGUCAGUGUAAUUUUUCAAAUCACAGGGGAGGUCAGUGCAAAUGUCAGAAACCUCAGGGGAGGUUUCUGCAAUUAUCCCUAAAGAAAAAGGACAAAAGUUUAAAUAUGCUCUUCUUUUGUUCAAUAUGUAUUUAAAUUACCUAUUGCUCCUUUAACCUUUGAAUCUUAUCAAUUUGCUCAAUGAAUUACACAUUACUAAUUAGUUUGAUUUUCUUGAUGUUUUUCCCAUCUAAAGAAGUUUCCUAAGUUGAUUUACACAUAAACACCUACUCAAACGCACAAUACAUACACAAAAAUUAAUACACCUUCAAUAUUGGUAUACAGAUUACUAUUAAUCAGAAGUAAGAUUGAAAAAACUUUUAUCAAACGCUACCUAAAUAAGAGUACAAUGAAAGAUUCUAAAACUUAAUAUUAGACCUUUGUAUUGGGUUGGGCUGGCCCGAAAUUAAUCCGAUUGACCCUAAAUGGAGCGGAUUGAAUCUUAUGCAAUGUGGCUUAAAGUGAGUUUGGGCUAAAAUAUUUUGCACGAUUUAAAUAUGAGCUAAAUUUGGAUUGUACUGAAUUUAGUCCACUUAAUUCUCGACCCAAACAACAUUUAUAUACUAAGGAUCAUAUGUGGGAUUUAAGAAGAUUUAUUUAUCUAAAUCCAGUCAAAUAAUUGAAAUUUAGAUGGCUAAUUUGUGGUAAAUUGUUCCUUUUCAAUCUCUAGUUGAUACAUUUAUGGGUGUUAUGGUAAACUAUAUUUUUUUGUGAUGAAAUUCAAACUUCUUCUAGAUAUUAAGAACAUCUAUGGAUUAGCUGGCUAUUUGGUUUAAGUAGAUUUUCUAAACAUGAAAAAUACAUGACAUAAGUUUAGGUUUAUCCGAAUUAAGUUGAAUACUCGACAUUUUUUGUGAGCGAGCAUAAGUUGAAUUUGGGCUCAAAAGAAUGAUGUUUUUAUAUGAGUUGAGUUUAAGCAUGUCAAAAUCCAAUUCACAUGAUCUAAUUGACAAGCUUAAUUAAUACUUCCAAUUCGAGUAAAAAGAGGAAUACACUUUAUAGAUUUGGGAUGGGCAAAAAUACGUGAUGAUCCGAAUAUCCAUGGGACCCGAUCCGAUUCACUCCAAAAAAUAAGGUAUUCGAUCUGUAUUAUUUGAUCAAGUCAGAAAAUGGUUGCCUACCUGCUUAUAUAUAGCAUGGGUUAGGUACAAAGGAUUAAAAAUCUGUGAGUACUUGUGUGAGAGCCCGAAAAUUUUAAUGUCUGAUUUAAAAAUUAGAGCAUGUUACAUUCUUCCUUUUGUUAUUGAUUGAUUUACAUGUUCAUUGAUCCUUUUAAUAAACAAAUGAAUUGAUACACCUUAGGAGAAAUUGUGUCCUUUACACCAUAAAACAUUAGUAUUAGUUAGAAGCUAUUGUGGUAUUAGAAAAAACAAAAAGAAAAAAAAAGUGAAAGACACUUGUCUUAGUGCAUGUAAAUGUCUAACGUACAAGAAGCAAAAUGUUGCACCUUCCAUUCUAUUAGAAACCGAAAAAAAGUACCAGUACUUGUUAUUGUCUUCCAUUAGAAAACCGAAACUACUAGCACUUGCCUUUGUCUACCAUUCGAACCAAGAGUUAUACAAACUACUAGUACGUGGCAUUAGCCUUCCAUUAGAAUUGAGAGGAAGAGUAAAAGAAACACAACCUUUGUUUCUUCCUUAACCUGUUAAAACUGAAAAGAAACAACAAGAGAAUUAGGCACUUUCUUCGUCCCUGCAACCGUAAACAUCAGCCAAGAAAACAAGGAAACUCUAGCUCAGUUAGCUACGGAUUCAAGAGGGAGAGACAGCUGAACUUUCCAGUCCACAAACGUGAAGAAACCGGAGGUAAUUAACUACUUUUCUUCUUCAAUUUUCUGCUACUUCUAGUUAGUAAUGUUUUAGGUUGAGUUAAAACCAAGAAAAGAAUCAUCAAAGCUGGAAAGUUUGUUUAAAGUUUCGGCAUGCUGUCCGAUAGAAAAGCUGCAAUUUUGGUUUUUUUUUUUUAAAGAAUUUUGCUAGAGUAUGAAAGGAAUCCAUGCUUUUAUGCUCUGUAUAUUCUUUAUUUGGUGAUGCCUGUAAGUUUUACGGUGAAAAGCUUAACUCUUGUGGCUGGAAUUCUUGUCUAGAGGACUGCAUGGCCGCUGGAAAAUUUCCAGCUUGCCCCGAUGAUGAAUCUUCUGGUUUAAAACUAAAAUUUGACAAGAAGUUUUUGCUGGAUUUCGAAGCUACAUAAUCUUAUUGCAAUGUUUAUGUGAAUGCAUGUCGAAUUUGGUUGAUGUUUGAUGCAUUAAAUGAAAUGUUGGAGAAGGUAUAUGGCUGGAAACUUCAGCUUUGAACUCGAGAAUGCUGUUAUGUUUUCUUAAGCUUAAAUUUCAUCUUAUUUCAUCUUGUAAUCUGAAAUUUAUGCAUAAAUUGAUAAAAAAAACAUACCUACUCCUCUGUUUUACUCUGUAUAUUGCGAUUGUCCUGAUUUGGGAGGAAAUAACUAAAUCUAAGAAAAGAAAUGGGAGCUGGUCGAGCAUGCAAAACUGUUUGGCAGAUUUGGGUUUAUUGGAUGAAUUCGAUUGUAUUGCUGAGUUUUUCUGGAAAUUUUAGCUAAGUCUUAACCAAAACGAUCUAUAACAAAAUGAUAGUAAAAUGUACCUUGAAUUUGAGGAAGUUUAAGCAAGAAAAUAGCAAACUAAAGGAAGAAACUUGACUACCCAUUGCUGGAAAACUGUUUCGAAUUAUUCUAAAACAAGUGCUUAGAUUUUGAGUCUAAUUUUGAAUUCUAAAAUGGAACUUGAACCAAAACUGACCAAAAUCUCUUCAAACCAUCUUAUAACAGUUUUACUUGUGAAAAUUCAUCCAAAAUAUAGGAUAAAAUCAAGGAAGCUCAUAGUAGUACUAAGCUGCCAAUCUCUAGGAAAUUUAUCAACUUUGAACUUUGAUUUCUAAAAUGACCCUUAGGACCUAGAUUCCAACUUUUAUAAGAAAAGGUAAGUUGUAGCUACCACUUAAUCACCUUAACUUACUAUAUUUCAACAAAAUAUAGAAUUUUAAGACUUAAGGGGGUUAAGUUACCUAAACUUUGGAACUAGGAGUAACUAGAAUAAAAUAAGUACUAAGAUUACCUCAAAACAAAAGAAAUAAAAUGUAUACAUUUAAACAUCUUGGAUCAUACAUACAGGUAUAUAUAUAUAUAUAUAUACACUUUUAGCUAAUUGUAUAAUAUUAAGUUGAAUUUAGUUAAAAGAAUCGAGUAAGCCUAAACAGCUAGAAUAAUCACUUAAAACCUAUUAUUUUUGCCAAGUAUUACACUUAAACAUCACUUUAGGAAAUUUAACAAAUAAUCUAAUAAAUUUACAAAUAUCCCAGGGGCCAAGGAUGAACCGAAGAAGGGGCCGAGCAUCAAGGAGUGAAUUCCAACUACUUUAGGUGAGUGUUUCCACAUUUGUGUGUUUAAAUUGCCUAUGUGCUACUUAAACGAUGGCUACAUGAUUAUGCUAGUGCUUUAUUGUGAAGUGUUUUCAAUUGUCCCUCGUCUUCUAACUCGUUAAAGAUUGAUAAUUGACCAAGUGUUUUUGUAAGUAUGCAUGAUUGUAAGCCGUGUACGUAUUUCAUCGUACUUGCUGAACUGAGCCCCAAAACCCUUUGUUCAAUAAACUAUUUGAGCCAGCAAAAGGGCUUGGUCGGAUAGAACGGUAGCUUUGGGUAAGUGUUUCAAUAUGUUCGAGUAUUACCAUACAGUAAUAGAUUACUGAACUGAUAUGGCUAUCUAAGUGAGGGAAGUGUUUACUGUUUUGGAGGUUAUAAGGGGGAGUUCAGUGGAGUGUGUAGUAUAUUGAAAUGGCUAUAAUGGAAACAUUGUAUCCUUUUGAAAGUGAUUGUUCAGUGAAGUGUUCUUUAUUUUAUUCAAUGAAGUGUUCUUUUCUUGUUUAAUUUUGAUUAUGUGUUAAGUUUUUGAUGAUUAAUGCUUGUUUAGAAAAUCUCACUGGGUUUCGCUCAACCCAUUUAGUUUGUUUUUCUUACAGGAAGGGAGAACGGGAGUAGGGAGUAGUUAGGAGUUAAGCCGAGACCCGAAAUUGUACUUGGAAAAUUCCUUUAGUAGUUAAAUGUUAUAGUUAUUCUAACUUUUAUUUUCAAAGGUUAUAAGUAUAUAUAUAUAUAUUAAAUGCUUUAGAAUAAGACAUCUUUACUUUUGUUUGGGAUGUACUUAAGUAUGAUGGACUGUUAAUGGCUUUAGUUACUGAAAUGUUAUCUCUCAAUUUAAUGUGAGUGAGGGAGUCCUGAUAAGAGUCAAGCAGGUGGUCCACUUAACCCUUUGGUUCACCUUAGGAUCCAGCUGGAUCGUCAUAGGUGGUAUCAGAGCAAUCUCGCGUGGUUUCUACGCGAGGUGAGUUUGGGCCAAGUGGUGUUAUGGUCUCGAUUACGUGAAUGAGUGCAAGGGACAAAGUGCUCUUAUUGAGCAUAAGGUAGGACAUGAUUAUUGAACUAUGAAUUUUAGUAUAUUAGGCGUAAAAACUUUAUCAUGAUACUCGGGAAAAUUAGAAUUGUAUGUCGGGUAGGAAUUCCAAAUAUGGUUGAUUUACUCUUGGGAUCGGCUGGCUUGAGUUGUGAAUUAUCUUAUUUUCAGAUUCUUGUACCCGAAUACCAAAUAUUUCAUUCAAUGGUGUAUUUGCAAAUUGGGAAGGAUUUAGUAUAUUGCAUUAUGAUGUAAUUAGAAAUCAUGAUUGAAUUUAGGGAAGUAGAACCGAAGAUAUCAAGGCUAACUUUUGAGAGUUAAAGGUGAAGAGGUAGUAGUGAGAUCUUGAAAAUUAGUUCAAAUUCUCCAUUUUAAGAUGAAUAAUUUUACUAGUCCUUCAAUGGUAAAUGGAUUAUAUGCCACCUCUUGCCUAAAAAUAUGAUUUUCAGACUUGGAAUUUGAGUGAAAUAGUAGUUUAAGUAAGGACCAUGUGGCUGUGAAUAGCUUUAAAUUGUAAGGAGACAACUUGAGCUGAGAUAAGUUUGAUAAAUCUGCCAUGUGAUUAGUAUGCUACCAUUUGCAAGUAAUUAUAUGUGAGUUCUCAAUGAAAUUGUGACUCCUUAAAAUUUAUUGGAAGAUUAUUUGGGGCUAAUGUCCAAUAUGAUAAAAUACCUAGUUGUUGAGUUAUUAGAAAACCCAAUGUAUGAAAUGUUUGAGUUCAUUUAGAAUACUUAAGAGCCAUUGAUGUAUUUAGAUAAUGAUCAUACUAUUUGAUUUGGUAUCAAAUGUAGUAGAUCUACAAUUUACUAAGGAAUCUUUGAUUAGUUUUACUGAUGAGGUAAUUGGACUUGUAAAUGCAUUUGAAGAUAUUAUCACUUCGACUAUUUUGAGAGUCCAUGAUACAUUAUUGACUUUGAAAUGGGAUAUUUGUACCCGACAGUUAGUGUGAAACGGGCUAUGAUCAAUUUGAAGAAAACUAGUAGGGUAAUAGUGAAAUGAGAGGAAAGUGUAAGGCUAAAUUUUUAUUGGUAUAUGUUUUAGACAUUUGUCAUGAACCAUGACACUUGUCAUCAUUUUCCUUUUGCCAUCUGUUCAAAACAAUCUAAUGCUUUUAGCAAGACAAAAACUUAUUCUUGCAUGUUCCUUUUCCUUGGCAACCGAGACAAGUUUUUGCUUGUUUCUUUUCCCUAUCAAAUCGAGAGACAAGUAGAAUUUAAGAUUGAAUUGAUGCCUAAAAGAAAUCCUAUUUCUAAGAUACCUUAUUGUAUGACAUCACUUGAACUUAAGGAGUUAGAGAUACAGUUACAGGAUCUAUUGGAACCAGGCUUUAUACGACCCAGUGUAUUCUCGUGGGAAGUGCCAGUAUUGUUUGUCAAAAAGAAAGAUGGACGGUUGACACUGUGUAUAAAGUAUUGGGGUUUAAAUAAUGUUGUAGUUAAGAAUAAAUACCUUUCGCUAUAUAUUGACAAGUUAUUUGAUCAACUUUAAGGAAUAGUGGUACUGUUUAAGAUAGAUCUUAGGAAGGGAUAUUAUCAACUAUAAAUUAAGAUGGAAGAUAUAGCUAAGACGGUCUUUAAUAUACAAUAUGGACAUUAUUAGUUUAUAGUGAUGCCCUUUGGAUUAGCUAAUGCUCCAACGACAUUCAUGAAUUUAAUGCAUUGGGUUCUUUAGGCCAUAUUUGAAUCAAUUCGUGCUGAUAUUCAUCAACGAUAUUUUGAUGCAUUCGAAAACUUGGGAGGAACAUGAGCAGCACUUGAGGAUGGUAUUGUAAACUUUAAGGAAGCAUUAGUUAUAUGCUAAGCUCAGUAAGUGUGAGAUUUCGUUGGAAAAAGUGUCGUUUCUAGGGUAUACAUUUCCAACGAAGGAACCACUAUGGAUCUGGUUAAGGUAAAGGCUAUUAUCAAUUGGAAAUAACCAAAAAAAACCCUACUGAAAUUCAUAGUUUCUUGGUUUAGCGGGAUCCUAUCAUCAAUUUAUUCAAAACUUUUACAAGCACAGGAGAAAAUUUCGAGAACGAAAUUCUUUUAAUGGGGAGAGAGCGUGAGAAUCUGAAAAUUUUCAUGUCUUAUUUAAAAAUUAGAGCAUGUUACAUUUUUCCUUUUGUUAUUGAUUGAUUUACGUGUUCAUUGCUCCUUUUAAUAAACAAAUGAAUUGAUACACCUUAGGAGAAAUUGUAUCCUUUACACCAUAAAACAUUAGUAUUAGUUAGAAUCUGUGGUAGUAUUAGAAAAAAAAAAGGAAAAAAAUGUGGAAGACACUUGUCCUAAUGCAUGUAAAUGUCUAACAUACAAGAAGCAAAAUGUUGCAUCUUCUAUUCUAUUAGAAACCGAAAGAAACUACCAGUACUUGGUAUUGUCUUCCGUUAGAAAAUCGAAACUACUAACACUUGCCUUUGUCUGCCAUUAGAACCGAGAGUUAUACAAACUACUAGUACGUGUCAUUAGCCUUCCAUUAGAACCGAAAGGAAGAGUAAAAGAAACACAACCUUUAUUUCUUCCUUAACCUGUUAAAUCCGAAAAGAAACAACAAGAGAAUUAGGCGCUUUCUUCAUCCCUUCAACUGUAAACAUCAGCCAAGAAAACAAGGAAACUCUAGCUCAGUUAGCUACGGAUUCGAGAGGGACAGAGAACUGAACUUUCUAGUCCACAAACGUGAAGAAACUAGAGGCAGUUAAUUACUUUUCUUCUUCAAUUUCCUGCUACUUCUAGUUAGUAAUGUUUUUGGUUGAGUUAGAACCAAGAAAAGAAUCAUCAAAGCUGGAAAAAUUCUUUAUUUAAAGUUUCAGCAUGUUGUCUGAUAGAAAAGCUGCAAUUUUGGUUUUUUUUAAAGAAUUUUGCUAGAUUAUGACUGGAAUCCAUGCUUUAUGCUCUGUAUAUUCUUUAUUUGGUGAUGCCUAUAAGUUUUACGAUGAAAAGCUUACCUCUUGUGGCUGGAAUUCUUGUUUGGAGGAUUGCAUGGCUGCUGGAAAAUUUCUAGCUUGACCAAUGAUGAAUCUUCUGGUUUAAAACUGGAAUGUGACGAGAAGUUUUUGCUAGAUGUCAAAGCUACUUAAUCUUAUUGCAAUGUUUAUGUAAAUGCAUGUCAAAUUUCAUUGAUGUUUGAUGCAUUAAAUGAAAUGUUGGUGAAGAUAUAUGGCUGGAAACUUCAACUUUGAACCCGAGAAUGUUGUUAUAUUUUCUUAAGCUUAGAUUUCAUCUUGUAAAUUGAAAUUUACACAUAUAUUGAUCAACAAACAUCCCUACUCCUCUGUUUUACUCUGUAUAUUGCGAUUGUCCUGAUUUGGGAGGAAAUAACUAAAUCUUAGAAAAGAAAUGAGAGCUGGUCGAGCAUGCUAAACUGUUUGGCAGAUUUGGAUUGAUUGGAUGAAUUCGAUUUGUAUUGCUGAGUUUUUCUGGAAAUUUUAGCUAAGUUUUAACCAAAACGAUCUAUAAUAGAAUGAUAGUAAAAUGUACCUUGAAUUUGAGGAAGUUUAAGCAAGAAAAUAGCAAACUAAAGGAAGAAACUUGACUACCCAUUGCUGGAAAACUGUUUCGAAUUAUUCUAAAACAAGUGCUUAGAUUUUGAGUCUAAUUUUGAAUUCUAAAAUGGAACUUGAACCAAAACUGACCAAAAUCUCUUCAAACCAUCUUAUAACAGUUUUACUUGUGAAAAUUCAUCCAAAAUAUAGGAUAAAAUCAAGGAAGCUCAUAGUAGUACUAAGCUGCCAAUCUCUAGGAAAUUUAUCAACUUUGAACUUUGAUUUCUAAAAUGACCCUUAGGACCUAGAUUCCAACUUUUAUAAGAAAAGGUAAGUUGUAACUACCACUUAAUCACCUUAACUUACUAUAUUUUGAUAAAAUAUAGAACUCUAAGACUUAAGGGGGUUAAGUUACCUAAACUUUGAAACUAGGAUUUACUGUAAUAAGAUAAGUACUAAGAUUACCUCGAAACAAAAGAAAUAAAAUGUAUACAUUUAAACAUCUUGGAUCAUACAUAUAGGUAUAUAUAUAUAUAUACACACUUUUAGCCAAUUGUAUCAUAUUAAGUUGAGUUUAGUUAAAAGAAUCAAGUAAGCCUAAAUAGCUAGAAUAAUCACUUAAACUCUUAAUUUCACAAAGUAUUACACUUAAACAUCACUUUAGGAAAUUUAACAAAUAAUCUAAUAAAUUUACAAAUAUCUCAAGGGCCGAGGGUGAACUGAAGGAGGGACCGAGCACCGAGAAAUGAAUUCUAGCUACUUUAGGUGAGUGUUUCCACAUUUGUGUGUUUAAAUAGGCUAUGUGCUACUUAAACGAUGGCUAUAUGAUCAUACUAGUGCUUUAAUGUGAAGUGCUUUCAAUUGUCUCUCGCCUUCUAAGUCGGGAGUGUAUUUGAUUGCACUCGACUUAAUUUGAGAUUAAAGGUUGAUAAUUGAUCAAGUGUUAUUAUAAUAUGCAUGACUGUAAGCCGUGUACGUACUUCAUCGUAUCAGCUGAAUUGGGCUCCAAAACCCUUUGUUCAAUGGAUUAUUCGAGCCAACAAAAGGCUUUGGUCGGAUAGCACGGUGGUUUUGCAUAAGUUUUUCAGUAUGCUCGAGUAUUACCAUGUAGUAGCAAAUUACUGAACUGGUAUAGCCAUCUAAGUGAGGGAAGUGUUUACUAUUUUGGAGGUUAUAAGGAGGAGUUCUGUGGAGUGUGCAAUGUAUUAAAAUGGCUCUAAUGCGAGCGCCGUAUCCUUUUGAAAGUAAUUGUUCAAUGAAGUGUUCUUUACUUUAUUCAAUAAAGUGUUUUUUUCUUGCUUAAUUUUGAUUACGUGUUAAGUGUUUGAUGAUUAUUGCUUGCUUGGGAAACCUCAUAGGGUUUUGCUCAACCCAUUUAGUUUGUUUUUCUUACAAAAAGGGAGGACAGGAAUAGGGAGUAGCCAAGAGUUAAGUUGGGACCCGAAAUUGUACUUGGAAGAUUCCUUUAGUACUUAAAUGUUAUAGUUAUUCUAACUUUUAUUUUCAAAGGUUAUAUAUAUAUAUUAAACGGUUUAGACUAACAUAUCUUUACUUUUUUGGGAUGUACUUAAGUAUGAUGGACUGUUAAUGGCUUUAGUUACUGAAAUGUUAUCUCUCAAGUUAAUAUGAGUUCUAACGAGAGUCAGGUAGGCAGUCCGCUUAACCCUUUAGUGUGACGCCCCCACUUCUCCCAAGGGCGAACCCAAGGGUAUCCGCGGGACGCCUGCCCAACUCUCGCCAGGACUCGGUACAAUUUCCCUUCAAAUUUAAGAAUAACCGAUCAAUACUAAAAGUCGAAGGUAUAAAGGAAAGUCAAUUCCUUAAUAAUCGUUCAAGUCUUACAUCAUAAGUUACCAAAAUAUCUUACAUUACUAAAAUAUACAACUUCCAAAAGUUGUCUAAACGAAUACAUUCAAAAUUCUAAUCAAAAGGGCCAUCAAAUCGACCUCUCCACAAUUCCUUCCAUUUCAGCUCCUGUUAAAGAAAACAAAUCUAACGGGGUGAGCGAAUGCUCGUGAGGCCAAGAAAACAUGCAACACGCAUAGUACAAAUAACAAUAGCACUUACGCAAGAAUGAGAGCUAUAAUAUUCAGGUGAUUCACAAUUUAUACUAAGAUACCCUUGAGUAGGAUACAGGAGCUCUUAUGAGCUAAUUUCUAUUUGUUUUGUCAAAAUUCAAUCCAAUACUUCCUUGUGAUGACAUUCCAUCACCCAAUUAGGUAAUCAAAUCCGUAGAAUUUCACUUUUUCAAGUAUGGUUCUGAGUCGACAUGAGAGGUACCUCCCACCCGAAUCGGUGUGGUACAUGCUAUCGCUCAGGGAAUCGAUUACACGUUUAUGGUUCUGAGUCGACAUGAGAGGUACCUCCCACCCGAAUCGGUGUGGUACAUGCUAUCGCUCAGUGGUCGAUUAGACAUCGCUCCAAUCGACUUAUACUUUAUUUAUAGUUUUGAGUCGACAUGAGAGGUACCUCCCACCUGAAUCGGUGUGGUACAUGCUAUCGCUCCGAGAACCAAUUAUAGCACUGAGACAGUAUGAGAGGUACCUCCCACCCAGAUUGGUGUGGUACAUGCUAUCCGCUCAGAGCUCAUGAGUUAAACAUAUUCAUGUACAAUUACCAAUUAUUGUUUAUAGUUCUGAGUCGACAUGAGAGGUACCUCCCACCCGAAUCGGUGUGGUACAUACUAUCGCUCAGGGAACCGAGUAUAGCACUGAGUCGGGAUGAGAGGUACCUCCCACCCGAAUCGGUGUGGUACAUGCUUCCCCUCAGAGCUUACGAGUUAAACAUGUCUAUAAACAGUUACCGAUCAUGUGUAUCCAUGUAACAAGUAUUUGCAUAAUUAAAGGAAGGAGAGAACGAGGGUGUCCUCACGUAUAUACACAUAAGUCGAGGAGGCUCACUCCACUCGACAUCACAACACAAAUAUGGUUGGCAAUAACAAUACUUCACUUAAUUCCUAUAACAAUUCAUUUCACACAAUUCAAAUAUCAAUCCACAUAGCACAUUUUAACUGUAGCAUUCCCCAAAGGAGAACGAGCGCGAUAAAAUACACACUCGUCUCAACAAGUUUACGUAUCAUGUAUAACACUUGUACAAUUCACAUUUCAAUUACAUAAGUAUUUAACAUGCACUUGACACUCACCAAGUAAACAAGAAGAAACGGCACUCGAAGUUCAAGCGUCCACCGUGGGAUCCUCUUGAAGUUCCUCUCGUGUGCCUGAGCAAUUAAUAAGGAUUUAUCACUCAAAAUCCCCAAUUAUUACAAAGAUUGUACUUAAUGCACAAUCUAAGAAAAUCCCAAAGAAAACGGAUCCCAACCACUCGUAAAUCGGGGUUCAAAGAUGGGAUUUUAAAGCACCAAAGCAAUUGAGGUUUCAUCUUGGAAAUCAAGUUUAAUACUUUCAAGUAACAUCAAAGGAAUAAGGAGAAUUCAAAAAUCUCUAUUUCCUUAAGAUUUGGAAAUUUCAGUUUUGGUACGAGAUCUUUGAAAAACCGUAUCUCAUUCUUUACAAGUCCAAAAUUGGAAAACUUGGUACCGUUGGAAACCUCUUCCAAAGUACUAAAAGUUCCUAGAAUACACUUCUCUAAUAUUCCAAAUGAAAAACAUUCAAAAAUGAGCUCAAAGUCGCUGUUUUGGUUCAUAAGGCAGAUUUAAGUUGGUUUUUGGCCAACUUUGAAAAUUCGGAAAAAUUCACUUGAUUGGAACUAGCCUUUGAAAUUUGCAAAUCUAGUAGUGUUGUAACCCAAGUUUACAACAAAAUAAGCGGAACGAGAAAUGGAGUUUUGAGUACCAAGAUAUGGUAGCUCAAAGUUACCCAAAUUUCCUUGUUAAACAAGGGUUUUCCAAAAUCAAGUCUUGAACUUUGGAAAUUUAUUUGAGCCAUGAAACGGUCUCGGAAUAACACCAAAAUUAGUAGUAUAAUACCACCAUAUAAGGGUUGUCCCUCUACCAAAUUUCAUGGAAAAAUACCUUCGGGAAGGUAGUCAACCAAACAUCCAAAGUUUCGAAAAUCCUAAGGCAGAACUGCCUUGAGCUUUUUGGUUUUCCAUUCCAAACAUUUGGUCAAGGAAAAUCCUCCAAACAUAGUUCAUUAGUGUAGGCAAAGCCUAAGGAACAUUCAUGGUACAUUUGGUAAGUGUUUAACACCCAAAAAAUUCAAUUAGCAAGUCUACACCAAGCCUUGCAUCAAAUCUGUCCAAAAGUUAGGGUUUUCAAGAGUAGGGCAGGUUCCGUAUUUUGAUCAAAAAUCACUCAAAUUAACUCGGAAUUGAGCAUGGUUUAUGGCGUUGGAAAAUACAUUUAUAGAGCUAUAAUUUUACAGAAGAAAUCAUUUUGAAAUUCGGCAUACAACUAGCUCGAAUUCGAGCCACAAGUUGCAGCCUCAGCAUUUCUUUCCAGGAAAACAGAGAAACAGAACAGCCGACUUUAAAUGGUUGGUUCGGCUCACAUACAUGGAAUCAGAACAUGAAUUUUAUACCGUUGGAAAGGUGAGAAUGUCUAGUUUCAAAUGCCACUGACGGCACUCAAUUUCAACAUCGAAGCACAGAGUUAUAGAUGAAACAAGAAAGCUGGUCUGAGCAUUACGGGAACAGUUUCCAGGUCUGCUACCUUCACGAAAAUAAUUCAUUUGACCAACCAAACCUCAAUAUUUUUCAAUGAAAUUUUGUACACCAUCUAUACAACAUAUAAACAUCAUAUAAAAGCCAUUAAACCCUCAAAAUUUCGCAGAAAUAGGUACGUUCAAAGUAGGGGCAGAAUCGGAACUUUUUACUCCAUGCACCCCUUGAAGUUUCUACUAAUAAUACACCAUUAAUCUACCAUUUUGAGUACUAAACCAACAUUAAAUCCAUCAUCAAUGAUCACAUCAGCCAUCAUCCAAGAGUGGGAGUUCAUAGAGCCCACAUUCACAAUUUUCCAACAAUAACAAGCCACUCACAUGAAUAACUAAGCUCAUAAGUGUAAAACAACUUCCAAACUUCAAGUUUUCAAGAGUGGAUCAUCACUUACUUUGGUUUGAUGUUCAAGCAGAAUUUCAGCCCCCUUUACUCCAGCAAAACCGUGAUUUUCAGCUCCCCUUUGCAGCUCAAAAUGAUCCUUAAGUGUUAAGCCAAGUGUGGUUUAAGUUUGGUGUGAAUUGGAUGAAGAUUUGUGCAAGAUUUGGAGAUGGAGAAAUUGAGAAGUCUUGGGUUGUUUUUGCAGCUUGAUGGCCGGCUGAAAUGGAGCAUGAGAGAGGGAAAGUGUGUUCAAAUUUGGCUUCCUAAGGAAGCUUCACUUGUGUGGCUAGAAAUGGUGCAAAAGUCAACUCUUCUACGCGCGCACUUGCGCGCAUUUCGCGCUCGAUUCCUCUCGCAUUUGUUUCACCAGUGCACUAAACCUCUAGUACACUUAUAUUCAUACAAAUAUUAUGCACUCUUAAUUGUCCCAAAAUAAUAGUCUAAAGUUCCUCAAUUAAUCGCGCGCGUGAAAACGCAUAUUUCCAAUUUAUGCGCGAUAGAGUGAAACUUUCGAGAAAUUCUUAUAACGAUCGUACCACUAACUAUCACUUGAGUACUUAAACCUAAAAUUACCUAUUUUAGGACCAUUGUACAUGUCUCCAAUUUUCCAAGCUUAUUGUACUCCCAAUUGGCUAAAAUUUUCAAACAUGUUUUCACUAUUUUCAUUAAUCGAGCUUCCAAAAAUUAAUUUUUGAAACGAGUCACUUUAAAACUAUAAUGAAGUCAUAAUUCCAUGUAUUUAAGUCUAAUAAGGUUAGAAAAUAUUAUUCAGGGCAAAUCCAAAUAAAUAAUUAAAUGAGCCAAAAAUAGGGGUUUAAAAAUCGGAAAAUAUGCGGGUCCUCACAUUUAGUUUGCCUUAGGGUCCGGCCGAGUCGUCACAACCUGACCCACAUAGCAUAUAUUUUUUAUUUUUAUAUACAUAUAUAAAAUAUUAUUUUAAGAGCUAAGUAAGUAAUUUCAUUAAAAAAAUUACGCCCAAAUAUGAGUGCUUAUAAUUUGUUUACAAGAUUCAUUUAUAGAGGUCAUAAUCUUAUUUUAAAAAAGAAAAAGUUUAAUUGAUGUAGAAUAUAUAUAUAUAUGUGUGUGUGUGUAUAAGGGAAAUGCUUAUAACAAUUUUCAUUAGUUUUGGAUUCAUUUUUUUUCUUGUAUUCUCUUUGUGUGUCUGUUUCUCAACAUAAGACUUUUUUGGGUAAAAUCUACUUCUACGGGUAGAAUGUGCGUGCCCAUUGGAAUGUACUCAUUGGUAGUAAACAAUCUGGAAAUCCGAGGUGCAGAGUAAUGAGCUAGAAGGCACAAAAAUAAAGCAUUAAACAUUCACGCAAAGAAGCAUAUUACAAGCCAAAUAACUGAUAACUAACUAAACAUAAGAGCAAUGCAAACAAGAGUUACCGAGCAAUAGGAAAAGGAGAAGCUGCAGAACUUGUGUUCUCUAUUUUACGGAAAUUACCGAGAAGGAAGCUGAGACCAAACAAAAUGGAAAAAAAAAUUUCUAAGCUUUAAUCUGUUUCAUCAAAGUUCAAACGUAGCCUUCUUGUUUACUAUUGUCAAAAAUUUCAUCUAAAAAAGUAGUUAAUGGUAAGUAAAUCAUCCAUUGAUUCAUGGUCCGAUCUAAUGGUGAAUGUAUGAUAAAAGUACAAAGAACAAUUGAUCAAGUGGUUGAAAUUUAUACAAAGGACAACCUAACUCUUAGCAAAUAGUAAACAUCCAAUCAUGACAUGUGAUUGAAGGAAGUAAAACAAUGGCCUAUGACUUGUAAAGAUUGUUUAAAUUUUACCAUUGAAUGAUCUCACGGUUACAAUUGGAAAACAAUUAACCACUGCAAAUCCAACGGCCCAAAGUUAAGCAAGAUAUCAAAAAUAUUUUUAAAAAAUUGAAAAAACUCAAAUAAAUAAAAACGUUAAAAGUUGCUUUGUAAUUAACUAUGGCUUAGCUAAAAAUGAUAAUUCUUAGACUGACUGUUUCAUUUUAAUUAUGUAAAAUAGAUUAUAUAUAUAUUCCCUAGCACAACACUUGUAGUCCUACUACAAAAAAUAAUUUUUCCAUAUUUCUUUUUAAAUAUUUAUCAGAGAUAUGAUUUAUACAUCUUAAUAUUUUUCCCCAUACUGUAAAAAUAUAAGUUUUAACAUAUCUUUUCCAAUAAAUUCUAGACAAAUAAAACCUAAAAAAUUACUUUCUAAAUAGAUAAAGCUCAUAACUGGCGUAUUUGUUUUCAUUUCUAUGCCAUUAGUUAAAUUAUCUCUUAUCCAAUCUCUCGGUAUCAUGAAAAAUUUAUUAAUUUUUUGUAUCUCUUCCUGUCCAUAAUCCCAAAGAAUAAGGAGAGUGUUUAUAAAAAUUACAAAUUGAAGUAGGCGAUGCACUUAUAUAUGCUUUGUCAAUAAUUAACCUAGCAUUUAAACCCCUUCUCAUGAUGUUUCUACUCUCAUUAGAAAAAAUAACGAUUUUGGUGUUUCAUUUUCCCUUAAAGUAUAAAUAAUUCUAAAAAAAUAUACAAAAUAAAUAGGUUGCAUUUUGAAUAUUAACCUUGCAUUUAUACUAAAAUCUAUUAUGCUUAUACAUUUAUCUGAAGUAAUAAAUCAUAAAUUUUAUUUUCAAAAAAAUUAAUAUCAAAUACUUCUCAAUUAAUUAUUUAUUAAUGACUAAAGAAGUAAUAAGCAUUCAGCUGUUGUUCAACCAAAUGCUCAUUCAACCAGGCGAUGUAGUUAUAUUUGAUUUCCAAAUAAUUAACAUACCAUUUAAAUCUCUUCCAUGAUGUUUCUACUUUUAUUGCAAAAAAUUAAUUUUUGUAUUUUUUUUCCCUUAAAUCCAAAUCAUUUUUAAAAACUACAAAAAAAAUAAAUGAGGUUGCACUCUGAAUAAUUAACAUUGCACUUGCACUUAAAUCUAUUACGCUUAUACAUUUAUCCAAAGUAAUAAUUCGUAAAUUUAUUUUUUGGAUAAAAUUUAUUAGUAUCAAAUAUUUCUCAAUAAAUUGUUUAUUCUUGACUAAAGAAGUAAUAAACAAUCAGCCAUUAUGGACUUAAAUGUUCCUUGACUAGGCUGGUUAAUUCGCUCUGCAUAAUAAUUAGAGGGGAGGAAAAAAUUUUAUAUAUUUGCAUUGAAAGCAAAAGAAGGAAACAAAGAAGGCUCCUCACACCUCUCAUUGCACCACGUGGUAGCUCUUGAAGCUACCAUAGCAAAAAGCAACCCGAUCUUAUAUAAUAAUUAGAGGAACCAGGCUGGCCCUCCCAAAAAUACUGAUCAUUGAAAAAGCAUAUGUAACAAUUCUAGUUGCAAAAUAGGUACAUAAUACCAUAAUUACCAUUCAUAGAUAGUUGUCAACAAUUUCAGUAGCAGUUACACACCUUCCAGUACAAUUAAGUUCCAAGUAGAGAUACAUUGGCAUGCUAAUAGUCUUUUUCAAAGUUCAUUUUAGUUACAUAAUAUCAUCUAUUAGGAUCCAUUAACUUCUAGUCAUCGUGAGAAUGUUAAUGGAUUCUAAUAUGAUGGCAAACGAUAGCAUGCUAAAAGUUCAGUAGCAUCCAUGAUGAGCAAAAGGAUGAACAACAAAAGGAUGAACAAAAGAGGACAUGAAGCUGUGUGGCUGCUUCAUUUUGCAGAUUCACGUGGCUUCUUGAGAGGGCUCAUAUGAGCAGAUUUUGAAGAUGCAGGCUUGUUGUCUUCAGGACCAUUUUUUGCAGCAAUUGAGGGAACAACUUCAAUGGUUGUCUUCUCUGCAGAAGUUACAUUAGUUCUGGGAAUUGGAGUUUCAAAAAUUAAGCUUCUUUUUGCAGCAAUGUUUGAAGAGAUUGGCUUAUCUGCAUUAUCAGACUUGUGCCCAAUUGAAUCUAGGAUCAUUUUUGUUGUUGGGCUAAAGAAUUGCCCUUCAGUGGCAGGUUGGUCAGUGAAAGUGGAGCGAGCAGUUAAGUCAACCUGUUCAAUGCUGUUGGUCAGCUUCUCAGUUAUGGUUGGAGCAGUUGGAACAGGCUCUUCCACAGGAUUAGAGGCAGCUGUGCGCGUGAUUGCUGGGUUGAUUUCAGCCAAUUCUUCAGCAGUGUAUAUUUUGACGAUGCUAUACUUAUCAUCUUUCUGUCUUUGAUAAUCUGAAUCGAAAUGGCAGACAAAGCAUAGGACUUGACGGUUAUCAAUUGCAGAUGCAAUUUCAGAAAAAACCUCAACACCCUAUAUUUUGCAAAUGAACAAAAAAAAAAGUUCAAUACCCUGUAUUUUAAAAAAUUUUAUAGACUACCAGAAAAUGUAAACAUGAUGCAAUUUCAGAAGAAAGCUUAAUAGUAACAUAGAUUGAAGGUGACAUGGGCUAUCUUAUUGCUGGAUAAAAGAAACUUUUAGCUAGUUCCAGUUAGGAAUUUUGUUUUUUGACUACGAUUGAGUCUUGUCCUUGGAAAGAAUAGCAAAAUAACCAGAGGGAUAUUACCAGAUUUGUAGGCCAAUCACAAAAGAAAAUAGAGAUAUUGCAUGUUAAUGGUAUGAGUUUUUCAGCAUCUUACGUGUUCAUCAACUUCACUUAGUUGUACUGCUGUGAAUGGUAUGAGUUUUUCAGCAUCUGUACCAAACACUACUGCAUACAUUGAACUUGUUCCAUCAUCAAUGAUAAUUCCAAUACGGCAUCUAGUAUAUGAUAGCAGUGAAUAAUAGCUAAUCAAUGAAAUAAAACAGAAUUAUUGUUAAGAGCACUAUUGUAAAAUUGCAUGCCUUGUUUACCUGGUUUCAACGGCAUUUUCUUCUCUACAAGAUGGACAUCUGAUGAUCCAUUCCAAAUUAGCAUCUAUAGCCUUUUUGACAGUUACUACAUGCAGCAUACCAGAAAGAUCGCUGCUCAGCUGCCAAAGAAGUAUUUCCUCGUAUCCAGGCAGUCUUGACCUAUAGUUUAUAUUGUAUUAGAUGCAAAGUUAAGUAAUUCAUUUUUCACUAAUGUAAAAGGUAAGAAAAUAGUAUAAGUCAGUUGCUGAAAUGACUGUAUUUACAUUUUUCAGCAUGCUCACAGCGUUCUCAACACUAAUGAUAUCAUCAUUUUUUGGGCGGAGGCAGCAAUUUGGUUGAGUCUUUGUAACUGGCCUCCUCAAUUAGUUGUAAAAUUUCCUGCCGAUUCUGAUCAUACCUGUGAACAUAAAUAUGACAUGUUAUAUUUUUCAGUUUUUAUGUAUAAUUAUAAAACAUGAUAUGCUUACCAUUGCCUUAAUACAGUGGCUUGAGGAGUUGGUGGAUUCACCAGCAGACAACAUGCAAGCCUUGUUGUUAGAGAUAGAUCUAAGAAAAUAGUAUAUAAUUAAUUCAUUAAAGUUGAAGUAUGGCAGGCAAAGUAGUAAUAAUUUCUUGAGCAAUGGGAGCUGUAACUUAUAGUUAAAAGUAAUUACUUUGACUCUCAUAGCUAUGAUGAUGUUGUUGUUUGUGAUAGUGUUUGCCAGCUGUGCUCCUUUAUUUGCUUCAAAUUCGAUCCACAGAAUAAGGAGCAUUGGCCUUUUUCUAAAAAGGCAAUAAAUAUGAUAAAAAUUAAAGAAUGUAAUAAGUUUAUUUAGUAAAUUGAAAGUCUAUUCUUUUGUUCCUGUUGGCUUACUCUUGAUUAAUAACAACCAAGUCUCUAGUCGUUGAAUCAAGACCCUGUUCCCUUGAAGGAAAAGCAUGCACGACAAUACCCUGGAUAUCUAUUAUUCAAAAGAAUAUUUCAAUCUAAGGAUAAGCUGAAAAUAACAUAAGGAAUACAUUGGGAUUAUCUAAGAUAAAGCAUGAACUUACUUUGCAAAUUUUCUGUGUCAGCAAAUCUGAAUAAGUUUUCAAAUGCUGUGAGCUCAAAAUGACACGGAAUAACCGGCGGAACCUGCUCAACAUACUCCUCAACCAACGUUCUGUUAUGGAUUACCCAAGAAUAUGGGUCGUCACUGACCUUAUACCUUGAUUCUACUUUUCGAAGAGCUACACUGGAGAUAUAGUAUCUCCUGAAUGGCAUCAACAUGGCAGCAAAAAAACGGAUAUCAUUGCCAUAGAUGACUGUUGAAACCUUUGUUCCCUGUUGCAUCAUAAAGAAGAAAAGCUGUAAAUUUGUAAAAGAGUCAAAGAUAUAUGCAAAAAUUGAAGGAAUAUCUUUAUUUUUUUGGUUACCUCAGAAUCUGUCAGAAGGAAAUGGUGGUAGUUCACAGGCCUUGCUCAUCGACUCAACUGAACAUAUCCUCUCUGAACAACCUGAGCCAAUACUGUCCAUCCUUUUACUCCCUCAACGACCUCAUUCACUGGAAGGUAGCGUCUUGCCAUGCUUAUCUAUAAAUGGUACAAAAAGAUGAAAUUGAUUCUAAAUAUAUAGUACAAUUAUGAUAGGAUUAAUUAAAAAUUGAAGAAAUAGCAGAAGAAUGUUCAUUUACUUGACAGCUAAUUGAGAAGCUUCAAGAGAACAGCUAAUUGAGAAGCUUCAAGAACUUCUCUAUAUACAAUAUUUUUUGUCUGAUUUAUUCUGGAUUUAUCAAAAAAUGGAGGCUUAAUGAGUAACUUGACUUGUGAAGCUGUUCUUGCACGUGAUAACGCCACAUAAAUAGGUUCUCUUAAAUAAAUACUUACAAAAUCUAAUGUUUGUCCUUGAGCUUUGUUAACUGUCAUUGCAAAGCACAAAUGGAUUGGAAACUGAGUUCUCUUAUAUGGGACAGGGUAUUGCUCCUCAGUGGGAGGUUCUAACGGAAUUCUAUGGAUGAAAACAUCUUUUCCAGCAAAAUCACCUACAACUAUUUGAGCAUGAAUAACAUUCGGCUCAAAUUCCUGCAUAUUAAUCUUGUCCCAUUACAAAGGUCUUCAGUGGGAUCUAAAUUUCUUAGCAAGAUUAUUGGUGCAUUAACCUUCAAGAUCAGCCUAUGUGGUAGAAGUCCACUUGGGGAAAGAGAAUUCAAAAAGUCCUCAUACACUCCCUGAUGAUUUGGAUUUAAGGUUUCAUCAAAACUAAGAUAUUCUACUGCUUCACCUGGAAAUUUGCUAAUGAGAAUGUCAUUCACCUCAUCAACAAAAUUAUUUUUUGUGGACAGAAUUGCUUGGUUGACUGGAGUGUUAGCAUCUAAUGAUCCAGUUAUGAUAUUGGGGUAUACUAAAUUUAUCAAAUUAUCUAGUGCAGAAUCAGCCUCACUAUUUUCAAGCAAAAUUGAAGAGCGAAUCUUUAUGUAGCUAUCAUCUUGGGAUUUUUCAGUUCCAUUGCCAACUCUCAAUAAAUAAUUAGUAAAUGAGGGGUCUAAUCGAGUCCUCAUAUUCUCUGUUAACUGCAAUUUUUCAAGAGAAGGCCAUAGAGGAGAAUUUAUUAUGCAAGCAUUAAUAGUCUCAGAUUGAUUUCCUCUACGAACAAUUGGCAAUGUUUGUCUAAAGUCGCCACCAAAGACGACAACUUUUCCACCAAAUAUUUCUGAUGAGUUCAUAAGAUCUUGCAAUAGAUCAUUUAAUGCUUCAAUUGCAGAUCUUUUUGACAUAGGAGCCUCAUCCCAGAUAAUGAGUUUGGAUUCUCUAAUCAUUGCUGCCGGGCUGCUUUGUUUGCUAACUCUACAUGCUCUGCCUUCUAAAAGAUCAAUUGGGAUUUUAAAUCGUGAAUGGGCAGUCCUACCUCCUGGUAGUAUAGAAGCAGCAAUUCCUGUAGUGGCUGUUGCUAGUGCUAAAUACCCUUUAGACCUUACAUCAGCUAGCAACGCUCUAUAGAGAAAUGAUUUUCCAGUGCCUCCAGGGCCAUCUACAAAAAAGGCCCCACUUUUGUUCUCAUAUACGCGGUGAGAUAUGAUCUCAAAUGCAUGCCUUUGUUUUUCAUUAAGCAAAGAAAUUGCAUUCAGAUCUUCUUCACGAACUGUUAUUCUUCUUUCAGGUAACAAUUCCCUUGUUUGGUUCUCAACAUCAAAAGGAUGAUAGAUCAUUCGGAACCAAUCCAAAUGAAGCUAUACUUUUCCCAUUGAUUCAAGAAAACCACUUAUUUAUUGCAGUACCUUUUUCCUGACCUCUCUAGGAGUCAAAUCUGAACACCUUAGAAAAUCCUUCAACAUUACAGCCUCAAAUUUAACCAUAAUUGUUUGGGAAUGUUAGGACAGGAAUAUACCAAAAGGGUUGCAAAAAGUCUUCUCAAUUCAUAAGACAUAUGAAAGAGAGAAGCCUCUUCAAGACAAUGUUCUUGGCUGUUAUCAUCUUGAAGCAACCCUCUUAAAAGUGCUGCUUCACGAAAGGUUCUAACCUAUACUCCGUUAUAAGUCUUCAAGUCUUUGAAGGACUUCAGAGCACGGACUUUUGUUAAAAGAAGCCUAAGGUAGUACCUCUCUCCUUCAGUCGGAUGGACUGCAUUUAUUCUUCCUCGACCUCUCAUUUUCCAACGUUUCUUAUCAGGAAGCCAAACAAAAUGGUCUAGAAAUUCAGAAUAUGUACAAUUCAAAGUCGAAGCUUCUGAAUCUGUUCUAUUCAUGUAGAAGACUUCAGUGAGCAUUGUCUUUUUGUUUCUUGGAUUGCUCACAACAUUGGUCAAAUUUUGAUGCUUUUUGAAACUUAUAGGCUGAUAGUUUUCUAGGUGAAGUUGCAAAUGAAUUAUUGCAGGUUUUAUUUCGCCCAUAGCAAAACAAAAAAGUCUCCAUCCAGCCUCAGGUGGUGAGACCCAAUGAGCUGCCCGAUACUGCUGGAUUUCAUCAAUAUGGCUGUUUGGAUUAUCGGAAUUAACAUGAAAACUGAUUCUAUCAUGUCCUUUGAAAAUGUAUUUAUAGAUGUAUUUAACAGCCUAAAUUGUUGAACAAAUUUCAACAUUAAUGUGACAAUCAAAUUUAGCCAGUAAAUAGGUAUUAUAGGGAACAACCCAUCUAUUAUCCAAGUAAUGCUGUCUAACUUUGACUCUAACACCAUUAUUACUUCGUCUAUAUACUAGAUAAGAAUUAAUAGUCUGGGUUGUUUCCUCACAAAAAUCCUUUGGAUAGGAAUGCCCACGCUUGCCAUUCUUUGUCAUACACAUACUUGAUGGAUUUAAAACACCACAUGAACCAUACAUCAUGUGUUUUUUAACCAUUCUAUAUAAGUGUGGGUAUUUCACUUUGUCUGGAAUCUCAGCGCUCACAAUUUUAUCAUACUCUUCAAGUCUGAACAUUUUAUGUUGAGAUUUCAAAAUUAAGAGGAAGUGUGCAUGUGGCAAGCCUCUUUUUUGAACCUCUACAACAUAUGUAUAGACUGCCACUUCACCAAAAAUACUUUUCUUUAGGAUUUCAUUUUUUAAUUCUUCAAGUUUAGCACGAAAGACUCUUACAAUCAAAUCAGGUCGAUUCUGUGCUUCUUCCUUUUCAAUUAGGUGUUUUUUUUAUUUCUGGCCAAUUAGGAUUGCAAGUCAUGGUCAAGAAGAUAUCUGGUUUGCCAAAUUUUUGGACCAAGGUCAUUGCAUCUAUGUAUUUCCUUCUCAUAUUUCUUGGCCCUCCAAUAAAGCUUGUUGGUAAAAAAAUUCUCUGGCCAAUAUUUGCUGCCUGUGUUUCACCAGCAGCCACAAAGUUUUGUAUUCCUUGCAAAAACUCUCUCCUUAUUUCCUCUUGUUGUGAUCUAUAAAAAUCUAGUCUUUGAGAUUCAAGCUUAACAUACAUAUCCACUAUAAAUUGCUGAAUUAAUCUAGCAAAAUGAAACAAAAAAGACUCAUCAUUAUCCCUUAUCUAGAACUUAUAAGCAUAAUACUCUCUCACAGAAACAAAAUUUGGAUCAUUAUCAAUCUUCGCCAUUGCUGGUAGACAAAUUACAGAAUAAUUAGUUAAUUUACUAUGCUGAACUGAACUACAAAUAGAUGAAUAAGAUUGGCUGCACCUACCAUCUUGUUCCAUCUGUAAUAGUUCUUCAGCAGUAGCAGCAAGCAUUGGGGAAAUUGAACUUUCAGAAUUCUUAUUUCGAGUCUUUUUCUUGUAGACCUUUUUUCCUUUUUUUUGGAUUUCUUGAUGCCAACCAAGUUCACCAAAAGGAAAAAGAAGAGGGUACUGCAAGGGGUCAUAACAGCCAUAGUAAUAUUCUAUACUGUGACAAUGACCACCAUGAGUAUGGACUCGAAUAUCUCUCAGGCUUGUUUCCCCAUUUUCUUCUCCUUCAACCCACAAUGCAGCAAUUUGGGAGACCGUAGGUUUGUUAAAUACCCUUUGGUCUACAACAGGCAGCGUUCUCAAGACAAUACGAUAAGUAUCAAGAUUAUGAACUUCUCUUAAACCACGAAAAAAUCGAGCAUAUGGAUUGUGUUCAAGGAUAUUCAUAACCUUCUGGAUAAUACUUUCUGUUAGCCUUGGACAUGCAUUUAAACGAUUUGUCAGCUCAUUUUCAGUAUCAUGAAAAUACAACUGCAAAUUUUUUGAGGCCUCUAGGUCACUAAUGAAGUGAUAAAUUUGCCCCUAAAUCCUAAAUGUAUAGACACCUUUAUUUCUCUUUGCUAGAUUCUUCUCGCACUUAACUCCAAAAGAAGUGAAAGCAAAAAUGUUGUUAAUUGUUCUUAUACAUAUUCUAAAUAAUUUUGCCUUUUCUGAAGAUGAAGUUAAUAGCUCUUUUAAAGGAGCUGGAAUUGGGUUGCUAGCUAACACUGUGUCUCCAUUUGAAUAGCAAAAGUUGGCUGUUUCAUGGAAAAAAAAAUUUGCACCACAAUGUGGGCAAUCUGGUUGUUUUGGAAGAAUGCUUGCCGCACCUGGAAUGCAAUCUAACAGGUCUCGCCCUUUUUUUGAACUCUUCCUAUGAUCAAUAAAAGAUCGAUUUUAAAUGACUUAACUUGUUUAAUAAACAAUAAUAGAAUAUAAAAUACCCAAGUCAUUUAAUAAUGUAAAUGUUAAAAGACUUGUACGUUUUCUCUUAGUUUUCCCUUGAUUUUGUUCAAGUAUACCUGUAAAGUAGAGUCCAAUAUCAGCCACUUGAAUUAGAUAAAUUAAAUAAUUGGAAAAAAAUGGUUUUCAAUAUUCAAUUUAAAGUUAAAAAUGUUUGUUAUCAUGUGAAUGUGAAAGGCCUAUGCAUUUUAAAAAAUGGAAAAAUUUACAUGAUACAUGAAAAAGGGUUUAAAUUCAUGCAUUUAGAACAAAUAAUUUAUAGUAGAAAAAGUAAAUUUUAAAUUUUAAAAAAUGGAAAAAAAAUCACUGAUUUCAAGUAAAGGAAAAAACUGGUUAUACUGUUCUAAGAAGAUAGAAAGAGUUUUGAAGAUAUAUAAAAUCAGUUACUUGAUGGGAAGAACUAUAUUAAUAAGCAGUGCUAUAUUAAGUACCUGAAAGCUGAGACGCAUUCGAUUGUAAUUGGUGAACAACUUGAUUAGACUGAUUUAAAAUCUCAACACCCUCAGGAUUAUGCUAUUCAAUUGUACUUAUGAGAGGUUGCAAACUCUCAAAUCCUAUAUUCUGUGCUUGAUCCAGCUGAUUUUGCUUAGUUUUUUUGGCUGUCAUCUUAAGCACUCUCUGUUUUCGUCGAUUUCUAUAGGUGGAAGAUUCAGCUACUGAAAAUUCCGACGGGAUAGACAUACAUGAUUGCAAACUAUUCAAGUUUGCAUUUGGUAGCUAAAAUGUGUUAACAAAAUCCGGUAUUAGAGGCUGAACAGAUUUAGAGACAUUUGGAAGAGGCCCUAUAAUCUGUGAUCUCAUACAUUCUUGUUGACUUGAAUGUUUUUUCUGAGAUCUCUGAACUUUCAAUGCAAGAGCUUUCUCUUUCCGAUGAUGUCUCAAAGUUACGCUUUAGCUAUUUGCAAAUUCAAAUAACACAUCCAUACCAGUUUGCGUACUAUUUGAAUUUAUAUCGAAUAAAGACAACCUGGGAAGAGACUGAACAAUAGAAGGCUCAGUCACAAUCUUAGCAAGGUCUACAAUAUGAUUUUCUACAGAGGCUACCUCAAAAAGUUGGUUUGUUUGAGAUGUUUUGGCCUGUGAUCUCACACUCAUUUGUGUAGGAUACUCUGUCAGGUUGGAAGUGUGCCUCCUUGUAAACUGGAAUAGUGCAGGCAUACACAUUUGCAUAUUACUCAAAUUUACAGGUGGCGAGGAAGACGUAAUAGCAGAAGGCAAAGUUCCUACACUAUAACGUUUUAUUGCUCUAUCUAAUCGUUUCUUUUUCCAUCUAAGAAUUGCAUCUUUUCUGCAAUCUUUUUCCUUAUCAUUUGACCCACAUCAAACUAAGAAAUCACAGUAGGAACAUUAUCACAAUUUUCUUUGAUCACAGAGUCCAUGACAAAAAAAGAAGAUUACUAUCCAAGGCAUUCUAUAUGGAACAGACAUUCAUUCUCAUCAUGUGAAGACUUUUACUCUCAUAACAGAAAGAAAACCAUUAACUACAUCAUGUAUCUCACAAUCAUGUAAAAAUGAAAUAGAUAGCAAUUAAUAUGCCUGAAGCUUAAAACUUUUUAACAUGAGACACACAACCUAUAAUAUAAUCAACAGCCAAUAAAAUCCAAAUCCCUUGGACAAAAAAAAACAGCACAAAAUUUAGUUUCUUAGACAAACCUGAGAACUGAAUAUGCCAACUUGUUAGAGCAAAAGAUGCACACCAAAUAGAAUAGCCAGCUUCAGUUGAAGAAACAGGUCGACAUUUUGUAAGCAUAGGCCAAAAAAAAAAAGCAAAAUCAGUAUAAGAAAAGGAAGAAUAAAGAUUCACAAUGAAAAAAAAAAACUGAAGAAUUACAAUAGCAGUGCUAGACAUCGUUUUCAUAGCUCCAUAAAACUUAUUGUUUAGUUAUAAUCUAUAAGUAUAAAAAUAUGUUUUCAAGUAAAGUAAGCACAUUGUGAGAAGAAAAUCAACCAAAUUAAUAAAUGAUGGUCUUAUAACUCUCAUUAUUGAUCCAUUUACUAUUCUGUUAAGUUUUACUACUAGUAAAAACAUAGUCAAAUGAUCUAAAUUGACCGAAAAUGAAAAUUCAGAAAGCUAAUUGAGCAGCUAACCCAAGCACAAUUGCAAAAGGAGCAAAAAAGAAUGCAAGCAAUACAAAUUAAAUAGGAAAAAGAAAAGAAGAAUAAACCUGAUUAAGUGAAGUAUUAGAAUGAAUUGUUCCGAGUCCAAAUUCUUCACAGUGGAGUAUGACAAAGUUUUUCACAACAUGAUUUAAUAAAAAUGUUUUUUUGGUGAAAGUUUUUAUGAAUUUACAUAAAAUGUUCCAAUUUCUUUCGGAUGGUCACAACAUGAUUUAACAAAAAGUUUAUAGAUCACAACAUGAUUUAAUAAACCGAUUAAUGUCUUAUUCUAAUAUGUAAUAUUUGCCGAAAUUUUUACAUGAAUAAACCAAGAGAAACAUUUAGCCAAAAAUCUACUAAUUUUAAUAUCUUUACCACAUAUGACUACACAUAUUUAGGGGAAAAAAUAGAAUCUAAUUUACAAAUGAAAAGGACCCUUACCAAAGCUAGAGGCAGAAGAAGCUCCCUUCCAAGCGCAAGGUCUUCAGAGAAAGAAAUACACCCUUUAUAUGGGCACUUCUCUUUCUUUUCCUUUUUAAAACCUAAAAACCUAAAUUACUACUCACUUAAUGUCUAUCACAUCAAAUCCCUGAAAAUAUGAUUUAGAAUUAUGGUGUUCAUGGGAAAAUUGGAUGGCUGCAAAACCAAUUCCAAUACAAAUGAAUGAAAUCAAACGGUUGGCCACUUUUCUGGGGAAAAAUCCCUGAAUUUUGGGGAAAAACAAGACACCUAAUCUCUGAGGGAUUUCAGGCCUUCCAUGCUUCCAAGUACAAUAAGCAUGUGAAGGAACCAUCUCUGCUAUAGGAAGGGAAGAGUAUUUGCUGGUACUUUCACCCGAAGAAGAAGAAAAGAAGAGAUACGACUGGUUUCUUGUUUGUCUUAAGUGUUUACAAUGAAAUGGGCCAUAUAACAGAGGUUCUAUUGCAAUGUAAUGGGUCCCGUUGGUUCUAUUACAAUGUAAUGGGCAAUGUAAUGUCUUACUUGCUAGUUCCAUUGAUUUCUUGUAUGCCUCCGUUCCAUUGUUUCCCUUAUUAAAAAAUCCAGCCAAGUGUCAAAUAAGUAGCAAGCCACUUGUCAAAAAGAGAGCCUGCUACAGUGAACAACACUCUUUUUAUUAUACUUGAAGGAUUAGAUUUUGAAUUUUAGAUGAAUAUGUAAAGUAUUAAACUAAAUUAAUAUAAAUUAUCUUUAAGAUAUAUUAAAUGAUGAGAGGGCUGGUGCAGGUACUGUAGACACCAAAAUUUUGCCAAACUUUUAUGUUUUCUUGAAUAUUUUCUAUUUGAUGAGUCAUUUAUUUUCUUGCAUUUUAAUGUAUAUUCUCAUUUUUGUAUGUUUAUUUUAAGAAAAGAAAAUUAUGAAAAAAAUCAAAAUCAAAUCAUGACUAAACUUACACAUUUUAAUCAUCUCCCCUACCAAAACCACUAUUAAUCCAUUUUUACACUCAAUUCCCAUUGGACCUGUCUAUUCAUUUUGGUAAAAAAUUCAUCAUGUUAUUUCCAUGCACCUUGCUUGUCAUUUGGAAGUUCAUUAUUUUUGACCAACCUAACACUCCACUCUCAAUACAUCUCUCGGCCUUGCUUCUUCUUUUUGCUUGGAAGUCAAACAUAACAAGAAGGACACCACCUAAUUCUUUGUCUCAGCCCUUUCUUUUUCCCUCAAGAAGGGAAGACGCAAACAUACAUAGAAGAAAAAAAACACUCUUCCUCCCCCCAAACUCACACUCGGCUCCCUCUCUUCUCUCUCAACACACUCGCACGCAACAAAAAAGGGAGGGGCAGCUAUCGGUUAAGGCUUGGAAAUUUCAUCAAAAACUUCAACCGAAAGAUUUUCAUAUUUAUUGAGGUAUAUUUUUAGUUUUUUUAUCAUGUUAAAUCCAUGCUUCAUUGUUUAAUUUUCUUUUGUUUUUGCUGGCUUCCUUUGUUGUUUUUGCUGAAUUUGGGGAAAUGGCAUGAACUAGAUUGAGGAAAAGGAAAUGAUUCUUGUGUAUGCAUGCCAAUGUUUGAGAAAAUGCUUAAAUAGAAAAUCGAAUUAAAAUGUUAAUUUUGUACGUAUAUUGUUGUUAAAAUGAAUAAUCAUGACUAGUUAAUGGUUUGGGGAGGUUGUUUAAUUAAGUUUUGUGUCGAUUUUGUAGUCUAAAAGGCAACAGGAAAAAUGAAUUUUUAGGGGUUCUUUUGCUUUAAUUUAGCCCUUUUAUGUUGUUUUCUUGUCAAAUUAAAAUCAUAGUUGUAUUGUAGACGUUGUAAGGAGUGUUGUAGUAUAAUUUUUAGGGCAAAAAAUAUCAGCGGCCAUUAAACUAUUGACGGGAUCACGUUUUGGCCAUCGAACUAUUUUUGUCAAUAAUUGGCUACUAAACAAUUUAAUCCAUAAACUCGUGACCAUUUCGUCGUUAAUUGCUCUUAAGUUCUGAAAUUAGCAUUACACGUGGCAAUGUUCUGGGGCAAUUUUGUCCAGCAAUUUAAUUCAUAACAUAACCAGAAUUUUACAUAAUCCCAUGAAAAAUACAAUGUCCAGAAACAACCCAGAUUUAUCAAAUAUGCUUACAUACGAUUCGAGAUUCCUGAAAGCAGCCAAAGCUUCCUCAUGUGAUGCCAUUCUAACAAAUGCCAAACCCCUGUUUCUGGUCUUGUUAUACAUUGACAACUUAAACAAACAAAAAAAUAAUAAACAAAAAAAAUCAUUUAGAAUAUUAACAUUUUGCACAAAUCAGACAUUCAUUGCAUUGAAUAUCAAGAAAAUCAAGAUAUAACUGGACCGUUAUGUUCCAUUAUGUUCAAAGCAAACAAAACAAGCUAAAAAGAAAAAAAAAACACAAUCCAAAUUGAGCAAAAGUAGUAUUUUUUUUUUUUUUGGAAAUGAACAAAAAUCAAUGUAAACCAACCUCAAUGUCCACAACAGUACCAUAUUUCUCAAAGAGAGGACGAAGAUCAUCUACAGUGGAGGUCCAUGGAACAUUCUGAGCUAAAUUUCUGGUUUUAGAGAAUUCUUCUUCUUCUCCUUUAUCGUCAUCUUCUUCUUCUUCUUGGUUAUCUUUUUCUGCAUUUUCUGAAUUUUGAGUAAUGGGUUGGACUCGGGUUGAAAAAGGGGCUUGGAACUCAAAAAGAUUGAAUCUUUGAGACUUAAAUGGGAGUUUGAAUGAAAGAGAGGGAAAAGAGAGAGCGGCGUUGAGUGUGGGAGGUUUGUGAGUGGAGGGUUGUGAUGAAGCUGAGGAAAGGUUCUGGUGGAAGCGGAAGAAGUUUGUGGGACAUGAUGGCAAAUGGAGAAGACGAAAAAGUGCCAUUUAUGGGUUGAGAAAUCAAAGUUGAAAAGAAAAAUCUAAUGACUAUUCAUGGUUUGUGGGAUUGGGUACCCUGUUUCAGAAGGGGAGGAAACAGAGGAGUUGAGUUGUAGGGUCAGAAAAUUGCUGGACAAAAUUGCCCUCGAACCUUGUAACGUGUAAUGCUAAUUUCAAAACUUAAGAGCAGUUAAUGACAAAAUGGUCACGGGUUUAUGGAUUAAAUUGUUUAGUGGCCAAUUAUUGACAAAAAAUAGUUCGAUGGCCAAAACAUGAUCCCGCCAAUAAUUUAAUAGCCGCUGAGGUUUAUUGCCCUAAUUUUUAUGAUUUUUGGUGAAGGAUAUGGUGUUUUGAAAAAAUAAAAAUUGGGCUGUCUUUUGCUAUUUUCGCCACUUUCGGUUCAUUUUUUGUAAAAACUAAACCCAAAAAUGAAUUCUACGCAAAAAAUCGAGUGGGGAUGUGCAUUUUGAUCAAAUUUGAUGAUUGGAGAGGUCGCCGUCGCCAGCCGCAGACUGAAGAAGCUUCAGCUGGCCGGAGAAGGAGAAGAAGAAAAAUGAAGAAGAAGAAGAAGAAAAAAAAAGAAGGAAAAAAAAGAAAAAAGUGUUGGGCUAAUUUUUAUUUUUUCUGGUGGGCUUGUUUUUUGAUUUUUGGUUGGGCCAAGAGUUAUUUUUGUGUUGGGUUUUGAUUGGAGUAGUGACUGGGUUUGGGGUUCAGGCCCAACCCGUUUUCAUCAGGCUAAGCUUAGUAAAUUUAGUGGGUUUGUUCACUCCUUUUCCAUUUUUUUUACUUUGGGCUGAUCGGAUUUUUGGCCCGGAAAUAAACAAAAGGUAGCCCAAUGACCUUAUUUUCCUAAGACAUCAGAAAUGAAUUUGUACUUUAGCCUCUAAUCUUUGGAGUAAUUUUAUUAUGGCUCAUAAUAUUUUAAAUUUCUUUCAUCUAGGCCCUUAAGUUAAUUGUAUUUUGGUCAUUGAAUUUUAUCCUUUAUUUAAUUUUGGCACCUAAACUUUGUAAAAAUAUACUUUUAUCCCAAAAUUUUUUUAUUUUUGCAAUUUAGUCCCUAAUGAAUUUUUGACUAUCUCUAUUAUAACUGUUUCUUCUUUUUAAUAGCUAAUUAUAUUACUGUUGAAUACAUUUAACUUGUAAUUUUUAGAUGUUUGACAUAUUAAUAUGAAUUUAGUAUUUUUAAUCAUUAUUAUUAUUUUUAAUUAAAUUGGUGUCAUGAUUCUUUUGUUCAUUUUGAGUAUAAAUAGGGCAGUUUGACUCCAUUUAGUCACCACUUCAAAAGGGAGGUACCCCUAUCAUUAUUUAAAUAUUAAUUACGUGCUCUUAUGUGCUCCUACGUGUUCCUAUCUGUUUAUAUAUUUUUAUAUGCUUUGUUAUUUAUUUGAUUCAAAUGUUCAUUCAAAUUUUCUUAUGUUUGUUUAGUUAAUUUUAUAAUUAUUUGAGAGGUGUUUAAAUACCUCAAAAUGUAAGUAUUGUAUUUGAUAGGUAAUAUUUUUGCAAGUAUUGUAAUUAGAUAGACCAAUGUAAUAGAUAGGAUAAAUGUGUUUAUUUUAUCAUAUUUUCCCUAUUUUAGAUUGUAAUUAGGUACCCUGUUGCAAUAGAUAGAAUAGAUAGGUUUAUUUUUUAUAUUUUCCCAUUUUAGAUUGCAGUUCGAUUCUCCGUUGUAAUAAGCAGGUUUUGUGUAUUUAUGUAGCUUAUGUGUUAUAUGCUUUAUCCGCUUUCCUUAGAAUUUUGGCAUCUAGAUAUUGUGAGGACUCGUAAAAACUAUUAUUUUUUAGCCUAAUUAGUGGCUUAAUAAAUUAUUUAAUUGGAUAUUUGCCUCGAGGAAUAUUUUCUAGUUUUAUUAGACCUAAAUGCAUGGUAAUAUAACUUCGUUAUAUUUUUAAAGUAACUGAUUUCACGAAUUAAUUUCCUGGAGCGCGUUUAGUAAAAAUAGUGAAUAGUGCUUGGAGAUUUUAUCCGCUUGAGAGUACAAUAAGUUUGGAAUAUUGGAGACAUGUACAAUGGACCUAAAUUCGGUAUUUUAAUGUUUAAAUACUCAAGUGAUAGUUAUUAGUACUAUCGUUAUAAGAAUUUCUCGGAAGUUUCGCGUUAUCGCGCUUAAAUUGGAGAUACGCGUUUUCACACGCGCGAUUUAAAUUCAGGAACUUUAGACCCUUAUUUUGGGAUGAUUGAGAGUGAAUAAUAUUUAUAUGAAUAUAAGUGCAUUAGAGGUUUAGUGCACCAGUGAAACAAAUUCGAGAGGAAUCGAACACGAAACGCGCGGGAAAAAGAGUUAACCUUUGAAUCAAUGAGAGCCACACAUUUUAGUUUCACAUGGGUGCAUCACACCAGAUCAAAACCCUCCACUUUAUCACCUCAAAUAGCCGUGCAACUCUUCUUUUCCUUCUUCAUUCCAGCCGUGCAACUCCAAGGAAAAACAAGACCAAGUUCUUCAUUUUUCCUUCUUCAAAUCUUCAUCAAACCUCUUCCAAUUCACUCCAAAUUCGAACUACACUUAACUAAACAUUUAGAGAUCCCAUUGAGCUAAGAAAAGGAGCUGCUAUCCAUGGUUUUCUUGAGCAUCUAAGGGGCCGAAAUUUCUGCCUUCAUCCUCUAAUCAAGUAGGUGUUAAUCCAACACUUAAAUCUUGCUUUAUGAAGACCAUCUUACAUGUAUAAGGUAGUAUUUGCAUUUGGGUAGCUUGUUUAUGGUGUAAAAUGAAAUGGGUGGGCUCUAUGAACUCCCACCUUUGUCUUGAGGACUGAUCUCAUGCUUGAUGAUGGAUUUAAUGGUGGUUUAGUGCUUAAAUUAGUGGAUUAAUGUUGUAUUGUUGGUAGAAAAUCAUAGGAGGUGCUUGGAGCAAAAGUGACCGUUUUACCCCUGCCUUGUCCGACCAUUUCUGUGCACAAUUUUGAGGUUCUAAUGACUUGAUUAUAUUGUUUACAUGUUAUUGUGAGUGUGUACAAAAUUUCAUUGAAAAAUAACAUGAUUUGGUUGGUUAAAUGAGUUGAUUUCCAAAGUUAGCAAAACUGGAAAAUGAAUCCCGUAUUGCCCAGGCAGUCAUCUUGUAUCGGCUAUAACUCUUUACUCCGAUGUCAAAAUUGAGUUCCGUCGGUGGCAUUUGAAACUAGACAUUCCCAGCUUUCCAUUGGUACCAAAUGCACAUUCUAGUUCCACUUGAGUGAGCAACACCAUUCGAUUGAAAAUCACUGUCCUGUUUCGUUUCUCUCCAGGAGACAGGACAGGACUUGUAUCUUCAUGCUCAAAAACGAGCUGUUUGUGAAUGGAAUUUGAAAAUGGUUUCUUCUGAGAAAAUUCAGCUUUAUGAGAGAGCUUUCCAACGCCAUCAACCACGCCCAAUUCCAAGUUGAAUUGAGUGAGUUGUGGCCAAAGUUUGAAACAGCUACAGUGAUAGAAUUUUCCACUUGGACAGAUUUGUAACUAACAAUGACUUGGGACUUGUUAUUUCGAAAUUCUUGAUGUAAAUCACCUAUCAAAUGUAUUUUGAAUUCUUGCUAGACCUGAUUAUCAUAAACGAGACAUGUUUUAGGUAUCUUCCCUUGGUCAAAAGUUUAGAAAAGGAAAUUUUCAUACACGAGGCAGCUUUGCCUUAAAAAUUUGGAAACUUGAGUGAUUUCGUUAAGUGAUUUUCCGUGCAUAUUUUUCUAUGACAUUUGAUAGAGGAAUAGCCCUUAUAUGGUAGUAUAAUCAUACCAAAUUUGGUGCCAUUUCGAGUCUGUUUAGAUGUUCAAACAAAGUCCCAAAGUUCAUGUUUAAAUCUGGAAAUUCUUGAUCGAGGAGGAAUUUUUAGCCAACUUUGAGCUGCUAUAUCUUGGCGCUCAAAACUUCAAUUCUUGUACCGUUUAUUUUGUUUUAAACUUUGAUUGUAGCUCUAAUUGAGUUCUAAAUUUCGGAGGUUAGUUCGUAUUGUAUGAAUUUUGCCGGAUUUUCAAAGAUGGUCAAAAACCAACCCCGAAACUGUCUAAAUGGUCCAAAGCAGCAACUUUGAGUCAAUUUUUGAAUACUUUCUGUUUGGAAUCAUGGAAAAGUAUCUUCUAGGAACUUUUAUCGCUUUUGAAGAAGUUUCCAACGGUAUCAAGGUUUCCAAUUUUGGACCUACAUAGUGCAAGAUACGAUUUUUCUAAAAUUGACACCCAAAGCUGAAAUUUGUCAAUUUCUUAGAAAAUGAGAUUUUGGAAACUUGCCUUCUUUUCUCGAUACCGAUUGAACAUUUUGAACUCGAUUUCAUGGAAAAUAUUAGUCUCUCUCUUUAGACUUUAAAACUUUACUCUUGAGCCUCGAUUAUUAAUAAUUAAGGCCCAAUUAAUGAAUUCCCCUUAGAUUGUAUAACCUUCUUUGAUAAGUAGGGGUUCUAAGUGAUAGUGUAUAAUAGUUGAUGGUUAUUUGCCCAGGCGCUCAAGGGGACCUUCAAGAGGAACUCGAAGUGGACGUCUAGACAUUUGUUUGAGUAUUACUCUCUUGUUGCUAUAGGUGAGUGUUCCAUAUAGGAAUACGUAAUUGGAAUAAGUCUAUGACAUGCAUAACCCAUGAUUAUUAAGUGUUAAGUGCUCUAUGUUAAGUAUUUACCACACUCAUGCAUAUCUGAAUAAGGUAUACUUGAAUUACUCGACAUGAAAUACCUGAAAUAUGUAUAUUUGAACUAUUCGAUAUGAAAUGCUUAAAGAGCAUAUUUAUGUGAUUACUUGAAAUAUUAGAUAUGAAAUGCUUGGAGAGCAUAUCUACAUGAUGUGUUUAAAUGAUUAAUUAUGCUAUGACAGCAUAAGUCGGUUGGAGUGAAUCUCCUCGACUCUUAUGUGGAAAAAGUGAAAACGGCCAAUGGUGGCCUAUUAAAAUGACAUAUGUCUACCAAUUAACCGUAAUUACCACCGUUAACCGUUUACCGUUAACCAUGUUUACUUACCGUUUUCUAAUCUAUUCGGCUACUUGCUUACUUGAUUAUCUGCUUACGUAAUCACCAACUUACUUGAUCACUUGAUUAUCAUGAAUCGCAUGUUAUAUGAAGUUGUCCAUCAUUGUUAGGCGAGUGUGUACUUUACCUCACUCGACCUACUCAAAUUAUGAAUUUUACCUUUUGCCGAAUUACUUGAUUACUUGUGCAUGUUGUAAGCUCUAAGCUGAAUUGGGCCCUGCUCAUCGUUACUAACCUACUCGAGCCAGGACUGGGCUCGGUCGGGUAGGUUGGAACCUUGGGACACCGUUUCGGUAUACUCGAGUAUUACCACUGGAGGGAUAAGGUGAUGGCCAGUCAAACCGAGGGGAUCCGGAAGUCAUAAGGUGCAGAUGACCGACAGAGUUCCACUGGAACACCGUAUCCUACAGUAUAUGUUUACCUGGUAUCAUGAUGAUUGUUUCGUGCUAAAAUGCCAACAUGAAAUCCUGAGCUAUGCCUGUAAUAAGCUCCAAUCACUCGUGAACUAUACAUGCUAAUGUCUCAUACCAUGAUAAAUGUCUCAAAUUACCCGUACAAUGAUUAUCAUCUCAUGAUAACAUGCCAUUGUGUAACCUUGAACCAUGCAUAUGAUAUGCCCAACUUACUUGAUUUAUUUGAACUGUUAGAGUGUCUUGGAAUCUCACUGGGCUGUGUAGCUCAUACCACGUUGUGAAUUUCUUUUACAGGGUUCGAGACCAAGGGUGCUCGUGAGUAGUACUAGAUUGUUUUCUUUUGAAAACUUUAAGUUAUAUUAUAACGGAUGGCUAUUGUACCCUUUUCCGUUGGGUUGUAUUUAAGCUUGAAAGCUACAUAAUUGUAAGUGUGAGAUAUUUGAUGUACUUUAAUUAUGCAUUGAAGUUACUUAAAGUAUUUCGAGCUUUUGAAUGAUGGAUUGUAGUGAGUCCUGGCGAGAGCUGGGCAGGCGUUCCGCGGAUACCCUUUGGUUCGCCUUAGGGAGAAGUGGGGGCGUCACAGUUGGUAUCAGAGCUUAGGCUUCAGAUCUUUGUAGUGUAUCCUAGGCUUAAAUGUUUAGGAUGCCGGACUGUGGGACUGGUCUGAAAGUUAAAUGAUUGCUUGUAGCGAUGAAAUUUAGAGCCAAUUCACGUGGUCUCUACAAAGGAGCAAGAUAGGACCAAGUGGUGUUAUGGUCCUUACUAUGUGAUUGAGUAAAGGUUUAAGUGCCCUUCUAAAAAUGUAAGCUGUGAAUCAUGAAUGUUAUAGGUUGUAAAACCUUUAUCUUGAUGAUUGGAGGGAAUUUGAUAUGUAUGUUGGGUAGGAAUCUCGAAUGUGGUGAUUUACUCUUGGGACCGGCCGGCUCGAGUUGUGAAUUACCUUAUUUCGGAUUCUUGUACCCGAGUACUUGAGAGUUGAGGGCAACCAUAAGGACUUUAUAUCUCCAUUUUUGGGGAAUAAGAAUGAAUCGAUAUUUCAUGUGAAUGGUUACAGGAAACCACUAAUUGUUUGGUUAAGAUGGUACAAUAAUUAAGAGUGGAAGAUGGAAAAUAUUGUAACCCAAAAGAUCCUUGUGUUGGGAUUGAAAUCGAGCAUGUUAGGGAACGAGAAUCAUCUAGUUUCAAUUAAUCUAGUGGAUCCCUACUUGUGAUCUUUCAUAGUGAGACGAUGGGAGUGGAACCUAAGAGUUUGCGCCUUGGAGAUAAAUGUACUUGUGAUAAUCACUUGUUUAUUUUUGUUAUUGACUUUGACUUGGCAUGAACUUUACUUGACCAUAAUUUGUGUUAUGAUUUAAUGAACUCUAGUUUGUGUUUACUUGCAUAGUGAUAAUGUUAUUUGUGUAAGUGACUUCAUCCUCUUUAAAUGUUGCUACCGGUAUAUGAGUAUAGUUCAAUUUUAGCUAAGUGUUAGGUUUAUACAUAUGUGUAUAGACUAGCUGUGAACAUGGAAACUAGAGAACAACAAAAGGGACAUCAACCUAGACAACCCCGAAAUGAAAGAGUAGCUAAUGGGUCCGAUAUUGAUCAAAACGUUGAGCUAAGUGCUGGGAGAGGAAAUGACCAGAUGGGACAAGUUUUAACUCGCAUGACGGAUAUCCUAGAGCUCUUAGUAGCUCAACAAGGUCAAGGUGUUGGACAAGGAAACCAACGUGAAAACCAAGAAAUGGGGGAGGAUCGAGCUUUAGAGCGGUUUCAGAAAUUUUCCCCGCCCAAGUUUGCUGGAGGACCUGAUCCAGAGGUGGUUGAGAAUUGGUUAGAGAAUAUAAGAAAUAUAUUCGAUGCCUUGGAUUACACAGAAGAAAGACAAGUCACCUUUGCUGUAUUUCAACUUGAAGGAGCAGCCCGAGCAUGGUGGAAUGUUAUAAGAAAUAAGUGGAAAAAAGAUCAAACUCCAAAGACUUGGAUAAACUUUGUAAGAGAGUUUAAUGAGAAAUUUCUUCCUCCACUUGUCCAAGAAAAGAGAGAAGAUGAUUUUAUAAAUCUUCGUCAAGGAACUUCGAGUGUGGCUGAGUACGAAACUCGAUUCACAAAGUAAUCUACAUAUGCCCCAGAAUUGGUGGCUACUGAACGGAAGAAAAUAAGACGGUUUAUCCAAGGAUUAGAUUUGGAAAUCCAAGAUGCCCUUGCCGCAGCACAGGUUGAAACAUUUAGUGACGCUCUCGAAAAAGCGCAAAGGGUAGAAAGCACAAAAUCUAACCCUUUUCUAAUGGGUAUUUGAUGAUUGGGUAUUCGUUGACAUGCAGAGCGGAAAAGGGUCACAAAAUAACUGACUCACAACAUGUAGAUCAGGUCAAUCAAAAGCCUCAUGACACGGACACCUAAUUGGUGCCUACCCGUAGCAAAGCUAGAAAGAAGUAUUGCCAUGUCUGAAUUUCAAAAAAUGUAGAACUAUUGAAGCAUUUAAACUAGUUCAUAUCUAAUUUUCUACGUGAACAAGUCACUGCUGAAGGUCUACGAACUUUAAAAGGUAUAGUACUAUUUAAACGUCGAUUAUUAAAGGUCUAGAAGUUUGUAAAAGGGUAAUUUCAUUAACCUCUCUUAAGGUUUUCAACAAUUUCAUUGACCUUCCCUAAAAUUUACAAAAUUAUAUUAACCUCCCUUGAGGUUAAACUUUUGGUAACAAAAUCAAUCUAAGUCAGAAAAAAUAUUAUUAAAAUAAUACUUUGAGAAGAGAUGAAACUUUUAUUCCAUAAAUGCCUCUUAUGCAUGCGUACAAUUUGUAUUAGUAAAAAAAAAAGGAAUGAAAACAAUUAAAAGUUGAAAGCAAUUAACACCGCAUUCCACUGCUCAAAAAGUUUACAUUCAACAAAUUAGACAAUACAAAUAAACAACAAAACUACACUAAUGAUCAUAAGAUUCAAUAAAAUAGACCAGUCAUAUCUCUUAACAUGAGGUUUGCUAUUAUUCUUAUGAUUUUGAGUAGAAAAAAUUUCAAAUUUUGCCUUUUUUCUUCCUCCUUUUUCAUUCACCUCCAUGAAGUUGCUUUGCAACUAUCAUAGUUUAAGAGUUUCAGAAAAAAUUUUCUCAUAAACGGCCUUCUUUUUCUCUUUCUUUGCCCUGUGUUUUCUUUCUUCUACCAAACCCCUUCUUUUUACAUUAUGUAUAACUUAUUUCUAGCCAUUGUCAAGUUUUAUCAAUCACAAAAUGGCGCAUUUGAUAUAUCAAUUAGCACCAUUUUGUAAUUGCAACUUAUUGUUCAUCAUUAAAAAAAUCUCCAACAGUUAUUUUUGUUAAUUAGUUACUAAUAGUUAAUUAGUGCCAUAAUUACUCAAUUGUUAGAUAUUAGUUUCUAAUAAAAUAUAAUGUCUUAGGGUAUAUGAGUAAUUUCUUCCUAUGUGAUGUAAGCAAUUGGGUCCAUAAUUCUACCAUGGGAGGUCAUUGUUAUUUUGCAAAUCUCAGGGAAGACCAGUGAAUUUUUUAAAAGUCUUAAGAGAGGCUUUUUAAAUUACUCCUAAGAAUAAAGGAAUGGAAUUGACUAUAAAGGCCAAAAUUGACGAGAACAAACUACUUUCUCAUAAAUUUUUUUUUUCAGAUUUUGUUGCUGAUGUGAGUGUUAGGUAAAUAAUAUAAUGCCAAGAAUAUGUCUAAUCCGUAAUAAUGAUGAUCAGAGUUGAAAUUAUCCAAACUUGUCCUUAAAAAAAUAAAAAAAGAAUUGACUACAAAUAAUUUUAAAUAAUUGACAAAUAUUUUGCAUUUUACAGUCUCAAUUUCUUUUUUUGUCACAAUGGAUACAUUUAUUUUUUAUUGUACUCUCUCCGUCCCAAUAUUACAAUCACUUUUUGGAAAUCCAACUUUUUAUAGAGACAUAAUAAUCAUUAUGUUUAGAUGAAAUGGUAUUUAAUGAAUUUACAUAUGUAUCCUUUUGAUUCAAAAUACUUCCUUGUUAAAUGUGCACUAAAAUUUUAAAGAGUUGUCUUUCAAAUGGCAAAAUUAGAAAGCAAGUAUCAAAUUUAAAAAUAAUGACUCUUAUUUGGGACAUCAAUAAAAUGAAAGCAUGACAUUAAUAAUGAGACGGAAGAAGUAUUUAUUUGUCUCAAAUCCUCUAUUGACUAGUAGUUCUCAUUACUUUGACAACUUGCGUUGAUUAAGAUAAAAUGAAAUUUAGAACUUUUGUCUGAGUAUCAAAUAUUAAUUACCUUUUAAAAUUCAUGCAUUUUAUAAAAGAGAUAAUUUUAGAAAUCUCCCCUGAGGUUUUUGACUAUUUCACUUAGCACUUUUGAAAUUUUAAAUAUUAUAUUUAUCUUCCUUGAUUUGACACUUUUGGUAAUCAAAACUUAGAAUAGGUUCAAAUUUUUAAUGAAUACCCUAAAAUGUCUUAUCUUGGAAAGUUUAAUUUAUUCUUCUAAAUAAUUGUAAAGUAAUUUGAUACAAUUACAAAGAAUGAGUGUCAAGUUUUUCAUGCUAAUAUUUAUUGUUUGGUAAUCAAUUAUGACAAUAAAUUUAUCACUAUAAUAAACUACUUUUUAUACUACUUUAUUGGGGAAAUAGAUUCUUUUUGAGAUAGAGAAUAAAAUGGCAUCUUAACUUUUUUAAAGUUUGUGGACUAUUUGAGUGGUGAAACUACCAUUGUUUGUUAGUGAUUUUGUUUCUAGGUUAUUAUUAAUUUAUUCUUGAUUUUGAUACAAAAAUAAAGAGCUACAAAAGGUUAGAUGAUAUUAAAAGCUAUCAAACAAAUGUUAUUAGUUUGACGUUUGAUCAGGAUAGAGUUAGGGACAACAUUGAUAGUUUUUUUAGUUUUUUCGAUAAACUAUAAGAGAAAUGAAUAAGAAGGAGAAAGGGAAAAAAUUAUAAAAUGCAUCCUUUGUAUAAGCAUAGCAAAUAAGGGAGUUUCAAUAGAAUGUUAAGUCUAGUAUUGUCAUUUUCAAUCAAUAAAGGAGGUAGGUAUAAUUUUAAAAGUUUGAGGAUACUAAGUGAAAUUAUUAAAAAACUUCAAAGGAGGUUUCUGAAAUUAUCUCCAUCUUAAAUCUCCAUCUUGGUUCUACUAUCCGCGGGCAACUACACCUACUCUCAAUCCGUCGGUAGACAUUCACGCGGCUGAGUACUGAAACACUUCUAAAAUACUUAAUAAAACAUUUUCAAUAAAAAAGAAAAAAAAACUCAAAAAAGAAUGGCCCAUCAAUGGCAACGGCAUCGCCGCAGUGUCUGGCUAUAUAUGUGUAUACGUGUGUAUUCUUUCUCCACAAUUCAUCACAGUUCAUAGGUAUAAUUGCAGAAACCUCCCUGAGGUUUCUAAUAAUUUUACUAGCCUCUCUUAAAGUUUUACAAAAUUACACAAACCUCGCCUAAGGUUAAAGUUUUUAUAAUAAAAUGAGUCCAAUUAUAACAAUUAACAUUAAAAAGUACUUUAAGGAGAGACAUGAAACUUUUAUUCCAUCAAUACCCCUUAUGCAUGUCAAAAGAGAUAAUUAUUCUGUUUUGUUAAAUCUUGUGAUUAUUAUUGUAGUUUUGUUACUUAUUUGUAUUGUUUAAUUUAUUAAAUAUGAACUUUUUGAGUGAUGAAAUGUGUGCAUUAAUUGUUUCUAAUUUUUAAUUAUUUUUAUUCUUUUACUAAUAUAAUAUAUAUAUAUACACACAUAAGGGAUAUUUAUGGACUAAAAAUUUUAUCUCUCUUCUUAAAGUAUUUUUUAAUGUUAUUUUUUCUAAUUGGACUAAUUUUUUUUAUCAAACCUUAAUUUUGGCGGAGGUUUGUGUAAUUUUAUAAACUUUAUAGGAGGCUAUUAAAAUUGUCAGAAAUUCCAGGGAAGUUUUCUAAAAUCAUCCCCAAUUCAUAAUAGGAGUUAACAUUGACAUUCAAGUUUGUGGUUGUAGUGGCAAAGGUAGAUGGCAGGUGUGGAUGGUACAGUUUUGUAAAUAUUUCGAAAAACCCUGGUCUACCAAACAAUUGUACAUAACCGAAUAAGCCAUCAACUCUGAAGGUCUCUCAAAUCUGUUAAGGAAAACAGCACGACAGGGCAAAUUAAGUGGAUUAAGAAUAAGAAAACAAGGACCAGCUAUUACUCACUUAUUUUUUGCUGAUGACACUCUAAUUUUCUGUAAAGCUGCGGGGGAAGAAGCAAGGACUUUGAAAGCAAUUUUGAAUCAGUAUAAGAAAGGAUCUAGUCAAGUUAUUAACUUGGAAAAAUCAUCUAUCUGUUUUAGCAAGAACACUAAGGCUAAAGACAAGAAGGAAACCUGUGAGCCUUUAGAGGGGGUUAGGACAGUGAGCCAAGGUAAAUAUUUGGGCCUUCCUAUGGUGAUCACAAGGACAAAAGGUCAGAUAUUUGGCUACAUUAAAGACAGCAUAAAGGCCAGGCUCAGCAGCUGGAAGAACAAGCUCCUAAGUGCAGUAGGGAAAGAGGUGAUGCUAAAAGCAGUGACAAUGGCCAUGCCAAUUUAUGCAAUGUCUUGUUUUACCAGUUACACUUUGCAAGGAAAUCACAGGACUGAUGGCCAAAUACUGGUGGGGUGAAGCAGAAGGGAGAAACAAAAUACAUUGGUGCUCAUGGGAUAAGAUGCUGAAGGCAAAAAUGGAUGGAGGUUUGGGGUUCAGGAAUUUAAUAUGCUUCAACAAGGCGCUACUGGGAAAGCAGAUUUGGAGGAUGCUCAGAUUUCCAAACCUGCUGGUUAGCAAAAUUCUAAAAGCCAAGUAUUUUCCUAAGGAUUCCAUUUUGAACUGUAAAAUCCCCAAAAACUCUUCCUGGUUCUGGCAAAGUAUAAUGUCAGCUAGAGAGGUAGUUAAGGGGGUUGUACUAAAGAGAGUCGGAUCAGGGAAGAGUAUUAGAAUUUGGAAAGACCAAUGGAUCCCAAACAAUCUGAAUGGAAGACCAACUACAAUGGGGCCAGACAAGGGGGAGGAGCAGAAAGUGGAGGAACUAAUUUCACACUUCAGAUGGAAUAGGAAUGAAGUCUACAGGAGGUUCAAUAGGGAGGAUGCGGAUAAUAUUUUGAAAAUUCCAAUCAGUUUGUCAAAUUCAGGGGACAAGCACUUUUGGAUACACAGCAGACAUGGGGAAUAUUCAGUUAAAUCUUGCUACCAGACUUUACUCAAGGAAGAGAAGAGGAUAGAAAGUGAUGCGAGAGGAGAGUCUGGUUCAAGCUAUGAUGAUUCCAACACAAAUUUGGAAGACUCUUUGGGAGCUGAACAUUAAGCAUAAGAUCAAGCUAUUCAUAUGGAGAUGCAUUACGAAUACAUUGACAGCUAGGGAAUCAAUAUUCAGGCGAACUAAGCAAGGAUCGCCAUUUUGCUCAAGAUGUGGGGAUGGCAUAGAAACAGUAGAACAUAUUCUCUUCCACUAUCAACAGGCUCAGAAGGUGUGGAAGCUUGCACCAGUACAAUGGGAUGGUUUACAGAAUCAAACAGGGUGCUUCAAGCAAUGGUGGACAGAAUUAGUCCAAGCCAGAAGUAGGAAUGGAGGAAGGCAGCAUAUUGCAUUGACAGCUAAUAUACUUUGGCAACUAUGGAAGGACAGAAAUGAAAUGGAAUUUGAAGGGAAAGAGAGAGAUGGAUGGAAAACUGUACAUAAAGCUAGUACAGAAUGGAUGGAGUAUGAGGAAGCCGGGAUGGGGAAAAAAGAGAGGAGUACAUCAGAAACAGAGGAAGCAAGAGAAAGAUCAAGGGAGGAAGGAAGAGAGGAGGAAGACCUGAUGGAACUUCAAAUUGCUACCAAGAAAUCAGCUGAGGGCAAGAAACUGGGAAUUGGUGUUGUAGCCAGGCAGACUGGAGGGAGAAUCAGAGCUGAAUGGAAAUUAGUUGAAAGAAGUUCGGAAAGGGAUAUUCAAGAUGAAGCAGUAAGACUGGCAAUGUUGAAAACAAGACAAUUGAGCUGGCAGAGAAUCAAAAUCAUCAAUGCUAACAAACAGCUUAUCGCUUUGCUUAAAUCUGGGAAAGGUGACAAUCCAAAUACUGCUACAUUGGUUGAAGACAUACAAGUUUUAGCUAAUCUGUUUCAAAUGUGCUCUUUUGAAGAAAGAACUAGUAGUAAUAUGACUCUAUGUAAUCAAAUUAGUCAUUAUGCUUUAAGCAUAUUUAGGGAUGAGGAGAGAUUUUUUGGCUCUUCUUAAGUGUCUUGGUACACUUAGUACAGUUGCUUGGGCCUUUGCUCAGAUAUUGUAAAGUUAGCUUUUUAUGAAAUGACAUCUAUCGUUCCCGUAAAAAAAAAAAAAAAAAGAAUAAGCCAUCAACUCUGCUCUUUUAUAUACCAGUAGCUUUUGGUCCCCGCGCUGGCAUGUAAGUUGUAUUCAAUAAUAUGAUUGAAUUUUGAAUUUUACGUGUAAUAAUUUUUAUGAGUCGGAGCUGUUUAGUUAAAUUUAUCAUUUUUUGUUACAUUAUUGCAUGAUUAAAAGUGUUAAUUGACUUGUUUAAUGAUACAGUGAUAGUUUGUAUUGUCCGCAUAUUAAAUCACGGUUCAAAAUUAGAAAUUUUCAUAUUAUCAUUUGGAAGUGUUUUAGUCAAAUUCGGGUUUUAAUAAUUCUAUUGAAGUUAAAUUAUGAUAGUUUUGUUGUUUAGAAAUUAAUAUCUUAUUAGAAAAUUUCUUAUGGUUGUAAGACUUGUUUAUCAAGUCAUCUAUAAAGAAUCAUAUUAUUGUGUUUAGUUGAAAAUAGUGAAAGAUUAAGAGUCUUGUUUUUAUGAUAUAAUUAAUAGAUUAUUGUUAGUAUUAUUUCUCUUCUCUUAUACAUAUUUUUAUGUGUGUAAAUUGCCUUCCCAUAUGCAUUGAUUUUAUGAAAUAUAUAUCUUAUAUAUUUUUUGGUGAAUUUUUUGGGUUCUACAUGUAUAUUGAUUGUGAAUAAUUUGUGGGUAAAAUGUGGGCGAAUUUCUAAGAAUAUUGAUAAAAUAAAAAAACUAUCAUAAAAUUGUGGGUUUUGAGGGUUUGUUCUGAUUUUAGGGUCGCCGCAUUUAAGGUAUGAGGCUACCAAUAAAAUUACAAUUAAUUUAUAUUUAUUUUUGGUUGCUUUAGUUUUCUAUAAUUUCUCCUCCAUUUUUUUUUCUCCCAAGCUUUCACCGCUCAUGCUCUGCUGACACCGACAUGGACAUGACAGGACGGACAUGACAGCUACAGCUAAUAUGUACAAAUUUCAUCAGUCUUCUUUCUAAUUUCUUGGCAGCAUUCAGUUUUUUUUUUUAAUUUUUAUUUUUUUCCGACGCCGCAAACUCUUGUUUCCGUCGGAAAAUAUUAUCGUUUUCCGCGAUCACAUUUCCCUAUUACCUUUUUCCCUCACAUAUAUUAAAUCGCUACAGUAAUUUUUGCAUGAAAAAUGACGGAAAAUGCAAUCCAAACACAACCUUGAUUUGCGGCAUCAAGUUUUUAAAAUUUUUUUUUCUUGACGCUGCAAAUCAAAUUUGUGGCGUCAUUGUUUUUUCUUGGCCAGUCACGUACCAUUGAUCAGAAUGUGAUUGACGGACGCAGAUUGCGGCCAAAAUGCUUUUUUAAAGUGAAAAAGCAAUUUUUGGUUGCUGCCAAAAUUAAUUUUUUUUAAACUGAAAAAGCAAUUUUUUUUAAGUAAAAUCGCAAACCCCGAUUGCGGCGAUAGUUUGCCACCGUCCAUCCCACUUAACCUACGGUAACUAACGGUUGUCAUUGCCACUCUUAUUAUUUUUUUAUAAAAAACGCUAACGGCCAUGCACUAAUUUUUUUUUUAAAACUAACGUCGCAAUUUGAAUUUUCGGCAUUAGUUUUUCCACCAUCGAUCCUUACAAAGUUUUUAGAUCUACAAAUCAAAGGUCAUGAUUUAAUCAAAAAAUAAUAAUUUGUACUCAAAGUAGCACUAAUCCAAUUAUUUGUUAUAUUGCCAACAAUAACGACUCAUGCCUCAUCUUCACGGAUAACCUCAACUUUUCUCUCUUCUCUAUAUACUCACUUGAGAAAACUCAACUCGCUCAUAACUUUUCUCUUUCUGGUGUGAUCCCCAUCUUCUUCAUAUUUCUCUUAGCUUUUCGACAGUAGCUGGUGGAUUAAGACGACUUGAAUCGAGAAAAGCAACAUUACGAUUUGAGUGGUGGAUCAGAAAGAAAUUUUUUAAAGAAACGAUAUUGUCGGUGAUAAGGUUAGUUUAUUUAAAAAUUUUAUUAAUAAUAAUUUUAUAAUAUUUACAGUUAUUUUAAGUUCUAGAUAUUAUGCUACUUUAUAUUUAUUUAAUUUAAUAGUCAGAUAUUUAUUUAUGGUUUGUUUUUAAGAUUAAAUGUGUAAUUUAUAUUUUAAAAUAUUAUUUGAUUUGUUUGAUUUUUAGAUUAUGUGACAGAUGUAUUUGUUUCUUGAUAAUUUACAUUUUUGAAGAUUAUUUGUUGACGGAUUUUAGAAUUAAUUUUAUAGAGGCAGUAGUCUUUCAAGCGAAUGAUGAAUAAAAGGUGAAUAAUGAAUACUCAUAAAUGGUGAAUGAUGCAAGAUAUGCUGUCAGUAGAUGAUAAUGGUGAAUGAUGCCAGUAAGUUGUAAUUCAUUAGAAGAUAAAAGGUGAAUGAUGAAUAAUAAUAAAUGGUGAAUGGUAAAUAGUAAAAAGUAAGUGGUAAAUGGUAAAUGAUAAAUGAUAAAUAGUGGUGAAUGGUAAAUAGUAAAUAGUAAAUAUUAUUUAAUUUAUAUAUUAAUUAUUACAUUCUAUAAAUAUUGUUCAAUGUUGCAUUAUUUAUUAUUAUUUAAAUUAACAUUAAUAUUAAAAAAUUUUAAAUUAUGACUUUGGCUAAUUUUAUUAGUAAUUUAAUAGCAUGCUUGAUUAUUAUCUAAAUUUAUAAAAUUAACAUUAUUCUAAUAUCAUAUAUUAAAUUUUUGACAAUUCUGGUUUAUAAUAGAAUUUUAGUAAUAUGAUUUAAGAAUUUUAAUUUUAAAAUUAGGUUAAAGGGUUACAUUGUGAUGGUUGGGAAAUUAGGGUUUCAUGUAAAACGUUAAACCCUAAAUCCUAAUUAAGCCUAAUUAAGGUUACAUUUUACGAAAAAAAAACUUCAUCGCGAUUACCUUUUAAUAAAUGUUACAUUUAUUAAAAAGGAAAAAAAGAAUAUAUCACUGCUUAUUCUCAAUGCAGAAGGGUGCUCUUUCUACGUUCAAAUUAUUAAAAAAUAAAUAAAAUACCCAAAUCCCAAAAAAAAAAAAAAAAUAAAGGAAGCGAAGGAAUUGAAUUCCAAAGGAAAACAUCAUCUUGGAUUCUUCUUUGCUAUCUGAUGAUAUGAGCACAAUACUUUAUCUACUCGCGAUCAAAUGUUCCAAUUCCUUGCGCUCAUGAAGCCUUCACAAAAAUUUUUAAAAAAAUACAAAACUAAAGAACUCAAAAUAAAUGAAAAUUAAAAAUAUUUUUAUUAGAAGUCUCACAUCUCAGAUGCGGCGAUCCCUUAUUCCGAAAAUCACCUCAAACAACACCAAUUUUUUGACAAUUUUCACUUUUGACGAUAUUCCAAGAAAUUUGCCGUAAAAUGUGGGUUUGAUUUGUGAGAAAAAUAAUAAUUUUAUUGUAGAUAGAGGUAGAUGUCUAAUUAAACAUGUGCACAAUUAUAAAUUUGUGCUGAUGAUAGUAUUAUAAUAUUAUUAUAGAUAAAUAUGAUUUCUGAUUUCUGAUUCUAAUAAGGGCAUCCACAACGCAGGUGUAAUAGCUCCCUAUUACACCACUCCAUGACACGAUCUCCCAUUGGAGCUGUGUCAUGGAGAUUACACGCAUCAUGAAUAUGAUGCGUGUAAUCCAUGAUGCUGUGGGACCUAUAAUUAUUUUUAAAUGAUUUAAAAUUAGUAUUCAUUUUGUUAUUAUUUGUAUUUUAUUUGAUUUAAAUUAUGUAAUAUUAUGUUAUGGAGUUCAACUAAUUACAUUUGUAUUUUAUUAAUUAAGUAUGGAUUAUUAUGAUAUAUUCGCAUUUGAGGUAUCAAAUAUUUGUUUAAUUUUUUGCAUAAUUAUUUUUGAAAAAAUAACAAUAUAUUAUUUUUGAGAGAUAGAAAAAGAUAUAUUAUUCAAACUUAAAAAUUAAUAAUAUCAUUUUUAGAAAAUAAAAAAUUUAAUGAAAGUUAGUACUUUAUUUUUAAAAAUAACAAAAUUAUUUUUAAAAAUUAUUUUAUUUAUUUAUGGGAUAUGAGUUAUGCAUUAUUAAAAUAAAUAUUUGAUUUAAUUGUGGACCCAUGCUAUUACACCUUGUGGAGUGUAAUCUAUUUUGAGUGAAAGUGUAACAAAAGAGGAGAAAGUGUAAUGCUGACGUAGCAUGUAGAUUAAAAAAGUGUAAUAGCAUUAUGGAUGCACUAACAGAAGAGAUAAAAAAGGAGGGAAAAAACUAUAGCCAACAACCUAUUGUAGGCCAUGCUUGUAGCAAAACUCGUGGCUGUAGCCAAAUACCUCAUGAAGUCAUCAGAAUUACCAUUGAAACUGGCCCGUGGCUGCACUGUAGCAAAACCCCCUUCUCCCUUUUAUACAUUGUAGAUGUCAUGGUUUCAAAAUCGACAAUUCUAGAGAACCGAACAAGCCACCGUUCCCACCAACUCCACUAUUUUAUUUUAUUUUUCAUAGUUUCAAAACUCAAAGCUUCGUAUUAACCAAUGGCUCUGCUUCUGGUCCUCCUCCCAGUUGCCUUCAUCUUCCUAGCCUACAGCCUCUAUGAACGCCUUAGAUUCAAACUGCCACCCGGGCCACGGCCAAAACCGGUGGUCGGAAACAUUUACGACAUAAAACCGGUGAGGUUCAAGUGCUAUGCAGAGUGGUCAAAACUCUAUGGUCCAAUAUUUUCUGUCUACUUUGGUUCCCAGCUGAAUACUGUUGUGAAUACUGCAGAACUGGCCAAAGAAGUUCUUAAAGACAAUGAUCAACAAUUGGCAGAUAGGUACAGGAAUAGACCCUCUGCCAAAAUGAGCAGAAAUGGCCAAGAUUUGAUAUGGGCUGAUUAUGGUCCUCAUUAUGUGAAGGUCAGAAAACUGUGCAAUCUUGAACUCUUCACUCCAAAAAGACUGGAAGGCCUUAGACCUUUAAGAGAAGAUGAAGUUACAGCCAUGGUUGAUUCCAUCUUCAAGGACUGCACCAAACCUGGUAUUGUUUUCUUAAUUUUCCACAAAAAAAAAAAACAUUUUUGUUUUCAGUACUCCAAAUUCUUGGAUUGUUUUUCAUUGGUUUCUUCAUCUGUUUGGUUUAGAUCUUGAACACGACUAUCUCAUUCAUUUAGUGUUUGCUUGCUUACCAUUCAUAUGGUAGGUGAUUUGGACCAUUCAGUCAUAGAUUGUCUUCACAAUACCAAAAUGCAACCGACAAUAAGAAAAGCUCCUAUACAUUUUUGCAAUAUAUGAUUCUAAUUUAAGCUAACUAAAUUAUUUGCUUAGUUUUCAUAACACUCUAAGAUUGUAAUUUAUUGGUAAAGAAAAUUGUAAACGGGUAUGAAUACUGAAAACAAAACCAAUGACAAAAUACAUCAAUGUGGAGGAAAAUAGCCCUCUUAGAUUCACAAAGUUGAAUACUUUGAGCUGACUACAAUUAAUUUUGAAGAAAUAUUGGGGAACAAUUUUCAAUUGGUACAUAUCUCAAAAGUGCAUAUUUCAACCAUCAAUAAUAAAUACUCCUAUUCUUUUUUUUUUCCUUUUUUGUUUGCCUGCCACAUUUAGUGGUGGGAGGCAGGGUUUGUACUUGAUCUCCCACCGCCACUGUGCUAGCUCAGUGGAGCUCAGCGGUUAAAUACUCCUGUUCGUAAGUACAUAUUUCAACAAAUAUCAAUAAUAAAUUCUCCUGUUUAGCCACCCCACUGGUCAGUCCAUCCAUGUUCUCUUUAUGGCAAAUUUGUGCUAAUUUUGUCGGUUCGCCAUCAAAGGUGAGGGAAUUAAGGUACUUACAGCCCUCCAGUCUCCUCACAUUUAUGAUGCCCGUGAUUUUUUUUUUUUUUUUUGUCGAAACGAUAGAUGUCCUAUAAACUAAUCUAGCCUAGUCUAAGGGGAAGGGGAGGGGGUUCGAUGUGAGUACAAAUUCCAUCGAUGAAGGUCAAUUAACACCGCCACAAAUUGUGACAAAUUUGUGGGAGGCAGGAAUUGAACCCCUAACCUCCAGCAUUACCUUUAAUGGUGAUGACCACUGGACCAAAUGGCCAGUGACAUGAUGCCCGUGAUUAAUUUCUUUUUCUUUUUUUAAAAAAAAGCAAAAGUAAUUUAUUAUACUAACCCUUUGAAUUGGAAGAAUAGGUUACAAUUCACCCCUAAAUGUUUGGGAUUGGUGCACAAGCCCCUUAGAUUAGAAAUAAAAGAAUGAUAUACCUUUUGGAAAAAUUAUCCCAGUCUUUUUAGACUCUUUUUUCUUGUAGUUUUUAACUAGUAAUUUUCUUCUUUUACAGUGCCUUUUCUUUUGCUACACUAGCUGUUUUUAAGGUGUUUGAAUUAGCUAUUUUUGAGUCUGUUUGGAUUAGCUAUUUUAGAGUAAUGCUUUAAAAUCUUUUAUCUUAUUGGAUUUUGAUGUUUCACCACUUGAUGUACAUCUUAUGCAAAAUAAAAAAUUUAAUCAACUUAAGUUUGUUGGACAAAAAAUUAAUGAAAAAAAUUAGAAAAAGAAAAGAGCCUUACAUUUAAAUUCAACAAACACUACAUGCUUUUAUUAUUAAAAAAAAAAUACCUGAAAAACAACAUUCUAGAAUUAUGUAACUGUUCUAAUGCUGAACAUUACAAAAGUCAUGCUCAUGUAAAUGGAAUAAUCACUUCUGCUAUACUGGAAUAAUCAUUUAAAUUCUUUUAUUUUAUUGAAUUUUAAUUGUUCACUACUUGAUGUAAAUUUUCUAAACAGUAAAAAUAAUACACAUGAGACACAUUUUUCUACAAUUGUAUGGCUGUUCUACUCCCGAACAUUACCAAAAGUCAUGGCCAUCGAAACGGAAUAAUCGUGACACACCUUUAAGUGUCCAAGAAAAAGCAGGUGAGGUAACUUUCUUCGACAAGUUGAUUGAAGGAGGAGAAACAAACGACAAUUGGGGUGGCAGAAACUGGACAGUCUACUUAUUUCUUUGGAUGAGAAAAAGUUGAUGGACCAAUUUGGGCAGGUAUUGUGUGGGAAAAGAACCAAAGUCGUAGUCACUGGGAAAUUCAAGUUGGAAAUCAAGUUUAAAGUGAGAAAAACGUUUUACAUUUUGUUUCGGGAAAUCAGUGCUGCAAAUCUUCUAAGGAUGCCUUAGAUCAAAUUGAAAUACGAUAUUUGAAAUCUUAAUUUGUUAAAUUACUGAAUUAGAUACUGAAAUCCUAAUAUUUGAAUAUAUUUUACAUUAAGUGAUAAGUGGAUAGUUUUUCGUUUAUUUUUGGAAAUAAGUUUUGCUUUAGGCAAUUUGGAGCCAUUUAAUUAAUUUAGAUAUUUUAUAUCUUUUUAUCAAACAUAUUUGUACAUACUAAGGUCUGAACUUAUUAAAUUUAAAUAUUAAAUUGAAUUAUCAAACAGGGCAAUCUAAAGUCUAGAGUUAAGUAUAGUUGCUAGUUUGAAAUCGUUUUAAAUAGCUCUAAGUAUCCUUAACUUUGAUUGAACUUUUAGAACAUAUAUGGAAAAUUAUUUGAGUAUAUGGAGACAGUUUUUUUAAAUGAUUUGAUAACUGGAAUUAUACCUGACAAUUGGGCGGGUUGGGCGGUUUUUGGGCGGAUUGAUAUUGGGUUUUCAUUUAAAUGGGUGACACCCAAUCCGCCCAACUUUAGAUUGGGUUAAUUUUGGGUUGGGUCAUCUCAAACUCAUGACCCAAAUAUGACCCAAUAUAUUAAUUAAUAGAUUUUGAUACAUAAACUCUCUCAAAUACAUUUUCACAUACAAAAAAAAAUUUUCACACACAUAAACACAUUUUCACAUAGAUAGAUAUAUUUUUACACACUAAAAUACUCAUAGACACCAACACUCACUUCUUAAACUCUUUUGAAAUACGUUAUUUUUACAUAUACAAAUUACAAUACACACCAAUAUACUUUCACAAAUACACACACAUACUAACUAUUUAAACUACUUGGGUGAACUCAUUAUUUUUUAUACAAGUAAGGAUUUUCAAAUUGGGUAUAGUUUUGAUCCAAACUAAGAGAUCGAAGCAACAAUUUUGGGUGGAACAAAACUAAGAGAUCUCGAUGAAGUGAUCAAUAAAUAGGGGGGAGGGGGGCUUGUCUUUUCAUUUUGAAUGAAAAAAAGAAAAGAAAUAGAAGAACAGUAGGAUGCAUUUUUCCGGAACUUGGCAAAAGGAUGGAUGUGAAGAGCGAAGAGUACAAGGAUUUUCUUUUUUCUUUUCUUUUUUUUUUUUUAAAAAAUCCUACUGACAUUUGUGCUGCACCGUUCAUUUCUCAAAUUUUGUUCUUUUUAAGCAUUACUCGUUGAUCAUCCUUCUCAAUGUGUAGAAGUAGUAUAUAUAUGAUAAUUAUACAUACCAGUACAUAUAUGGGUUUUGCUUGAUCCAACAAGGCUGGUCAUUUUUUUUUGUUUCUUGAUUUUAAUUUGUUAAUUUAUUUUUUUAACUUAAUUUGGGUAAUGGAUGCCCAACACAAAUACCCAAACCACCCAAAAUAUAUAUGGGUUUUUAUUACCCAACUCAAAAUUAACCCAAAAUCCAACUUACCCAAUCCAACCUCUCAAAUUAGUGGGUGGGUUGGGUGAGUUGUUGGGUUUUGGGUAUAAUUACCAGCUCUAACGGGAAUAUGUCAAUUUAUUUGGAACUGCAUUAAUCUUUUACACCAAACAUCUUUUAUACUGCCCGAAGGUUUUUAUUAACGUAAACUUUUCUUUUCCUUUCAAAAUUCCAAGUGGGCAAAUACUGAAAGUCUGACCACGCCAAUAGUUUCAAAUAUAAGGCUGUAAAGUUCAAAGAAUUAACUUCACUUGGUCAUAUCUAUGUCCCUUUCGGUCUGAAAUUAACCUGUGGGUGGGAAGAAGAUAAUGAUUAGUCAACUGGCAAUUCCCUACACAUUUUCUCAAAUGCUCAGUUAUAGCCUAAAUUGUAAAAAUUCUUAGUUGACUUAGAACAAAAAAAUUGAAAUAAAAAAGGGGCUAAACCUACGUCUCUCCGUACGAAAUUCACACCUUGUGCAAAUUAACGUAUUAAUGAUACAAGUUAUCUAAAUAAUAAAAAUAUAGUUUCAGAAUGGAUGGUUGUAGAUUUAGUUCUCCAUUGGAUAACUAAUGGGAACUCUUUUUAAUGUCCACUUAAUUUAGUCACAAAUUUUAUUAAAGUUAGGAUGAAAGUGUUGAAUAGGCUAAAGUGGAACAACGGGCUCAGAUCCGCAUUGCUGAAUUUUGUCUAAAUUUUUUUUUUUUUUUUAACACUUGAACAUGCAGAAAACAAAGGCAAGAGUCUGUUGAUGCGCAACUACUUGGGAUCAGUAGCAUUCAACAACAUUACAAGGCUAACAUUUGGGAAGAGGUUCAUGAAUUCAGAGGGUGUGGUUGAUGAACAAGGCCUAGAGUUGAAGGGCAUUGUAUCAAAUGGGAUAAAGAUUAGUGCAAAACUCUCCGUGGCACAUCACAUUCCUUGGCUUAGUUGGAUGUUUGUAGGCGAAAAUGAGGACCUGGAUAAGCACUAUGCGCGGAGAGACAAACUGACCAGAAUGAUCAUGGAAGAGCACACUCUUGCAAGGCAAAAGAGUGGCAAUACUAAGCAGCAUUUUGUUGAUGCAUUGCUCACUCUUCAAAAGCAAUAUGAAUUGAGCGAUGACACUGUCAUUGGACUCCUUUGGGUAAGUAGUGGUCUAUUUUCACUUUGCUAGCUCCAAGGAAAGAAAGGUAGAAGCAUAAGAAAGAUAGCAACUCCAUCUAUUGCAAAAUAGGAUUUAAUGUUGUCCAAAUUAUGCAGGACAUGAUUACUGCUGGCAUGGAUACAACCACAAUCUCAGUAGAAUGGGCAAUGGCAGAGCUGGUAAAGAAUCCAAGGGUGCAGCAAAAGGCGCAAGAGGAACUUGACCGAGUCAUUGGCUCCGAUAGAAUCAUGACUGAAGCUGAUUUUGCAAAGCUCCCAUACUUACAAUGUGUAGCUAAGGAAGCUCUAAGGCUGCACCCUCCAACUCCACUGAUGCUUCCUCAUAGAGCCAAUGCCAAUGUGAAGAUCGGGGGUUAUGACAUCCCUAAAGGGUCUAUUGUGCACGUUAACGUCUGGGCGAUUGCUCGUGAUCCUGCAGCCUGGAAAAAUCCACUGGAAUUCCGACCUGAGAGAUUCCUGGAGGAAGAUGUUGACAUCAAGGGCCACGAUUAUCGGCUCCUGCCUUUUGGUGCUGGAAGGAGGGUCUGCCCUGGUGCACAACUUGCACUCAAUCUGGUCACUUCUAUGCUGGGGCACUUGUUGCACCACUUUACUUGGUCUCCACCACCUGGGGUCAGGCCUGAAGAGAUUGACCUGGAAGAGACCCCUGGAGCAGUUACUUAUAUGAGAACCCCUUUGCAAGCUGUUGCAACACCAAGAUUGCCUGCACAUUUGUACCAUCGUGUGCCAGUAGAGAUGUAAUGCUUCCUUUCUCUUGUUACUAAAUUUUCAGCUUGCAAGAGUUGCUUCACUUCCAACUCUCCAUUUGAUUGUGAAGAACUUGUUGGAUUCUACGAGGUAUUUGUGGAAAGCUAUUAUUUUUCUAGAAAAAAUAAAGUAAGGGUUCUCUAUGGUCUAAAGAGAUUUUCUUUUAUUGUCAAACUUUACCACAAUUUAGUUUGAUCUCAAACUUUUUGAGUGUAGUAAGUUGAUCUUGAAAUAUAUAUCAGCAUUUGCUAUGGACAUCAUCAUGCCCAAACUCACACAGGCAGUGACUUUUACCCCAUUUAACAGCAAAACAAACUUGGCAAAACAGUUUAAAUUGUUGGAUGUUAGUGAAAAUUGUGAUGUGACGAUAACCUUUUCCCACAAAGAAUUCUUGCCAAUAUGUUGCUUUAAGGAAAGUAAAAUUACUCCUCCUCAGGAAGUCGGUUAACUUUUGAAGGCUAUAGACAAUGGAAUUUUAAUUAAUUCUUAAAAUUACCAUUGGUCUAUAAAUUAUUUUUGUGGCUUAUUUCUAUCCAAUUGGAUAUUGUCACAUGUCAUGUACAUUUGAAAAAAUUGAUUAUUAAAUGGCCAAUUGUAUUUUGCCACGUGUCAAAUUGAGGUGUUCCAAUUAAUUGAAAUUAUUGGGAUGUCUCUACCAAUCAAAUCAUAUCAUGUCACAUGUCUAUUGGAUAGAUAUCUAAAUAUUUAUUUCUUAUUAAAGAGAUAAUAUUUAAAGUUGUUUAAUUUGUAUGUGUUUCUUAUAUACUCAAAUAGCUUGUCCAACCAAAUAGCGCCACGUUACGUGUCCCUAUAAGUUUGGCUAAUCAAGGAAUUAUUUGUUAGUAUUUCUCUUUAUUAGUAAAUAUAAAAUGAAGAGAUAAUAUUUAAAUUGGCACAGUUCUAAUAUGAUUGCGUGUCUUGCAAGACAACUAGAAUAGUAUAUAUGUUUUUAACCUCUACCUCUUCCUACGGUUAUAAAUAGAAAUCUUUCUACCAAGUCAAGGACACACAUCAAGAGGCAUCUCAUACGCUCAAGUAUUGAAACUCCAAACUACGAAGGUCUAGGUCUUCAAGCUCCUCAAGUCUUCCACAUAUCAAGGCUUGAGCCUUCAAAUAUUUUCAAUUUCUUCAAAUCUUCCAUAUCAAAAUUUGAAGGAAUCGGUGGUUGAUCCAAGAACAAGUUGCGAAACUCUUGGAUUGGCGUUCAAGGAGAAGAAUCGAAGGAAUCUCUCUAUAAGUACGAGAAAAUUCCAAAAAUUGUACCCACAUAUUUUUCUAAAUUUAUAUAUUACAUAUUUGUCAUGUAUUUCUUUUUUCUUGUCGUUUUGCAGACUUAAAAUUUUAAUCGCGUACAAAUUUUUAACACGCCCAAUGGGACUAUCUCUGCUUUCCAUCUCUUCUUUUCGAAUAUUCAACUAUAUAUAUCAUCAAUGGCACCAAAGAGCAACAAGACCAUGAUUGCACGUUCCAAAGCUACUGACGCAAACCUGUUCAAGAAGAUGCACAUGUUGCCACUAAUACCCGCGCUAUUGGUCCUGUGACAAGGAGUAUGACAAGAACUUCCACCCAAAGUAUCAUGGAAGCUCCAUCGACGUCAACUCCCGUCUUUGGUUCAACAUCACCAAUGAGCUAUUCUUCCACAGUAGGGAUCAAAGAUGUUCCUGCCUCGAUUGAGAAGGCUCUUGUUAUGCUCGAGUUCGGAUCCGGAUCCAAAUUUUCUAAGCAUGAUGAUGAUUCAUCAAACACUGGAUCAGCAUCUUCACAUGAAACUCUUUAAUCAAGAUUUUCUAUUGAAAAUUCUACUGCUUCUUCUGCUGCAAUGCUUGCUAUGAUGACAAACACUUUAAAUCUCGAAGAACAAGUUUCAAACAUGUCCAAGAUGAUGGGAACAAUGAUGAAACACAUCAAGGACCAAAAUGCUCUUAUCGCUCAACUGCUUAUCCAGAAAGAUCACGCUCCUGAAGAAAGUCGUAUGAACCCUAAGGAGUACCAAGAGUGUGAAAUUCCCUCAUCUAAAGGCAAGGACAAUGUGAAGAAAGUAUAUGUGACCGUCGAGAGAACUAUCUCCGUAGAACAACUGAAUGAACUUGUAGAAGACGUGAUUAAAGACAAAAAGGAGGGUAGCUCAAAGUCAAGUUUUACCUACUCCAAACCUUACACUGUUAGAAUUGAUAGCCUAACAAUGCUUGCUGGAUAUCAACCGUCUAAAUUUCAACAGUUCGAUGGAAAAGGUAGUCCAAAACAACAUGUGGCCCAUUUCAUCGAGACCUGCAAUAAUGCUGGAACCUAUGGUGACCUGUUAGUCAAAUAGUUGUUCAGUCCUUGAAGGGCAAUGCAUUUGAUUGGUAUACUGAUUUCACACCGGGGUUCAUCGACAGUUGGAAACAGUUGGAGCAAGAGUUCUUGAAUCGCUUCUAUAGUACUAAAAAAAUCAUUAGUAUAUUGGAAUUGACUAAUACUCGCCAAUGGAAGGAUGAACUUGUGGUCAACUACAUCGAUAGGUGGAGAAGUCUGAGUCUUAACUGCAAAGAUAGACUAUCUGAACCCUCUGCCAUAGAAAUGUGCAUCCGAGAAAUGCAUUAGAGUUUGAGUUACAUUCUACAAGGUAUACGCUCAAACACAUUUGAAGAAUUAACUACUCGUGCUCAUGAUAUAGAUUAAGUAUCACGGCUAAUGCAACUGAUGGGGUUCCUAUUCAAGUUCCGCGAGUGCAGCCGCCUUGUCAAAGCAAUGAAAAACAAGAAAAUAAAAAAGGGGGCAAACUUCCUUCAAAACUCAGUAACAAAGAGUCAAUGGCAAUAAACACGGCUCUCAUGAAGAUUGCUACCAAGGUGAGCCGAAAGGUCACCGAAAAGUUAGACUCUUCCCAAAAUAAGGCGAUAAGAAAACCCACUCUAAAAGAGAUGUAGGAAAAGGAAUACCCCUUCCUUGAAUCUGAUUUACAAGGGAUGUUUGAUGAUCUUUUCAAAGAAAAACUCCUUUUACUUUUCGACAUGAAGUGUCCAGAGGAAGCCAGUCAAGUUAAUGAUCCAAAUUAUUGUUGUUAUCAUCGCUUGAUUGGCCACCCUCUCACUAAAUAUUUUGUCUUUAAAGACAAAAUUAUAGAAUUAGCCUGUCAAGGAAAAAUCCUUCUCGAGGAGGAUAAAAUAUCGGCAAAUCAAACAACAAUAAUGUUUGGAUCUGUGUGUUGUCCUAUAGAAGUUCUAUCCACAUCAAACAGUGCUUUGUCUGUCAAAAAGGAGUUUGAAAAAUCUUCAAUUGAAAAUGUUAUUGAAGAUGACAAUGAAGGAUGGACUUUAGUCACUCAAAACGGGACUUACAAACCAAAGAUAAAACAGUAUAUCUUUUCAAAAAGCAUUCGUUCGACAAAAGUUAAAGUGACAAAGAAACAACAAAGUGCAAAUAAGAAACAAAAGGGAGUGGCCACGACACCAAUUCUUUCAAAUCUUCAGCUCCUUCAAGAGGUUCGACAACUUGUGACACUGAGAGAAUUUAUGCCCAAGGGGUAUUUAAGUGACUAUGAUGAUAAUUCUAUUUUUUGUAAUGUCGUCAAAGCUGAAAAUCCUCAAGUCGCACAAAUUAGCACUGAAUUUGAGAAAAAUUUGAAAAUCGAUGAUAAAUCAUCGGUGGAUUGUGCAACGACUAUCAUGUUUGAUGAUGAUGAUUUAACAAUUGAUUUCAAAACCCACAAUCGACCUUUGUUUGUUAGUGCAUAUGUCCGAGAACAGAAAAUGAAUCAGAUACUCAUUGAUGGGGGAUCUGCUGUCAAUAUCAUGUUCGUACAUGCUAUGAAAGAAUUGAAAAUCUCAAACGAUGAGUUCUCCCAGAAUCGCCUCAUGAUCCAAGAAUUUAACCAAGGGGGGCAAAGAGCAAUUGGCCUUAUAAGUCUUGAAUUGCUCAUUGAUGAGUUGUCUUCAAGUGCGCUAUUUCAUAUUAUUGACGGCAAAAUCUCUUAUAACAUGCUCUUGGGAAGACCUUAAAUUCAUGAGAAUGAAAUUAUACCGUCUACUCUUCAUCAAUGUUUCAAAUAUUGUCGAAAUGAUAUAGUUAAGAAAGUUACUGCUAAUGAUAAACCUUUCACUGAGACCGAAACUCAUUUUACCGACACCAAAUUUUAUCUUCAAAAAGAAGCAAAAAGAAAAGAAUCAGUAAGCGAAAAAAUUCAAGAUUUCAAAGUACCCAUUUUGCGUUAUAUUUCAAAAUCAAAGAGAGAAGAAGGUCGGUCUUCUUUUAUCAGAAAUGGCGUAUUAAAUGUUCCGCUCACCAAAAUAGAGCUUGUUAAAAGUGAGAAAGUGAACUUGCAUGGACUUGUUCAUCCCAAAGAAGAAUCUGCAGUGGAACAUUACUCACUACUAACUAAUCGGAUUUAAGAAAAUUUUGAUCUAAAUGCAUAUAGACUUUGGUUAAGGCGGGUUAUAACCCAAAUGAGAAGAAUGCAUUUAGCAAACUCCAUCCUGAAGUGACUGGCGGGAAGACUCAAGGGUUGACACCUACGGAAAAAAUGUUAAAAGAAAGAGACUAUAAUGUUGAAAGUUCAUCGAUGAGUCUUGGUUAUCAUCUGCCUUCUCCUGUUCGUAUAAUGAUCAAAAGGGCAAGUUGUAACUAUUUGAACGAAGAAAUGGAGGUCACAAUUCGAAAAAGAUCUGUUUUCGAUAGAUUGAGAAAUAAGUCAAAGCGUACUUUUGUAUUUGAUAGACUUGACCCGCAACUGAAGAGUUUGAAACCGCUCGUCUAUAAGAGAUUAAGCAGUAAAAAACAAGAGUACUAAGUUGUCAAAAAAGAAAAUCUUACUCCAAUAAAGAAGAAUGGUCCGAAAAAAUGAGUUUUCAAUUUCUUUAUACAUUAUGGAAACUUUUUUAACGUAAGGAUCGAAACCAUCUUUGAAGAACAGGAUCAAGAAAAUAUUGCUUCUUGCCAUCAUAUGACGAUCAGUGAUCCUGAAAAAGAAGAAAAAGAUAUGGAUGACGCUCCUUUUGAAUUUAAAUAAGGAGUAAAAAAUACAGUUGAUAUAUUAAAAGAGAUUAGUCUUGGCACAAGUGACGACCCUAGUCCAAUUUACAUAAGUUCUUGUAUGACUUCUGAAGAAGAGAAAGAGUAUGUUGAUUUGCUGCUCGAAUUCAAAGAUGUCUUUGCCUGAAAUUACUUAGAAAUGCCUGAUUUGGAUCCAAGGAUUGCUGUUCAUAAUUUAUCUGUCAAGCGAGAAACAAAACCUGUCAAGCAAACUCAAAAACGCUUUCGACCCGAAUUGAUUCCUUUGAUAGAAAAUAAGAUAAAUAAAUUGAUUGAAACUGGAUUCAUACGAGAAGUGAAAUAUGCAACAUGGAUUUCAAGCAUCGUCCCUGUGAGGAAGAAGAAUGAGCAGAUCCGAAUUUGUGUUGAUUUUCGAGACUUAAAUGAGGCUUGCCCCAAAGAUAAUUUUCCACUCCCUAUCACAGAAUUAAUAGUAGAUGUUACAACAGGACAUUAAGCACUAUCUUUUCUCGAUAGAUUGUUUGAUUACAAUCAAAUACGCAUGGUACCCAAAGACGAGGAGUUCACUGCCUUUCGCACUCCCAAGAAAAUUUAUUUUAUAAAGUGAUGCCGUUUGGCUUGAAAAAUGCUGAAGCGAUAUAUCAAUGCGCAAUACAAAGAAUUUUUGAUGAUAUGCUUCAUAAAAAUCUGGAGUGCUACGUUGAUGAUCUUGUAGUGAAAUUAAAAAGGCGAUAAAAUUAUAUUCAAACUUUUGAAAAGUUUUUCAACGCCUUCGGAGAUACCAAUUGAAGAUGAAUCCUUCGAAAUGCGCAUUCGGAGUCACUUCCGACAAGUUUCUUGAUUUUAUCGUUCAUCAACAGGGGAUAGAGGUUGAUCGAUCUAAAAUUGAUACCAUUGUGAACAUGCCUGAACCGCGAAAUAUCCAUGAAUUGAAGAGCCUUCAAGGAAAGUUGAUUUACAUCCGGAGAUUUAUCUCUAAUUUGGCCGGACGGUGCCAAUCCUUUAGUCGACUGAUGAAAAAGGGAGUACCCUUCGAGUAGGAUGAAGCGUGUAGAAAUACUUUUACAAGCAUUAAAACGUACCUCAUGAAUCCCCAUGUGUUAGCUGCACCAAUUCCAGGAAAAUCGUUGAUCCUCUAUAUUUUCUCUCAAGAACGGUCGGUUGGAGUUUUACUUGCUCAAGAAAAUGAUGACGGUAAGGAGAAUAUAUUGUAUUACUUGAGUCGGAUGAUGACAUCUAAUGAGUUGAAUUACUCACCCAUCGAGAAGUUGUGUUUGGCACUUAUAUUUGCCAUUCAGAAGUUGAAGCAUUAUUUUCAAAUACACACUGUUCGACUCAUAUCCAAAUCUAAUCCCAUUAAAUAUGUCAUGACAAAACCUGUACUGUCUGACCGACUUGCGAGAUGGUACCUUCAGUUUUAAUAAUUCAAAAUUAUUUAUGUACCUGCGAAGGCUGUCAAAGGGCAAGUAUUAGUAAACUUUCUAGCCGAUCAUCCCAUGCUUGCCGAGUGGGAGUUGACUGAUGAAAUUCUCGAUGAAGAAGUGUUUAUGGUCGAAUCUCUGUGGUCGAUUUAUUUCGAUGGAGCUGCUCACAGUGAUGGAACUAGUGCGGGAGUUGUCUUUUAUACUCCUGAAACAGAUAUAUUACCAUACUCUUUCACUUUAACACGCCGGUGUUCAAACAAUGUGGCCGAAUUUCAGGCCUUAAUUCUCGAUUUUGAAAUGGCUGUAGACAUGAAGCAUUGCAUCUCAGAGUUUAUGGCGAUUCAAAAUUCGUGAUAAAUCAACUUCUUGAUAUUUAUGAUGUCAAGAAACCUGAAUUGAUCUCAUAUUAUAAGUAUGUAAGACAACUCAUGAGAUAUUUAGACAAUACCACUAUAGAACAUAUCUCUAGAAGAUUCAACUAACAAGCUGACUCCUUGGCAAGGUUGGCGUCUAUGAUCACUUUACCUUCUCAUCGAAAUCAAAUUUCAAUAUGUUAAAAUUGGGUCAUACCUCCGAUGUUCGAUGAAGAAGUUAAUGAUGAGGGAGAAAAUACCUAUCAUAUUUUUGUCCAUGAGAUUAAAAAGGAGGAUUGGCAUCAUCUCAUCAUUGAUUACCUUAAUCACGAAAAGUUACCAGAAGAUCCAAGAAAAGGGUCGAUAUACGUCGUCGCGCGCCACGUUUCAUUUACUACAAAGGGACGUUUUACCGAAAAUCAUUUGAUGAAGUGUUUUUAUGAUAUCUUGGAGAAAAUGAGAUCAUGCACGCAAUGGAGAAGGGUCACUCUGGAAUAUGUGAUGCUCAUUAAUUUGGUCAGAAAUUAUACUUUCGCAUUAAGAGAAUGAGAUACUACUGGCCAACGAUGGUGAAGGACUGCAUCGACUUUGCUAGAAGAUGUCAAGUUUGUCAAUUUCAUGGCAAUUUCAUCCAUCAACCUCCUGAACUAUUGCACCAAACUGUGGCUUCUUGCCCUUUCGAUUUUGGGGUUUGGAUAUAGUUGGACCGCUUCCAAAAUCUUCUAGCGGACACAUUUUUAUUUUGGCGGCGACAGAUUACUUCUCAAAGUGGGAUGAAGUAGUUCCUCUAAGAGAGGUAAAAAAGAAGAAUGUAGUAGAUUUCAUUCAUUUGUACAUUGUUUAUCGGUAUGGAGUCCCACGUUAUAUCAUCACCGAUAAUGGUAAACCUUUUUACAAUAUAGUAAUGAAUAAAUUUUGCGAAAAGUUUCGUUUUAAACAAUACAACUCUUCCAUAUACUAUGCUGCUGUAAAUGGACUCGUUGAAGCAUUCAACAUGACAUUAUGUAAUCUGUUAAAGAAAAUCGUGGAUAAAUCGAAAAGAGAUUGACAUCUUCGAAUUGGAGAAGGGUAUUUAGGUAUACAGAACUACUUUUUGAACUCCCACGCAAGCAACCCCAUGCUCGCUUGUUUACGGUGUUGAAACUAUUUUUUUACUUGAGUGUCAAAUACCUUCACUAAAAAUUGUGAUUCAAGAAGGGAUCUGUGAAGAAAAUAAUGUUCGUCUUGGUCUUGAGGAGUUAGAAGCACUCGACGAAAAGAGAUUGGAAGCUCAACAACGGAUUGAGUACUUUCAAGCGCGCCUUUCAAAAGCAUUCAAUAAGCACGUUCGACCUCACUCUUUCCAAAUUCGAGAGUUAAUACUCACUGUUCGGAGACCGAUCAUUCUCACUCAUGGUGGGCAAAGGAAGUUUGCUCUUAAGUGAGAUGGUCCAUAUGUUCGAGAAGUAUAUACAAAUGAUUCCUACAAGUUGGUUGCUGAGCACGGAUUAAAGGUUGGCCCCAUCAACGGCAAAUACCUAAAAAGGUACUAUGCGUAAUCGAAAUCGCAUGUUGCUCUGACCCGCAUGAGCUAAAACUGUGGAUGGGAACCACUAAUAGUGUAGUAUGUGGUUAAAUUGUUGUAACACUUCACCAAAUCUAAGGUGAUAAACAACUAGAUACUCCUGACGCGCAUGAGUUUAAAAUAUGAACGGUAGGAAUUACGUGUGACUUGAUUCCCUCUGGGAAUACGUAGGCAGUUUAGAGAUAAUUUCUAAAUUCAGUUACACCACUCCAAACCAAAUCCAUUUUUCUUGAAAAAAAAAAUCUUCUCUUUCUUAAAAAAAAUAAAAAUGCUACGUUUGAGUUCUUUUAUCUUAAAAAAAAAUAGAAGAUAAGAAACGAAAAAUAGUUUACCAUUUAUAGGAGAUUUCAUUACAUGAAGAAAAAAAAUAAUAAAAAAAGAAAAUUUCAGAAAAAAAUGAAGGACAUGGUGAAAAAUCUAAAUGUCAAAUUUGUAAUCCACUACAACUAUGUUACAUGAUUCGAGUGCGAAUUUCAUGUCUUUAAAUUCCUUCGCUGUAUCAUCAGUUAAAACGCUAGCAUUCUUAAUAGAAGAGAGCUCAUCAUGUGCUUGGGUUAUUUCAAUCUGAAUCUCUUUGAAAGUUUCAUGCUUUUGAUCGAUAUUUGAGCUAAUUUUCAUGUCUUGUUUCUCCAAAUCGAUAAGUUCCUGUUGCAGAACUUUCUUUCUGUUUUCUAUGGAUUACAACUUUUCUUCAAGAUUUUGCAGAUGACAAGUUAGUUCUUCUUCCUUUGCUUUGACUCUUCUAAGUUGGGCGACCACGUUGGAAAGGAGUUAUGCAUGUGUUUCUUUACUCAUCUUCUCCCAUAAUGAAGAUGUCAAAAUAUCAUAUGCUUCUGCCUUGGCGAACAAGUUUAUCAAAUAGUCUUUUAAAGGGAGACCAUUGGUAGGAUCCAUCCUUACGAUUUUUGGAAUAAUUUCCUUUGCACACUUUUUUAAAGAACAGAUCUGCUCAAUAGGAGUGUCAAGAAUCUGCUCGUGAAAAUCCAUCCACAAACUUUAUAAGUAUUUUUUUCGGUGCUCUUGGAUCAAUUUUUACCCAUGAAAUUUUGAGACCAAUGCUACCUUAGAUCUUUUUCGGACCUCAUGCAAACUAGUCAAUUCCUUCUUAUGCAUUGAUGAGGUACCUUCACUGGGGGCAAGUUGUUUUGGAAUGCUGAUAACUAUUUCGUCACGUUUCUUGUUUGAAAUUGUAUCAUCAGUUUCAAGUUCAAUUGGUAAAUUGGUACCAACAUUUUCUUAGCGAAAUUCAAGAAAUGGGGCUGAAAAAAGAAAAAAAAGGGAAAAAGUUAUGAAAGUUAAAAUAAAAAAGAGGAAAAAAAGAAAGAAAAAUGUUACAAAAAAAAAAAAUGGAGAGAUGAUUAUCUUAAGUGGCAACACUCCAAUCGACGGUGUAUAAAGGAAACCUCCUUCAAAUCAGAAGAUGUCCUCUUCUUUGAUUGGUUCCAAUGACAAUCUUGACUGUUACUGCCGCUUGCCAAUGAAUGGAUUUCUCCUUGGGUAGAUCCGGUGCCCUGGGUUUGAACUCAUUCUUUUUCAAUAACCUUGAUUGAAUCGUAAUCAUCCAACAUUUCAAUUUCAACGUCUUCUCCCAUGGAAGUCAUGAUUAAAGAUUUUGGAAUGGUGGAUGGCGCCUUCUUUACUAGAGUCUCUAGAUUUGUCUCUUUGAGAGCCUGUUGAAAAUUCUUUGAAAGAUUAUUUUUUGUGACAACACUUUUCAGGCGAGUGCCUGUCAUUUUGCCUUCCUGCAAGGUAGAUGCAGUAAAACCUGUUACAGUUUCUAUAGCUCCAUUAUGAUGUAUCGGCUCAUUGAUAGAAGUAACCUUGCCCUUCUUCGAUGACUGUUGAGGGAUUUUAACCGUGAAUUUAAAGGAAGUUGAAAAGACGCUAUUUGACCGUUUUGACCACCAGGCAUCAUAGUCUUUAGUGAUCAAUGGAUACUUCCUAUGCGUAGGUGUAGUCAUCUGAGAUUGCGUCUGCGUGUGAACUGAGAAAUCCUAUAAUUGAAUAGUCUCACCCAAAGUAUAAGUGUGAGUGAUCUCUUUCAAGUUAUUUAAAAUAUCCUGACAGAAGCCGAAUUGUCUGCUAAACGUACAAGGAUUAUAUUUUUCAAUAAUGAAAAUAUUGUCCUGACGUAGAGUUAAGUGACAAGAGCGUUGACUAAUAAAGUAGCUCGUGAGCCUUGAUGAUAAGGAUCCAUCAUCGAUCAACACUUUUCUUCAUUCUCAAUCCAGCACAGUUUGGAAAGCAUCAAAGGAUUCACUUCUUUGAAAAUUUCCUCGACUUCUGAUUUACCAUAAAAUAUUAUCAUAUUCUCACCGCUAAAUCUCGUCAUGUGCCCGUGGUGGCUACUCACUUUGAUUAUUUUCAUAAUAUACGUCAAAAUAUUGGCCAAUCCAAACAUAGACGUAAUGGAUUGAAAAAGUUACCCCACAUUGUCCAAGGUUAGGGGCGUAGACGAUCUCCCUCAACUCAUGAUAUAUACUCGCAAGCACAGGAAUUGCAAGGCAAAAUCUUUUUCUGUGGCCAUUAAGCAUGCAACCUUGAAGACACUUGAACGGAUGCGAUCGACUUUUUUACUUGGUAAAAGAAACUUGCAAAUCCAACACGCUAUGAAUGCCGUAAUAUAGGUUUCCUUUCUUAAAAAUCCUAGGAUAUCCAAUAUAUCAAAGGGAUGUUGAAAUCCUUUGUAUCAGCAAGGUCAUGAGACUCUAUACUUCCUGAAAGAUUAUAGGUCAUUUUCGGUUUAGAUGUGGUCUUUCUUCUUUUCGUCCUGUUCGGAGGAGCCCUAUACCUAGCCUCUCCUUUGAACCAGAAGUGGAUCCAGUUUUUCAUCCACACUCCUUGGUCAUUCGUCCAGAGAUGGUAGUAAGCCGAAAAGAGAUGCCUGCAACUCUUAGGGAGAAGUGGCUUUCCUUCUUUGUCACGAGUGAGAAGCUCCUGCGUUAAAGUAACAACUUCAUCAAAGAAUGAGCCAUCGAUCGAAAGACCACCAAGUCGAUAAAGGUCCCAAUGUGUGAUGGACAACUCCCUAACGGGUGCAUGGAAUGUAUUUUUCGAGGGACACCAAUAUUUGAAGAAAGCUCGCAAGAUAUUUUCACAGCGGUCGUAAGAGAAUCGCGACGCAUAGACAGCUUCAAAGAUGUCGGUACGUGUGAGCACUUCUUUAUAUUUUCCAAGGAUAUCCUCAACCCAUUCCCAAUAAUGAAAGGUGAAGCAUGCCUCGCCAAAGAAGGAAGAAGGAAUCUUCCAUGUAGUUUUGUCAAUAUUGAAUCCCACGAACGGAAGUGUGAAUUUGGUUAUUUUUGGAUCUCCAUUGUGAAGUGACGAGUUUAAUACGACCACUUUUUCUUCCCUCGACGUAGUGGAGAAAGUCGAUGAUGCCACCACUUCCUUAGUCCACUUGCUAGUCUAAUCUUCGAGAUGAAAGCAUCCUUUAAGGGAUAUAAAAGACUCAGUAAAGGUGCCGAUCGCUGGCUUGUUCAUAUUUAAUGACAAACUUUUCGAUUGAGACCUUCCCCUCUCAUCCGUCAAUGAAAUAUGGGGCAACGGCGUGGUGUAGUUUUUAAUUUUCAUGGUUGCUAAAAUUUGAAGAAAAAAGGAAAGGCUGAGUUGGUAAAAAAAAAAUUUUUUUUCUACGAGACUUUAGCAAUCAAACUACCUCGUGGCUGAGUUUCUAAUUCCUUGAGCGGGAUGCUGAAUUCCUAUUAAAGUUAGACCGGACAAUAAAAAGUAAAAGUGAGAUGGGAUGUCCACAAAUAAUUGAUAAAGAGGUUACAAUUUCGACAGGUCAAUCAAGUAUCAAGUUUGGAUGUCAAAAAGGUCAGCAAUAUGGAUCGGUGGGGUCUCAAUUGUAGGGGGUAAUUAUGGUGGCUAAUGCAUUGAUCCGUUUCAUGGUGCAACCUUAAAAGACCACUUUGCUUUGUUAGAUAAUCAUGAAGUGCCAAGAGUCCGAUACAACUUGGUGGAGAUACUUGUAAUUGAAACAUGCAAGGAUUUAUAUAUUAAUUCGCCACAGGCUACGAGACCCGGCAAUCAUGUCAUUUUAUAAUAAGUUGAUGAUUCAACUUUCUAAGUUCAAGCCGUGGCAGAUUGGUAUGCAAAACUACAAGUAGUAGUCACACGCAAAAUGCCAAAACAAAUUAAAGGAUGCAUGCAAAUCAAUGGUAUAAAAACUUCUAUAUCUUGCAUGCGAAGUGACUACCAUGCUAAAAGUAUGAAUAUUUAUGAAGAGUGGACAAAGAGUCGAGAUAAUCACCUCUAAAUCGGCGCGAUGUUAAUAGUAAAAUUCCACAUUAGUAGUGACAAAAAGCUGGCACUAGCAACUGUAGCAAUUCUAGACAGCAAUUUUCGAAUUACGAGCUGCAAGAGAGCGUUGGUAGCAACUACAAAGCAACUCGGCAAUAGCAGAAAAUUAUUGUUGUUUCUAGCUUCUCACAAGUGAAUCUACGGCUCUAGUCUUGAUUAUUUAUACUAGUAGCAUUGUGUUGGGUCCGAGGAGAAUCCGGAUGAAAGGUGGUUUCAAUUUGGAUAAGGGUAAACUCCCAAUCCUGUAUGGAUUGUUGUUAGGAUAUUGAAAGGAAGUAAUUUCAUGUACAAUUGAAAGGGGAGCCGUGCAAGCUUUAUUGUUUGGAGUCAAUUUGUGGAGAAAUUAGGAACUCGAGUUCAAUGUUAAUUGUGAUUCCAACGUGAAUUUGGCCUCAGGACUUUUCAAUUUGACUAUGCAUAUCUCGUAGGUUCUUAAUUAUUAUCAAAUACUACUUGAAAUUCAAAUACUACUUGGAAUCUGGCCUCGGGACUUUCCUAAUCAUCAUCAACAUCAAAUACUACUUGGAAUUCAAAUACUACUUGGAAUUUGGCCUCAGGACUUUCCUAAACAUCAUCAAGUACUACUCGGAAUUCUCCAUGGCAAUUGAUCUUUUGAAUAUACCGUGCAUAGAUCUCCUGGAUUAAGGUGGUAGGUUUGAUUUGAAGUUGGACGCGAAAAGAAAAAAAAAUUCUUUAUGAUAUGGGAUUGUGGUUUAUAUUUAGGCUCUUGAUAAAAGUUUGAUCCUUCUACGAUUGGAUUUUACAAGCCGUAAAGAGACUAGUGGUUAAGGAUUUCAAAUUGGUUUGGAGUUCGAAUUCAUUGCCUACUUUAGCCAUAGUCCAGCAAAAUGGAGUUCAUAAUAGAUUCAACUAAGGAAUUCUUCUUGUUCACUUUGGAAUAUUAAAACACUCAUAUUACUUGCCUUCCAUGAAACAGAGUUUGCAAGUUAAUGUGAAACUCUAGAAUGAGAUCAUUCGGUCAUGGCACAAGUCCCGCUAAAGUGUACAUGCAUUUGAUGAUUGGAGCGGUGGUGGGAUUUAAAUGUUUUGCAUGGCUACAUUGUAUGGCUUAAUCAAGACCUGUGACAAUGAAUCCAUAUAAAGUGUGAAGUUCAAGUGAAUUAAUCAAGACCCAUGGCUAUAUCGUAUGAAUUAACCAAGGCUCGUGGCUAUAUUGAUGCUUAAAUCUCAGCCUUGCAGCAUUCAAAUCAAAUUGGGAAAAAAAGAAGAAUGUCGAAACUUGUCCGUUCCAAUCUUGCUUCAGUCUUCAGCAUUCGCAAACAAGUUUCGAGAGGGCAUUUGUAGAAAAUGAAAUUUUAAUUAAUUCUUAAAAUUACCAUUGGUCUAUAAAUUAUUUUUGUGGCUUAUUUCUAUCCAAUUGGAUAUUGUCACAUGUCAUGUACAUUUGAAAAAAUUGAUUAUUAAAUGGCCAAUUGUAUUUUGCCACGUGUCAAAUUGAGGUGUUCCAAUUAAUUGAAAUUAUUGGGAUGUCUCUACCAAUCAAAUCAUAUCAUGUCACAUGUCUAUUGGAUAGAUAUCUAAAUAUUUAUUUCUUAUUAAAGAGAUAAUAUUUAGAGUUGUUUAAUUUGUAUGUAUUUCUUAUAUACUGCAAUAGUUUGUCCAACCAAAUGGCGCCACGUCAUGUGUCCCUACAAGUUUGGCUAAUCAAGGAAUUAUUUAUUAGUAUUAUCUCUUUAUUAGUAAAUAUAAAAUGAAGAGAUAAUAUUUAAGUUGGCACAGUCCUAAUGUGACUGCGUGUCUUGCAAGACAACUAGAGUGGUAUACAUGUUUUCAACCUCUACCUCUUCCUACAGUUAUAAAUAGGGGUCUCUCUACCAAGUCAAAGACACACAUCAAGAGGCAUCUCAUACACUCAAGUAUUGAAGCUCCAAGUUACGAAGGUCUAGGUCUUCAAGCUCCUCAAAUCUUCCACAUAUCAAGGCUUGAGCCUUCAAAUAUUUUCAAGUUCUUCAAAUCUUCCAUAUCAAGAUUUGCAGGAAUCGGUGGUUGAUCCAAGAACAAGCUGCGAAACCCUUGGAUUGGCGUUCGAGGAGAAGAAUCGAAGGAAACUCUCUAUAAGUUCGAGAAAAUUUCAGAGAUUGUACCCACAUAUUUUCCUAAAUUUAUAUAUUACAUAUUUGUUGUGUAUUUCUUUUUUCUUGUCAUUUUACAGACUUGAAAUUUUAAUUGCAUACAAAGGCAACAACACUUUUAUCCCUUUCCGGUCUCUGUUAUACCAACUAGCCCAAAAUCCCACCAUAUAUGCUAGCAAACUAAUUUAUUAGAAUUAGAAACCAAUCCCACAUGGUGCUCUAUUGAAUCUAUUUAGCUUAAAUACAAGAGAUUUACAUUAAAUCAACUGACAAAUAUCAUUCUCAUACUAUAGUAUUAUGCAUACAUAUACACAGUAAAUAUGUUGUGCCAUAUUCUUGCUAAACACAAAUUUAACUGAUCGCAUAUUCUAAAACUAGCAAGUUUUUUAGCUAUCUUAUUCUAUAUUAUCAUCCCUCAACAACUAACCAUAUUAGGCAGCAUAUAUCAACAUAACUAUAAGUUGCAGAAAUUUUGACACCAUUAAACACUAUAGGUUCCAAAUUCAAGGAAACUUUGCAUCAACAGUUUGCAAGUUCUUUAAUGCUCCUGUUGAAACACAAGACUCGAUCAAACUUUUUGGCUUUUUCAAAUGACUUGAAAAUAUAAAGAAGCAACUAACGUCAAAUUUAAUCAGGACAUUGGCAUGUUAAUCUUAACUAAGAUAGAGAAGGAAGAACAAAAAACAAAAGCAUUAUCAUAACAAUCAAGAGCAGUUCACAUCGUAAGAGCUUAAAAGAAUAACGAGAGGAAUAAGUUGCAACCUUGGCCUUAGUUAAAAGAUUGCUACAUGUCAUAUGGUAUUAAUGACAUGUAAGAGCUUGAAAGUAUUAGGCAACUACAUUAUGGCCUUAAGAAAAAAAGUGUUGCAUCUAAUAUACUCAAGCAUCAUAUAUUGGCAAUCUCUGCCAUCUCAUUGAGGUUAUCCAUAGAACAGAAAAGCUUAUCGAAGUUUAAUGUUAUUUACCCCCACCUCCUUCUUUUAUCCCAAUUGAUCUGAUACAUAUUAAGAAAUGCACAUACUAUCAAGAGGCCAUAGCUUAUAUUCAAUAUACUAGAGGAACUAGGCUGUGCAAGGCACAACCUUGGCCCUCCCAAAAAUACUGAUCAUUGGAAAAGCAUAUAUAACAAUUAUAGUUGCAGAAUAGGUACAUAAUACCAUAAUUAUCAUUCAUAGAUAACUGUCAAUAAUUUUAGUAGCAAUUACACACAUUCCAGUACAAUUAAGUCCCAAGUAGAGAUAUAUUGUCAUGCUAAUAGUCUUUUUCAAAGUUCAUUUUAGUUACAUAAUAUCACAUAUUAGGAUCCAUUAACUUCUAGUCAUAGAGAGAAUGUUAAUAGAUUCUAAUAUGAUGGCAAAAGAUAGCAUGCUAGAAGUUCAGUAGCAUACAUGAUGAACAAAAGGAUGAACAAAAGAGAAUAUGAAGCUAUGUGGCUGCUACAUUUUGCAGAUUCAUGUGGCUUCUUGAGAGGGCUCAUAUGAGCAGAUUUUGGAGAUGCAGGUUUGUUAUCUUCAGCACUGCUUUUUUGCAGCAAUUGAGGGAACAACUUCAAUGGUUGUCUUCUCAGCAAAAGGUACAUUAGUUCUGGGAAUUGGAGCUUCAAAAGUUAAGUUUCUUGAUGCGAAUUCUUCCCUGACGGUGAAAUUCAUCCUCACGAAACCCACAAUCUUGAUGGAGAAUUUUCCAGGUUUGGUUGGCGGAAUCCCUUUCGACCCAAUCUAAUCCUCUAAGUUACAAACACUCUUGAUACGAUCUCAACCCGCGACUUAACGAAUUAGCGAACCAAGGAAUUUUGGUAGGAUGGCGCCACAAAUAAGUGCGUUUCUUGUUUGAUAAGCCAAAGUUGGACUUCCUAGAAAACUAUCUAAGAUGUUCAAGGGGUGCUUGCAAGAAGCCAAGAGAAUUCUCUCAAUUUUAUUAAUGAAUCAAAAUCUCCUGUUGUUGUUGGCUUGAAGCUUAUUUAUAGCUUCUUACAAUUCAAACCCUAAUGAAACUUGAAAACUAGAAUUCGGCCCAACUAUGGCCCAUCAUGGCCAAACCCAGCAAGGGACUAUGGCCGAAACUAAUAGCUAAAAAUAAGGUAACGAAUGACUAAAAAUGGCAAGGACUUCAACACUUAAGUCACUUGCUUUAUUCUACUAAUUGAAACCAAAAAAAUUGAUUAACUUGAACUUGAUGGAUCUUGUGACUCGAAGUGCCUUGUGUCAAGGGUCUUGAUCCUCUAGUUGGAGUAGAGUCACGUACUCCGAACCAUCUUCAAAGAUCGAACUACCUUCCUUAACUUCUUGUACCACACGUACCAAGAUAUUCAAUUACUCCCUCAUUCGCUUGGCACGAGCUCUAGUGAUUGGUCCGAUUGGUAUCACCACGUUCUUGGUAGUUGGUAGUAGCUUGGAUGACCGCAUCAUUCGCCUCCUCUUGAGAAGGAUUUGUCCUCAAAUCAAGCAUGUCACCUACAUCAAAUGGGUUUAAGUCAGAGACGUUGAAUAUAGCGCUAACACCAUACUCACCAGGCAGAUCCAGUUUGUAGGCGUUGUCGUUGAUGCGUUCAAGGAUCUGGAAUGAUCCAUCGCCACGAGGUGAGAGCUUGCUACGGCGUUGGAUGGGGAACCAUUCUUUGCACAGAUGUAGCCAAACCCAAUCACCUGGUUCGAACACAAGCUUGCGUCUACCUUUGUUGGCUUGUUGAACAAUUUGGGCCGUACGUUUCUCUAUGUUCAAGCGAGCCUUCUCAUGAAACCUUUGAACAAAUUCAGCCUUUUGUUGCCCAUUGAGGUUAGCUCUUUCACUUAAAGGUAACGGGGUCAAAUCCAAAGAUGUCAAGGGGUUAAAUCCAUAAACAAUUUCAAAUGGAGAGUAUUGAGUAGUGGAAUGCACAACCCUAUUACAUGCAAACUCUACGUGAGGUAGGCACUCCUCCCAAUUUUUCAAGUUGGAUUUGAUGAUAGUGCGUAAAAGAAUAAAGAGAGUGCGAUUGACAACCUCGGUUUGUCCAUCGGUUUGUGGAUGACUAGUGGUUGAAAAUAGUAAUUUAGUGCCCAACUUUGACCACAAAGUCUUCCAAAAAUAAGAGAGAAAUUUGACAUCUCUAUCAGACACUAUAGUCCCAGGAAUGCCAUGCAACCGAACAAUUUCUUUGUAAAACAAGUCUGCUAUAUGAGAUGCAUCAUCCGUUUUAUGGCAAGCAAUAAAGUGUGCCAUUUUUCAAAAUCGAUCAGCAACUACAUAAAUAGAGUCAUGCCCUUUCUUAGACCUAGGUAAGCCAAGAAUGAAGUCCAUAGAAAGAUCUACCCAAGGUGCAUCAGGAAUUGGUAAAGGCAAGUAUAAACCAUGGGGUUGUACCUUAGAUUUUACCUUCUUGCAUACUAUGCAUCAGCUCACCACCUUCUCAACAUCACGUCUCAUCCGUGGUGAGUGGAAAUGCUCCUGCAACAUAGAUAGAGUCUUUACAACUCCGAAAUGUCUCAUUAAACCACCUCCAUGUGCUUUUUUUACUAGUAAGAGUCGAAUGGAACAGUUAGGGAUGCAAAGGCGAUUUAAGUAGAAUAGAUAACCAUAAAAAACCGAGUAAUUUCCUUGGGCAGCUUGAGAGCAAUUCUAGAAUGUGUCACCAAAGUCGGUAUCGCUCACAUACAUAUCUUUGAGCAACUCGAAACCGAGUAACUUAGCAUCAAGAGUAGUGAGUAGAGAAUACCUGCGGGAUAGUGCAUCGGCCACUAUGUUACUCUUACCAUUCUUAUACUUGAUGACGAACGGGAAUGUCUCAAUGAAGGCAACCCAUCGCGCAUGUCUCUUGUUAAGGUUGUGUUGUGCCUUCAAGUACUUGAGAGAUUCAUGAUCGGUGUGAACUAUGAACUCUUUGGGUCUCAAGUAGUGCUGCCAUACUCGUAAUGCUCGAACCAAGGCAUAUAAUUCCUUGUCAUAGGUCGAGUAAUUCAAAGCGGCCUCGUUGAGUUUCUCAAUAAAGUAUGCCACAGGCUUACCUUUUUGCAUUAGUACGGCUCCAACUCCUAUCCCUGAAGCGUCACAUUUAAUUUCAAAAGCUUUAGCAAAAUCAGGGAGGGUUAAAACGGGUGCAUGUGUUAACUUAUCCUUUAGUGUUCGGAAGACUUGCUCUUGUUCCUCCCCCUAGAUGAAUUUCUCGUUUGUCUUGAUGAGUGCAGUGAGUGGGGCGGCCAGGAUGCUAAAAUCUUUCACAAAUCGUCUGUAGAAACCUGCAAGCCCAUGGAAGCUACACACAUCCCCAAUGGACUUAGGGGUUGGCCACUCUUGGAUAGCCUGUACCUUAGACUCAUCCACUUGUAUCCCCUGUGCACUGAUCACAAAUCUUAAAAACACAAGGUGGUUAGUACCAAAAUUACACUUCUUGAGAUUAGCGUAUAGCUUCUUCCUUCGAAGUAUAUCCAAAACAGCUUUUCAAUGUUCAAGAUGCUCUUCCAUGCUACGGCUAUAAAUAAGGAUAUCGUCAAAAUAAACUACUAUAAAUUUCCCUAAGAAUGGUCUCAAGACAUGGUUCAUAAGCCGCAUAAAGGUGCUAGGUGCAUUGGUUAACCUGAAAGGCAUUACUAACCAUUCAUACAAACCAUACUUAGUUUUGAAAGCAAUUUUUCAUUCAUCUCCUUCCUUAAUUCGAAUUUGAUGGUAUCCACUCUUUAAGUCAAUUUUGGUAAAAUGAUUGCACCAUGUAACUCAUCAAGCAUAUCGUCUAACCUAGGUAUAUGGUGACGAUACUUUACCGUAAUCGCUUUUACAGCUCGACAGUCGGUGCACAUGCGCCAUGCACCAUCCUUCUUAGGUACUAGAAUCACCGGCAUCGCGCAAGGGUUUAAACUCUCUCUCGCCCAUCCCUUGUCUAGCAACUCGUCCACUUGACGUUGUAGCUCCUUUGUUUUCUCGGGAUUGCUCUUGUAGGCCGGACGAUUAGGUACGGUUGCUUGGUGUUCAAUUCCGCGAAUGGGUGGUAAACCACUUGGAAUAUCCUUGGGAAAGAUGUCCUUGUAAUCCUGCAAAAGUGGAACAACAACAGUUGGGAAGUUAGUAAAUGGAUCAUCAUUGGACAACCCUACUUCUUUGCAUACAAGUACAAGAAGUGGUUGUCGUGCACUCAUAGCUCGAUGUACUUGUUUGGCUUUUACGAGCAUCAAGUGCUUUCCCUCAUUUUUCCCCUCUUUUCUUUUCCUUUCCUCACUAGCUGAAUGUACAUGUGCCUUUUUCUUUUCAUUUUGUUAGGUUCUAAGUUCCUUCUUUUUCCGCUCACUUUCUAACUCCAAUUCCUUUUGAAGAUUCUCUUGGUCGGCACGAACUUGCUUAGGCGAUAGGGGUGCAAAAGUAAUAUUGUGGUCCUUAUACAUGAAGGAGUACUUGUUACUCAUGCCCUCGAAGUUCACUCGCCUGUCAUAUUGCAAUGGUCGCCCAAGGAUUAUGUGGCUUGCAUGCAUGGGUACCACGUCACACAGAAUUUCAUCUUCAUAGCGACCUAUCUUGAAGGAGACCAAUACUUGUUUGGCUACUCGAACCUCUCCACUAUUAUUAUGCCAUUGAAGUUUGUAGGGCCGAGGGUGCUCCGUAGUUGGCAAGCCCAACUUCUCCACCAUAGUAGCACUAGCAAUAUUCGUGCAACUGUCGCCGUUAAUGAUAAGACUGCAUAACUUGCCCUGAACUAAGCAACGUGUAUAGAAGAUGUUUUCUCGUUGCUCAUCAUCCUCUAGGGGUCGUGCGGUUAAGGCUCGUCGUGCAACAAGCCCGAAUCCCACUUCACCCUCAAGUGCACAUUCUUCUCCUUCAUUCGAGUCAUCUUCAUCUGCAGCUAAGGGUGGCAUAUCGACAUAUUCGGCUUCAUCAUCGGUGACGAUUUCCCUAUUAGAUAGGACUAGCAUGAUCCGUUGGUUAGGACAAUGCUUGACAAUGUGUCCCCGCCCUUGGCAUUUGAAGCAUCGAUCAUCUCUUCCUCCUACUUUGGCUUGGUUGGUCACCAAUUUCCCUUUGUUGUCUCCCUUAGUUGGCUCGACUUUUACUUUGUUAGGAAACACGGGUUUUGUUCGAUUGAACCCUCCUCGGUCUUCGCUCCUUCGCUCAUUCCUUGGAGUGAAUUGUCUUGAGUUUGGGGUAGAGUAAGAAUAUCCAGCCCGUGGGUUACUCCUUCUCUUAAGACGAUGCUCCACCUUUUCAGCUUUGGCCACCAACUCGUGGAGCUCUAGGUAAUGCUCCAACUCAACCUUCUCGGCAAUGUCAGGUCGAAGGCCAUUUAAGAAUCUCGCCAUGGUUGCUUCCUUGUCUUCUUGAACAUCGGCCCUUAGCAUGAGAAUCUCCAUCUCCUUGUGAUAUUCAUCUACACUCCUAGUGCCUUGCGUAAGAGUUUGUAACCGUUGGUACAAAUCUCUAUAGUAAUGGUUGGGCACAAAUCGGGUCCUCAUCAUGCCCUUUAACUCGGUCCAAGACAUGAUCUCCCGUAGCCUACUUCUUCGUCGAGAUGCGGUAAGUUGAUCCCACCGUACGACUGCAUAUUCAUUAAACUCAAUCACGGCCAACUUUACCUUUUGCUCAUCUGUAUAGUUUUGGCAAGCAAAAAUCAUCUCCCCCUUCGAUUCCCACUCCAAAUAUGCUUCCGAAUCUGACCUUCCCUUGAAUUCUGGAAUUUUCAUCUUAAUGCCUUUAAAAGGGUCGGAGGUUUCUUCUCAGGUCCGUGGCUUAGGCUUGGGACGCCUAAUGAAUUCCUCUUCAUCAUUGGAACUUUCGGACUCCGCAACCUUAGAUUUCCCGCGAGAACUAUGAGGUGUACAUGGGGAACCUUUGUUGCGGGACAACUCGCUAUGAAUAGGUUCCAAAGCGUCGUCCAACAUCCUUUUGAAUUUUGCCUCCAAUGCCUCCGCCAAUAGCUUCACAUCAUAUGGAAGGGCACUUGGUGGUGGAUUGGCCCUUUCUCCUCAUUGCGACAUAUUUGAAUAACCUGCAAAACAAGUAAAACAAGAAACAAAGUGUUGUCUUCACCCACUCCCUCACGUGUAUACACUCUCGCUCGUUUAUUCACUCAAGCUUUCCCUCAAAUAUUCCUCACAAAAUUAUUCGCAAGGCCUCUACUUGCUGCCCUUGAAGAAAUUAAAAGAUUUGCCUCAAAAGUCAACAAACUUCAACCAAGAAGCGACUUAAAUGAGGCUCGGCCAGAUUAGAGGUGAAAUGGAGGAAACUGGACAGUGGAAUGAAUAAGGCUGGAAUUAACGGAAUGCAUACUAGUUGUAGGACACAAUAAAGACCGGAUGACCGACACUUAGACACUAAACUAGGACUUUAAAAUGACUUUUAAUGACUGGAAGAGACCAAAAUAAAAACUGGACAACUGACUCAAGAACUACACCAAUCGGACUCAAGAACAAUUGUCAAAGGAUAUUGUUGCCGCUUGUUAUUGUUGCACCAGAUUUAGGAAAUGUUGACAAGCGAAGGUUCUUGGUUUAAGUCCGGAAAUAUUCCCCUUUUCCUAUCCCCACAAGGAUUUGGUUGGCUGUCAAACGAGAUGUUGGAUAGCUUGCUCAACUUAAGCAAACCCAAUCCCACUUGGAUUUGGAGUAGGGUUUAAUUGUGGGUUUGUGGCUGGUGAAGGGUCAGCCGUUUGGGAUGGUUGUUGACACACCCAACUCCCAAUUUUUUGGAGGUUUUCAAGAUAAUUUUCGUGGCUGAUGGUGUCUCUUUCUUUUUUUUUUUUGUUUUAUAUCUCAGCCAAGAACUUGAAACAACUAAGGUGCGGCUGGGAAAAUUUUUUUGUUCUUUUGGCCAGCCUGAUUGGUUCGAGAUUUGGUUCCCAACCCCCAACCCCCAACAAACUUUAAGCUUUGUUCAAGAAUUCAAGAAUCAAUUUCCAGAACUCAAGAAACGCAACUUGAUGAUGAUUUUGCUCCCUCAACAGCCCAAGUACCACAGGUUUUGUAAAGACAGUUUGGGGUUUCAAGGGUUUCAAGAAUCCCACCCAAAGUUUCAAGAACUUCAAGAUUGUUGUUGUAAACAACCAAUAACUCCAAGAAACUCAAGUUUUGUUCUUGAUAUCCAACGAUUUAAUGAAAUCAAUCGCUGUCUUCUUUUCCCCUUUUUUUUUUUGAAUGCAACAACAAGAAUCAAGUGGCGGAUGACCUUCUCCUAGCGACACAAUAGAUUCUGUUUUGUUGUUUUUUUUUUGUUUUUUGACUCAAGUUUGGACUUAAUUCACGAUAACAAUAAGAAGAUGUUGAACAAGGAACAAGCCCAAACAAUGAGAAGGCAAUUCAGACAGUAGUAUCAAUCCAAGACACAAAGACAAGUGCAGUGAAACAGAAAGAAAAAAAAUCCAAGAUACGACUAUCAACACCGAUUGCACUUGAAUUUGAUGGACCCAAGCGGUGGAAGUGAUAACAGCAAGACACGAGCAUGUUUUAACACAUAAGACUCAAUAGAAAUUGGCAAUAACAAAGCACAGACAGAUUGCACAAGAUUCAAUAGAAACAACAAUAAGGACGCGACAACCAAGAACACUAGCGGUUUUGUUUUGUUUUGUUUUUUUUGGCUAGAUUAACCGAAUAAGAAACAAGACAAGACACAACUAUGAAUUGACGACACGACACAAAGGCUGGAAUUAAGCAGAUAUAACCUGGAAAAUCAUCAACCAGCUCUGAUGCAAAUUAAUGCGAAUUCCUCCCUGACGGUGAAAUUCAUCCUCACGAAACCCACAAUCUUGAUGGAGAAUUUUCCAGGUUUGGUUGGCAGAAUCCCUUUCGACCCAAUCUAAUCCUCUAAGUUAUGAACACUCUUGAUACGAUCUCAACCCGCAACUUAACGAAUUAGCGAACCAAGGAAUUUUGGUAGGAUGGCGCCACAAACAAGUGCGUUUCUUGUUUGAUAAGCCAAAGUUGGACUUCCUAGAAAACUAUCUAAGAUGUUCAAGGGGUGCUUGCAAGAAGCCAAGAGAAUUCUCUCAAUUUUAUUAAUGAAUCAAAAUCUCCUGUUGUUGUUGGCUUGAAGCUUAUUUAUAGCUUCUCACAACUCAAACCCUAAUGAAACUUGGAAACUAGAAUUCGUCCCAACUAUGGCCCAUCAUGGCCAAACCCAACAAGGGACUAUGGCCAAAACUAAUAGCUAAAAAUAAGGUAACGAAUGACUAAAAAUGGCAAGGACUACGACACUUAAGUCACUUGCUUUAUUCUACUAAUUGAAACGAAAAAAACUGAUUAACUUGAACUUGAUGGAUCUUGUGACUCGAAGUACCUUGUGUCAAGGGUUUUGAUCCUCUAGUUGGAGUAGAGUCACGUACUCCAAACCGACUUCAAAGAUCGAACUACCUUCCUUAGCUUCUUGUACCACACGUACCAAGAUAUUCAAUUGCUCCCUCAUUCGCUUGGCACGAGCUCUAGUGAUUGGUCCAGUUGGUAUCACCACGUUCUUGAUAGUAGCUUGGAUGACCGCAUCACUUCUUUUUGCAGCAACGUUUGAAGAGGUUGGCUUAUCUGCACUAUCAGACUUGUGCCCAAUUGAAUCUAGGAUCAUUUUUGUUGUUGGGUUGAAGAAUUGCCCUUCAGUGGCAGGUUGGUCAGUGAAAGUGGAUCCAGCAGUUAAGUCAACCUGUUCAAUGGUGAUGGUUGGCUUCUCAAUUAUGCUCGUAGCAGUUGGAACAAGUUCUUCUACAGGAUUAGAGGCAACUGUGUGAGUGAUUUUCGAGUUGAUUUCAGCCAAUUCUUCAGCAGUGUAUAUUUUGAUGAUGCUAUACUUAUCAUAUUUUUGUCUUUGAUAAUCCGAAUCAAAAUGGCGGACAAAGCACAGGACUUGACGGUUAUCAAUUGCAAAUGCAAUUUCAGAAAAAACCUCAAUACCCUAUAUUUUGCAAAUAAACAAAAAAAAAAGCUCAAUAUCCUGUAUUUUCAGAAAAUUUAUGGACUACCAAAAAAUGUAAACACGAUGCAAUUUCAGAAUAAAAUUUAAUAGUAACAUAGAUUGAAGGUGACAUGGGCUAUCUUAAUGCUGGCUAAAAGAAAAUUUUAGCUAGUUCCAGUUAGGAAUUUUGUUUCUUGACUAUGAUUGAGUCUUGUCCUUGGAAAGAACAGCAAAACAAGAUGAGGACCAGAGGGGUAUUACCAGAUUUGCAGGCCAAUCAAUGCAACCAUAGACAAAAGAAAAUAGAGAUAUAGCAUGUUAAUGGUAUGAGUUUUUUAGCAUCUUACGUGUUCAUCAGCUUCACUUAGUUGUACUGCUGUGAAUGGUAUGAGUUUUUCAGUAUCUGCACCAAACACUACUGCAUACAUUGAACUUAUUCCAUCAUCAAUGAUAAUUCCAAUACGGCAUCUAGUAUAUGAUAGCAGUGAAUAAUGGUUAAAUAAUGAAAUAAAAUAGAAUUAUUAUUAAGAACACUAUUGUAAAAUUGUAUGCCUUGUUUACCUGGCUUCAACGGCACUUUCUUCUCUGCAAGACAGACAUUUGAUGAUCCAUUCCAAAUUAGCAUCUACAGCCUUUUGACAGUUACUACAUGCAGCAUACCAAAAAGAUCAUUGUUCAGCUGCCAAAGAAGUAUUUCCUCGCAUCCAGGCGGUCUUGACCUAUAGUUUAUAUUGUAUUAGAUGCAAAGUUAAGUAAUUCAUUUUUCACAAAUGUAAAAGAUAAGAAAAAUAGUAUAAGUCAAUUGCUGAAAUGACCGUAUUUACAUUUUUUAGCAUGCUCACAGCGUUCUCAACACUAAUGAUAUCAUUAUUUUUAGGCGGAGGAAGCAAUUUGGUUGAGUCUUUGUAACUCGCCUCCUCAAUUAGUUGUGCAAUUUCCUGCCGAUUCUGAUCAUACUUUUGAACAUAACUAUGACAUGUUAUAUUUUCCAGUCUUUAUGUAUAAUUAUAAAACAUGAUAUGCUUACCAUUGCCUUAAUACAAUGGCUUGAGGAGUUGGGGGAUUCAUUAGCAGACAACUUGCAAGCCUUGUUGUUAGAGAUAGAUAUAAGAAAAUAGUAUAUAAUUAGCUCAUUAAAGUUGAAGUGUGGUAGGCAAAGCAGUAAUAAUUUCUUGAGCAAUGAGAGCUGUAACUUAUAGUUAAAAAUAGUUACUUUGACUCUCAUAGCUAUCAUGACGUUGUUGUUUGCGAUAGUGUUUGCUAGCUGUGCUCCUUCAUUUGCUUCAAAUUCGUUCCAAGGAGUAAGGAGCAUUGGCCUUUUUCUAAAAAAGCAAUAAAUAUGAUAAAAAUUAAAGAAUGUAAUAGGUUUAUUUAGUAAAUUGAAAGUAUAUUCUUUUGUUCCAGUUGACUUACCCUUGAUUAAUAACAACCAAGUCUCUAGUCAUUGAAUCAAGACCCUGUUCCCUUGAAGGAAAAGCAUGCAUGACAAUACCCUGGAUAUCUAUUAUUCAAAAGAAUAUUUCAAUCUAAAGAUAAGAUGAAGAUAACAUAAGGAAUACAUUGGGAUUAUCUAAGAUAAAGCAUGAACUUACUUUGCAAAUUUUCUGUGUCAGCAAAUCUGAAUAAGUUUUCAAAUGCUAUGAGCUCAAAGUGACUCGAAAUAAUUGGCGGAACUUGCUCCACAUACUCCUCAACCAACGUUCUGUUAUGGAUUACCCAAGAAUAUGGGUAGUCACUGACCUUAUACCUUGAUUCUGUUUUACGAAUAGCUGCACUGGAGAUAUAGUAUCUCUUGAAUGGCAUCAACAUGGCAGCAAAAAAAUGGAUAUCAUUGCCAUAGAUGACUAUUGAAAACUUUGUCCCCUGUUGCAUCAUAAAGAAGAAUAGAUGUAAAUUGUAAAAUAGUCAAAGAUAUAUGCAAAAAUUGAGGGAACAUCUUUAUGUUUUUGUUACCUCAGAAUUUGUAAGAAGGAAGCGGCAAUAGUUCACAGGCCUUGCUCCUUGACUCAACUGAAAAUAUCCUCUCUCAACAACCUGAGCCAGUAUUGUCCAUCCUUUUACUCCCUCAAUGACCUCAUUCACUGGAAGGUAGCGUCUUGCCAUGCUUAUCUAUAAAUGGUACAAACAGAUGAAUUUAAUUCUAAAUAUAGACUACAAUUAUGAUAUGAUUAAUUAAAAAUUGAAGAAACAGCAGAAAUUAGAUAAUUUACUAUGCUGAACUGAACUACAAAUAGAUGAAUAAGAUUGGCUGCACCUACCAUCUUGUUUCAUCUGUAAUAGUUCUUCAGUAGUAGCAGCAAGCAUUGGGGAAAUUGAACUUUCAGAAUUCUUAUUUCAAGUCUUUUUCUUGUGGAUCUUUUUUCCUUUUUUUUGGAGGUUUAGUUAAUUAAUAAGCAAACUGAUAAAUUUGUUUUUAAGGAGAGGGCAAAGAAAAAGUGCAAUGGAAAAUAAUUAAGUAUACAGGUUCUUCAUGGAUCAUAUACUUAAGUGACUGUAGUUUCUGCAGUAGUAUUUUUGAUUCAUGAUACAUGUAGUUUUUGCACCAUAACUUACCAAAAUUUGAUUUACACAAAAUUUCUUGAAAGGGAAUGAAAAUUUGUCAAAAUAUUGAAUCUUGAUUCAGAGAUAAUGAUAAAGAGGCUAAAGAUCAAAUGCUAUAAGAAGGGAAAAAAAGUACUAUAAUUAAUGCAUGAUUGUCAAUGAUUUAUUGAAGUCUUGACCAUUGUGCUUUUACUUUGAUAGUAUAUGUAAAAAGAACUAAACAAAUGCUAUAAGCAACAACCUAAUAUAUUACUUCUUCAACAGUAGCAAUCCAGCAGGUGAAUAACCUUUUUUUGCUACCAAACUUGUUGUCCACAAAACAUUGUAAUCUGCUUGGUAUUAUAAAACACUAAAGAGUUUUCAAAUUUUCUCUACUUCUGUGUCAAUUUUUCUAGGAACAUUCAAUACUUUAUCUAAGUAAAUAAAUGUUAUCACCUUUUGAUAUUAUGAGCAUGAUAUUAUGGACUAAUACUUAAUUCUUUAUAGCAGCAGUAUUCCAUGUAUACUAUAUGAUCUAUGGCAUGAAAUGCAUAGGAUGAGUAAAAUGACUCAAAUCUAAAGUUGAGAAGCUACCUGAGAAGUAAUUAUCUUCUUUAUCUUUCAGGUUUAUUUUUAUCAUUUCACAAAUUUUUCAUAGAGAUAUGGACAAAAAUCUUCUUUAUCGACAUAUUGCAAUCACUUACUAAUAAUCAAGCGAAAGCACCAUCCUUUUUUUCAAAGCAAAACAAAAGUAUCAAUUCCAAUGUCUUAAAUAAAGUCAAGAGGUUGAUAUCAAUGGCAAUAAGUGAACUUUAUCUAAACGAAACUGAUAAUCAAGAUAUCUAAGCUUUUAAAUUGACCGAAAACGAAAACCCAGAAAGCCAAUUGAGCAACUAACCCUAACACAACUGCAAAAGGAGCAAAAAAGAAUGCAAGCAAUGCAAAUUAAAUAGGAAAAAGAAAAGCAGAAUAAACCUGAUUAAGUGAAGUAUUAGAUUUAAUUGUUCUGAGUCCAAAUUCUUCACAAUGGAGUAUGGCGAAAGUUCAAUGAUUGUUGAUUGAGGUAGGCUCAUUGGUUGUCCGAAGAGGGAGAAGUAAAAGGGAUGACAAUUAAGGCUUUGGAGUUGGCUUUUGUUUUAUAGAUUUAAUGUACCCCAAAAAUUUACAUAAAAUGUUCCAAUUUCUUUCGGAUGGUCACAACAUGAUUUAAUAAAAGUUUACAGAUCACAACAUGAUUUAGUAAAUGGAUUAAUGUCUUAUUCUAAUAUGUAAUAUUUGCCAAAAUUUUUACAUGAAUAAACCAAGAGAAACAUUUAGCCAAAAAUCAACUAAUUUUAAUAACUCUACCACAUAUGACUACACAUAUUUAGGGAAAAAUAGAAACUAAUUUACAAAUGAAAAGGACCCUUACCAACACUAGACGCAGAAGAAGCUCCCUUCCAAACUCAAGUUCUUCAAAGAAAGAAAUAUCACCCUUUAUAUGGGCACUUCCCUUUCUUUUCCUUUUUAAAACCUAAAAACCUAAGUUACUACUCACUUAAUUUCUAUCACAUCAAAUCCCUGAAAAUAUGAUUUAGAAUUAUGGUAUUCAUGGGAAAAUUGGAUGGCUGCAAAACCAAUUCCAGUACAAAUGAAUGAAAUCAAACGGUUGGCCACUUUUCUGGGGAAAAAUCCCAGAAUUUUGGGGAAAAAGAAAACACCUAAUCUCUGAGGAAUUUUAGGCCUUCUAUGUUUCCAAGUACAAUAAGCAUAUGAAGGAACAAUCUCUGCUACAGGAAGGGAAGAGUACUUGCUGGUACUUUCACUCGAAGAAGAAGAAAAGAAGAGAUACUCCGUUCCUUUGGUUUGUUGUUUGUCUUAAUUGUUUGCAAUGUAAUGGGCCAUAUAACAGAGGUUCCGUUGGUUCUACUACAAUGUAAUGGGCAAUGUAAUGUCUUACUUGUUCGUUCCAUUGGUUUCUUGUAUACCUACGUUCCAUUGUUUCCCUCAUUAAAAAAUCUAGCCAAGUGUCAAAUAAGUAGCAAGCCACUUGUCAAAAAGAGGGCUUGCUACAGUGAACAACACUCUCUUUUUAUUAUACUUGAGGGAUAAUGCCUUGGUAGAAUGCAUUAGUUUCAGAGGUCAUCCAAACUAAGAAAGUUCAAUAUAAACUACACCUCAAAACAAUGUUCACCACCAGUUCUGCUUGGGCUGGGAAGAAACCAUAACUUGUAGCUGCUACUGCCCAAACCUCAUAUGUGUUUUAGGAAAAAUAAAAUAAAGGGGUUCUAUGUACUUGAUAGUAUGUAUAAGUAGGUGGGACCUAACUAUGUAAUAAUAGUUCCUAAGCUAUCAUAGAUAAUUGUUUAAGGCCCAAUAUACUGACAAGUUCUAAGCUAUCACAAAAGAAUUGUUGCAGCAACUUGUAAAAUUACAAAUGAAUUCUAAAACUGGAUUUAGCACAGACCUGCUAAUAUGCUUCAAGGAAACCAUUUAAAAGAUUGUACAUUACACUUCUGUGAGGAAGGGAGCUAAAGGCCAAAUGAACUAAGAAAAUAUGUUUGUUGAAAAGGCUACACAAUGAUGAUGGCAUGGUUAACAAGCUAUCUUAUCUGAAUGCUUAAAAUGCCCCUAACAAACUCAUGUUCAAAAAGAGCAUUAUAAGAAACAGCAUCAAGCUGUUUACUUAUCCAAAGACAAAAGCAUGGAACCCUCUAGUGAAGGAAGCAUAUAUAAGUUAGGCAAUUAAGUUUUGAAUAACAUAGAUUCAUCUCAUCUGAAUGCUUCAACAAUUUGAAAUCUAAACGUAGAUACAAUGGAAAGGGUGUAAAAGUUGCUUACAACCGUAAUCAGGGAAUACAUAACAACCAAAAUCAUACUCAGGAAAUUGCCCAAUAUUCAAAGGAACCAACUAAUGCCUUUUUCUUUUCUUCCUUAAACUUGCUCCAUUUAUUUUCCUUCUCUCCUCAAAUCACCAAAUCUUUUUAUGGAGUACAAUAUACAAUAUUAUCAACUGCGAAACGAACUUAUCAUCCAACUAAAGUAGAGUAGCUUAAUGUUGAGACAAGAAUCUGGUCCUAUUGAGUCCACCACAUCGUCCUAGUAGUUCUUUACCCAAAUCAUCCCAUUGAUUUUCCACUUACCCUGUAUAAAAAAUCAAGAGGUAAGUAUAUAUUGCUCAACAAAUAAAGUUAAAUGGAUAAUGUAACAUGAUCCAGUUAAACUAUCCAAGACACCAAAGUAUUAACUUAAUACAUGACCAUGUUAAAGAACAACUCUUAGAGAAUUUAUAUAAACUGUGAAUAGUGGUCAAGAACUUAUUUUAGGCCUUUGGUCGCAAGUAAAACAGACCAAAAACAUAUGUCACAAUGAAUGAUUAAGUUCCAACAUCUAUGUGGAAGAAGGUAUCAAAAACAAAAACAUUUACAGAAUCAAACUAAAAAGCAUUAGGACGUCAUAAGUGAUGAAAAACAGCUUGGUAAUUGACCAAUGAAAUAGCGUCAAUUGGACAAAUAAGAAAACUACAAUAUUAUUUACAUUGUAUAUAAUGUGGAAUUAGUGGGCUUCACAAUCUUAUUUGGAGCAUCUUCAUUGGCCAAUGACCAACUGCUAGGCUUGCCAAGUAGCAGGUCCGCCUACAAUAAAAUUUCCAAGUAUUAUUCACUUGAUGAGAAGUUUUACUAAGAAGAUAUUUCCAAGAAAAUGUGCUGAGCACGAAAAAGCUUCAUUUUGGAUAAGUCCACUUCAAUGCAAUAGUCAACUGUAACUUUUUAAGAAGGAACUCAAUACAUCAAAAGUAAUUGAAUAUCUUGGUUACUAUGCAGUUAUUCAACACAUUGCAACCCAGAAAACAAGACAAGAACCAUCUUGAUGAUACUUUUGAUGACAUGAUUCUCUUCAAGUUUGUGAUACAGAGGCGAAAUUAGAUAGAACAUGGCUAUAUCCUAUUCCGCAUCAACAUGUCCAAACUCAUAGUCAUGUAAAGAAAUUCUUGGUUUAGAUUGUUUAAAGGUCAACAACAUGCAGCUAACAACCAUCUCAAACAAUUCACAUUCUUUUCUUGCCCAAUUCCCUAAUCUCAAAUUCAAACAACUAGUCACUAGGCAGUUUAUUCUUGUACAACCAGGUUCAACAUAAAUACCUAAUCUUAGCUCAAUCUUAAGAUCUCCUACAAGAACUUUGAGUGAUGAAAAUUAAAACAAAAUGAAUCUUCAGCGAGAAUUUAUAUGAUCAGCAAAAGCUCCAAGAUAUGCUAUUUGAGGUUAAUGUUUGCUCACAAGUUUAAUUUAAGAAACAUAUCUAACCUUGUUUAAGACCUAGGUCCGAAGUAGUGAAUGAAGGGAUGUCUCUAGUGUGUCUAAAUUCCUCCAAUUUCUUGAAGUUCAUCCAUGGCUUCACCCAAACUUUUGCUUCAUAUAUCUGUUUCUUCCUAGCAUC